GUUUCGUUGUUGAUUGUGUAUGAAUGCAAGUUGUUUUCCUGGGGACUUGUUGUACACAAUCUGUUGCUUAGCCUUGGGCGGACAGGGGAAACUCCGUCCGUUCGGCAUCACGCACGCCGCCCUCGAAACGGACGAAAUUGGUACUGUUUUCGGGUAGUGCGGUCGGGGGCGUGACAAUAAUACACAUAAUGUCACUCGGGUUAAACCUUAUUUAACUAUACUCAUUUCAAUGCCAAUCAAGUCACUAUAGUCAAUGUCACCGUUAUUUACUAUGGUCAUAGUCUUUUCUCACAUUCACAUGCAUAUAGGGUUAUUCGUUUCCUUUGUUCACAUGGUUCUAUAUCACUCACAAUAAUCUUAAGCAGAUAAUUGAUGCAAUCAACAUAUACCAUUCAUUACCCUACAUGCAAGAAUGCUAUAAUACCAACAUGCUCAAAAGUAGUGACAUAGACAUAGAAAGAGACUCGGUGUUUUCGGAUAGCACCCCCCACCUUUGUGUGAUACUAGGAUGCCGUGGUUCUGUUUUCACGAUUUUUAGACACUUUCACUGCGAGUUGCGGCAAUUUAUACCAAUUCGGCUUCUUUUUCCAAUAUCUUCGCGCACGCUCGUUGUAUCGCCGAACCGAGCGCACCGAUGCGUUCGUUGACCUAUCAAUUAGGUUAGAAUGAGAUCAAUCCCAAGCUUCGACCUUAUUUUUACAAAACCCCAAAUUUGGGUCCCUAUACAACAUCAUCUUCUCCAUUUUAGGUCCUGAACAAGAAGAAAAUGGAGAAAAUCCACUAUAGAGAUCUCUAGAUGCUUCAACUAGAAGUAAAAACCCAAAAUCUAACUUAAAAUCACAAGAACUCACCUUUGGAGUCCAAAACUUUCCUUCAAAGCCUUGCUCUAGCUUGCUCUACACCUUGGAGAGCUUCUUCUCCAAGCUUACCCCUCCAAAAGCCCUCUUGGUCCAAGCCCUAGAGAGAAAGGGAGGGAGAGAGAGAGGAGAGAUUUUUAGAGAGAGAGAGAGGGAGAAGUUUUGUGCUGUGAGGGUUAGAAAUGAGCCCUAACACAAGCUCUCUCACAUACAUACACCUAUCUCAUGUUACUUUUGCAACAUAAGCCCCUCACAUUUUCAUUUUUGCAAACUGCCCUCAUUGGGCAAAUCUCGUGCUCGAGGACCGUCUCUCGAGCACGGGACCGGUUCCCGACAGCUACCCCGCAGCCUUCGCAGAAGAGGGCCGGUCUCCCCCCGAUGCAACCGGUCUCUCGGGACCGGUCUCUCACCCAGGGACCGGUUCCCAAGAGCUCGAUUUCUAGGACUUAGUCGAUUUUUCCCUCUGCUCGGCUGAUACGCUUUCGGGGACCGGUCUCUCCCCUCAGGGACCGGUCCCCGAGAGCCCAAAAUCUGGGACUUAGCCAGAUUUUGCAAUUUCACUCUCUCGGGUCCCUUUAACAUUAAUAUAGGUUUCAAUGCACUUUUAGUCUAUAGUAACUUAUUCCACUCCGCGUUCCGCACGUUUCGAUGGAACUCGGCAUGACUCACGGGGAAUUGCUAUGUUACAGCGCCGAUCUAGACGAAGAUCGCCUACACGGUGCCAUCGUUUCCCCGAAACUUGACAACUCGAUCAGUUCUCAACCCUCUAGGUCAAGUACAAAAUAAUUAACAUCGACUCAAAUCGGGCGAAAGUCACGCAAGGGCGUCUAUUCUUAUCACUCGGUUUCAUGUUGUGCGCGCCCAACACGAACACCCUCGGUUGAGAAUAAACCACACAUUGAAUCUACCUCUAACAUCCGUUUUAGAGGUUUACAACAUAACCCAAUCAGUUCAUCUUUCGCCACAAGUCACAAGCCCUUGUCUCUCACGAGCCUUAUUCUCUAUGGUUUACUAUCCUAGGGUCUCCUAGGUCCAUCUAAAUCAUUUCUAUUAUCCUCUUUAUGCUCUGAUACCACAUUAUCUGUCACGCCCCGAGACCCGCCUAUUUGGUCGGAUUUGGGCACGUCAACAGACCGCCGAACUGACAGGGUUUCCCCUGUACGUCCAAGGCGUCACAAUUCAUACAAUACACGAGGUUCCAACUAGGAACAGUAUUCAAGCAAGGAUUGCAUAAAGAAGUAUAAAAAAUAUAAAUACAACUAUGCUAUUACAAUCAUCCAUCCCAGGUUUUACAUAUUACAAUUUGAUUUACAUUUUCUUCUAAAUACAAUCAUCAUUAUUACAACAUUGUUUCUUCUUUUCUACACCCCUAGUUAGGCCAACUUGGGGUACUGUUAUCUCUGGUUUCAGUGGUUGUAACACACUUGACCUUUGCAAAUUGUGAGGUUCGAGUGUUUGCUCAGUGUGUCGAGUCUUUCCAGAUAUUCUGGAGGGUCGUUGACAAUGGUCCGACCUAUGGCUCGCAUUUCAAGAAUUGUGGUUUUUAAUGUAGCGCUGAGGUCACCAAAGUGGAGGACUUAGACUGCUCUCGGGUUGCACUCUGCAGGGAAGUAUACUGGUACACCUUGAUGGUUGUAUCGGAACAGGUUUUGUACCGGUACAUCUUGAUGGUUGUACCGGUACAAAAAUGGGAUGAACUGCCAACCCGAGGCUCGGGUUUGCUGUCUGGCAGGUGUUGUACCGGACUAUCGGUACACUUUUCCAUGUACCAGUACACAGUGCAGUGCGGGCUGUUUUUGUUGAGGGGUGUAUUUGCAAUUGUUGUAAACUCUUUAUAUAUCACCCCAGCCCCCUUGAGAGCUCUUUUGAGCCCUAACUAGUGGAGAACAAGGUGAGCACUCUCCCCCUUGAUUUCUUCUUCAUUUUUGAUGGGUUUUAGCUACUUUUGAUCUCCUCAUCUUUACUUUUUCUUACUUCUUGUUGGUUUCCACCGUGGGAGAAGCCUUGAGCUCGUGAUUGGAGCUUUGUGGAGGGAGGAUCUUCAAUCCUAGCUUACUUGGAGCCUUGUUUGGAGCUCUUGUGAGGUUAGUAAGCUUAAAUCUCCUCUUUGAUUCAUGUUUUGGUAGAUUUUACUAGAUGAAACCCUAGAUUUGGGAUUUAGGGUUUAUUUUGGAGAUUUUGGAUUUGUAGCUUCUAGAACCUAAUUGAUUGGUUUAGAACCUUCCUUUAGGUUGGUUUUGAAGGACUCUAACUUCCAUUUGGGAUUAGAGGAGGGUUUUCUACAUCUAAGGUGAGAUUUUUGCCCUUUUGCUUGGGUUGUUUAAUGUUCUCUCCCUAGGGAGUUCGUAACGUUCGUGUAACUCUCUUUUUAUUACCUUUAGGGUGCUAGGAGAGUAGUGGGCAACUUCGCUCGGCGAAACGAAGGGUUGCCAAAGUCAUGUUGGGUUUGACUUCAUGAAAUAGGGGAGAAAUAUCUCCUAUGUGUUUUAUACUUGUUGUUUCAUCGAAAUGCAUGCACAUUCAUGCUAGAUAGAAUUUUUAUGAAUUUUAGAAUACUUAAAAUGCAUGUGCUGUGUAUCAUGAAAAUUCAACUCUAUAUAGUAGAGCAUUAUAUGUAUUAUGCAUGCAUGUGAAAAGUAUUCUUUCUUGUAAGUUGGAAACAUGUCUUAUAUGAUGAAAAUGACUCAAAUUAUGUACUCCUGAACAUUAUACUCAUGCUUGGACUUAGUGGACAAAAGUGCCAUAAAGGGGUCACCCGACUUAGUAAACUGUGAAACUGCAAUAUAGAGACAUAGUGAUAGUCCAUUUGGACAUCGACUAUAUUCCAUGUUUUAGACAUGAUGACAUAGUGAUAGGCCAUUGAGACAUUUGCUACAUUCCAUGUUUUAGACAUGAUGACUUAGGACUUGAGAUGGACUUUUACGCUUGUUUGUCAUUGUGCUCAUUCGCACAUGCUUGUGAGGGUCGCUCCCCACAAGCCGGCACUCCGGAGAUAGCCAUCGCGACACAUCCUCGCCCGUGCGGGAUUGGGCGCCAAAAUAGGAUGCCAUGGGGGAGGCUCAUUCCUAGAGUGGGGAUGUUGACUACCACGGGGCCAUUAGCCACGGCGCAGGCCGGACUACCCACGGGUAGGUCCUACAUGAUCGGAACUGUAGUGACAUAAUAUGCCAACUGGACAUUAAUUAGAAUAGUAAACAAUGACAACUUACUAUUUACUCGUGGACAUCAUAGUUGUUACACUUACGCAUAUCUAUAUUACAGUAACAUUCUUACUUAUGCAAAUUCAUGCUAAGUAGAGAUAUCAUAUUGUAGUAAACUUUCAAGUUUAAUCGCUUAUUGUAAGGAUUGAGAUUUUGAUAGUGCGGCUAAACUCUCUGUUGACGAUGUUUCAGCGUGUAAUUUAAUUACAUAAGCACUCGUCAAGUUUUAGGAGAAAAUGAGCUAGAAUGGAGAAGUUACGCGAUCUUUAGUUUUCACUUAAGUGAAUAGUAACUCCGGUUUUCCGGAGAAGCCACGGAGUAGAGUUGGCUUUCGGCGUGUUUCGGACUCCAUUCAUAGCGAUCCAAUGGCUCGUUUCGACCGGUUCAGCUAUUCUGGAACCAAUGGCACUGACGAAUUUCAGAUUUGAUGCACGAUUUUCGAGAAAAAAGAGUUUUACCGAAAAGAGGAUUUUCGUUCCUUGCUAUUCUCGCAUUGUGAAACCCCUCGUGCUCCGUGCUUGUGACCUGGAGUUGGGUGAAGGAUGUUACAGGUCCCUACUAGCGGUAGGGAAGUCAAAUUUCAAAUGUGAAAUUUGGUUUAUUGGGUUUACACAUUGGUAUAUGUGUGAUAAAUGGAUUAGUUGGAGAGCAGACGAGUUCUGUUGCAAAUCGGCGACCAAAUCGGAUGAAACGAAAUUGUAGUUUCGAUGCCCCCGUCGUGCUGAAUGCGAUGGCACAGUCGGAUUGAAAAUCCGACCGACGGAUUUCCGGUAAUUGCAUAGUUUUCGCUAAGAGGUCGAAGGUGGCGAUUCAGAAACUUCGCAAAAGUCACCAUAUUUUAUGUACCGAAUCGUGCAGAAUCAGACGUGGAGGUGCGUACGUGCAAAAUACACGCGUGGGCAGGGACUUGGAUGAAAAUAUUCAGCUUUGGGGGACGUUUAUGCAAAAUGCCACUUGUAUAUAAGUUUGCAACUAGGGUUUCUUUGCAUGAAACCCUAGAUCCAGCCAACCUAGCUCCCCCAACUAACCCUAGCCAUCACCAGCAUCACCAUGCCCUAGUUGUGCGUGCACCCCGGCCGCCGGCAGGGUGCCCCGACCGCUGGAAAACUCGAUCCCGGCCACCUCUCCAUCUCUCUCUCUCAACCAAUCCACCACCCUCCUCGGCCUUGGAGCUCGGGAAGCCACCACCAGUGUAAGAUCUCCUUUCCUUGGCCGUGGCCCAACCUUCGGCAGCUCCCCCAUCGGUCCUCGCCGCCGUCGUGCGCCGCCGUCGCCGCCUUGGCAGGCUGCGGCCAAAUCUGGCUAAACCUGGCCGUGGAGCUUCAGCUCCAUCCUCGUGUUGUCGCUGCCGCCUUGAGACGGCCGAGCUGCCCUCCUCGGAGCCUCGGCGACCUCCGCCGCCGGCCCCUACUAUCCGCGCGUGUCGCCGGAGCCGCCCAUGCUCUUGGCGGCCAACCCAGACCCUCUGGGACCGAACUCAGCUCAGCUCGGGCCCCGCGCGCCGCCAUCACCUCUGGCUGGCCGCGCCGCCUUCCUGGGCCUUCGGCGACCGGUCGCCGCCGCCCCGUAGCCCCUCCGGCCGCCGCCUGGCUACCUCUGCACUGUGAGCCCAAGGUGGAGGCCGUGCGGGCUCGGGAUCUCCCUGCGCCGCCACUGCAAGCUCCCGACGCCGGCCGGCGUGAGCACCGGCUCCGCCUGGCCGGCCACACCCGUCAGCCGCCGGAUAUCCCGCCGCCGGAGCUCCUUGUUGGUCAGAAUGGGCCCGUGCUCCCCACGGGUUUGGUGGCUAGGGCAUCAGUGCCCGUCGCCGCCGCCGCCUUCCACCACUGGCUAACAUGCGCCUCGGCCCUCCUCCGCCGCCAGCAACCUCCUCUGGUCGGCCCGCCCGCCGUUCGGCCGCCGGCGACCGUCGUCGGGCUCCACUGCUCCGGUAAGCUUUUAAAAAAGCUGUAUGCACAUGGUUUGGAGGUUCCGGUCACCUUUUCGGUGAUCCGAAGGCACCCCGAUGAUAGAGGAAGUGAGCACGAUCAUCAUCCUUUUGUGCUGAACAUCAUACUCACCUCUGUUUAGGUCUGAGAUGCCCUGGUUAGCGAGUUCGACGCGAUUUAAGCGCUGUGCAUGCUGUUUCGCUGAUUUUCGCGUCGCUCGUGCGCGUGCCACAGUGGCCGGCAGUGCUCCGAAAGGUGAACACGGCCUCCGGCACACUGAGACCUAUUAGCGGGUGUCUCGGCUUGGUUGAAUGGCCUCCGGUUUUCGCUGUCGGACCAUAAAAGCCCGGAAUCACAUGAAAUAUCAUGAUUUCAUGGAAUCGGGAGGGCUUUUAUGCAAAUAGGGUUAUUGUAGCUGCUGUUGGCAGCAUGUGUGGGCAGUGGGUAACCUCUGGACUGAUUGUCCAAGGCCCCAGGCCUUUGCGGAGAUCGAAAAUUGAUUUUUCGGUGCGUUUUUCGGCAAAAUCCACGACGGAACGUGUUUUCGGUUCGAAAUUCUUCUGACGGUGCCUCGCGAGUAAUUGUACUGUCGCUAAGCCUUGUUAGCUAGUCACGCGCGUCGUUUUGGGGGUUCGAAAAUGACGGGUGAGCGACGGUGGGUUCCGAUAUCGAAUUUGACACUUCCGGGAAUCCGGAUCGGAACGAUUAUCUGUCAAUAAUCGUUUCGGAGUGAGUUAAUGUUUUUGCUACCAAGUCACACGUAAAUAUGCAUUUAGUGGCAGCGGGCGACUCGUAUCUUGAGUCGGUGAGUUCCGGGACAGUUUGUGGGUCCCGGCGGAGUCCCGGUACGGUUUUUGGGACUUCCGGCAUAUUACGAUAAUCGGUUUUGGGAAACCGAUUUUCGUAGGUUUAUUAGUGGGGACUGUGAUUUUAGUGUUCUUAGUUGUGGGUUAGAUACUAACCUGGUGGACCUUUCGUAGGUCCGGAUGAGGAUCUUCCACAGCCGGAAGACAGGCGCUACACUUGUACAGGUGGGUACUUCGAUCCGAAGUCGGUACAGUAGUGCACGCUCGUGAUGGUUUCUUACCCUUGUUUUUCUAUUGUUACUAUUGCAUAGUAUUUAUUGAGCCUUGCACCCAUGUUGUUUCCGUCAUAAUCUACUCAGUUGUUUCCAUGUUUAGGAGUAGAGUAGAUUUAUCUGCUUAUGACAUCUAUGACCUGGUUGGUCGGUUCCCGUACUUCACAUCCGUUGUUGUGAUAUAUGUGGUCAGUUGGAUUACUUAGUGACCUACGCGGCCAGUUUACCUGAGGGGUUGGAUUGUCGGCUAGUUGCCAAUGUUUUGUGACCUAGUCGGUCAGUUUAUUGCAUUUGCUGUUUUGACAUAUUCGGUCGAUUCUCUGCAUCCGUUUUUGUGAUAUCUGUGACCUGGUUGGUCAGUUCUCGUACUCCGUAUAUGUGACCUUAUUGGUCGGUUGGACUAUUUGGUCACCUAUACAGUCAGUAUACCUGGAGGGUUUGGAUUGUCGGCUAGUUGCCGAUCUUUGGUUAUGACCUUGACGGUCAGUUCGUUGCAUCUGGAUUAUACUUGCAUAUCUUCGUUAGGAUGUUGAGUGGUUCCAUCCUAUUUGACCUGAGCGGUCGGUACUUGUGUUUAUUACAGUUCGAUGACCUAAUGGUCAGUGUGCCCUGAGGGGCAGUGAUUGUCGGCUGGUUGCCGACGGUUGGCUAUUGAGCAUUUAACAUCGAUCGCCACUGCUCGUACGUAUUUCACGAACACCAGCGGUUUGGCCACCGCAAGAGGGUGUUCUUUUCCAGAAAAGUGGUUGGAGGAGCCAACCCGUGAGCCCGGGUGUAACGCACUGGACUUUUGCAAAUUGCGAGGUUUGAGUGAUUGGUUGCAUUCUGAGUUUUUUCCAGACUUUCUGGUGGGUCGUUGACAGUGUUCCGACCUAUGGCUCGUAUCCCGAGGAUUGAGGUUUGAAGCCUGGCACCAAAACCCGAAAAAUUGAAUUUUUGGUUAGCUCUCGGGUAGCCUUCAUUCGGCUGUGUACCGGUACAGGGUUGAUGGCUGUACCGGUACAGGAUUGAUAGUUGUACAGGUACGGGAUGGUGUACCGGUACACAAGCAGCUUCCCAGCCAACCCGAGGCUCGGGUUUGGCAUUUUCGUGGGAUGUGUAUCGGUACGUGGGCCCGUGUACCGGUACGCAGUGACAGAUUCUGAUUGGCCGAAACUGCAGGGGUGUUUUUGCAAUAUGGCAUCUCUAUAUGUAUCCCCACGCCCCUAGGGCUCUCCCUGAGCUUGGCAACUGCAAGGAGAAGGGUAAGGGAGCUCUCCACACUCUCCCAUUUCCUUUUCUUGAUUUUGGUUGGGUUUUUAUGAGAUCAACCCUCUUUUUGCUUGAUUAGAGACUUCUUCACCUUGGUUGAAGCUUGGAGCUUGGUUUUGGAGCAUUGUUGAGGGAAGAACUUUGAAGUUUGAGAACUUUGAGCUUGGAUUGAAGCUUCUAAGAGGUUAGUAGCCCAUUCUCUCCCUCUAGACUUGAGUUUUAUUGAUGGAUUUGAGAUGAAACCCUAGAAUGUGAUUUUAGGGUUGAUUUUGGGUAUUUUGAUUUUAGGGCCUUUUGAGCUAAAUUGAUUGGAUUAGAAUCUUCCAUUAGAUCGGUUUGGAAGGGUUCUAGCUCUCUUUUGGAGCUUAGGAAGAGAUUUUGCAUUAGAGGUGAGUUUUUCUCACCUAAGCUUGAGAAAGUUAAUGUUUGAUUUUGUGGUUGUUCGUAAGGUUUGUUUAACCUUUGUUCUCAUACCUCCAAGGUACUAGGAGGCUAGUGGACGUCCUCGUUGGAGCAAACGUAGGGUUGCGCGACGUUCGGUGGGUUUGGCCUAGCCUAUGAUAUGAGAAAUGCUCAUAUCCGGUGUUUUGUGCUUCGUAAAGUAGAAAUUCAUGCAUAUCCAUGAUAAAUGUAUUUAUUAUGAAUUUUAGAAUGCUUAACAUGCAUAUGUAAUGUAUAGUAAAUUUUGGACCUCUAUGUGGUGGAGUGCAUGCAUGUGAGACAUAGCAUUCUGGUUGAGAUUUGGAACCAUAAUUCCUAUCAUGAAAAUGAACAUUACUUUCAUACAUUUAACCUUUAUGCCCAAUUGUGACAUUAGGGACUUUGGAAGCCUAGAGAGGCUUGGGGAUUUAGACUAUUUCAGAAUUUGGGCCAAUGUCAUAAAGAGGCAUUGGGCCCCGGGCUAUAGUGAACAUUGGUAUUAAUGCCUUAAUUGGGACAUAGAAUAUGAGUUGGGCUUGAUUAGUUGUGAUGCUUAAGUGUCAUAAAGAGGCACUAAGCCAGUGGGUGUUGGGUUAUCACAUUAUGACAUAGAGCUAGACCGUUGGGUUACUAGUAGCUAUUGCCAUGUUUGAGACAUGAGGGUUGGAUACUUGAGCCUUUGACUACGCUUACUUGCCAUUUGUGCUUAUUCGCACAUGCUUGCGAAGGUCGCUCCCUACAAGCCGGCACUCCGGAGUUAGACUACGCGACUUAUGUUCGCUCGUGCGGUAUCGAGAAGCCUACGGGGUCGAGUGGGACAAACUCAUUCCAAGAGCAGGGAUGUUGGGCUACCACAGGCACUUAGGCGGCACAAGCUGGACUACCUUGGGUAGGUCCUUAAUUGGAAAUGGAAAUCGACAUGGUGUUGAAUCUGUUAUAAUCACUACUAGAUAGAGAAUAGUAGUGGGAUUACUUGGACUUGCUUCUAGCAUAGUUUUGAACACUUGAGUAUACAUAUAUACAUGUAGUAUGCUAGGAGAUGUUGCUUGUUGCAUUCAUAUAUACAUUGUUGCCAUGAUAACACAUGAUCUUCAUAAUCUCAUAAAGUAAACCGUGACAUUUACUUGUGGCCAUGUACGGACAUAUUGUUUGUGACAAGGUAAAGGUGCAUCAUAUUAAUGCCAUGUUUAAUUGCAAUAGUGUCUUUGCAUUUUAGUUAUGCUUUCAUAUAUGCAAUUUAUUCGUUAUUACUGCUCUCUUUUUAGACUUACCCUUUCUUUAGGGCCUAGUGGUGCAUUGAGUUGAGGUCAGUAAUUGCCCACUAGGAACUAUAAAUUAUAGUUCUCACGCCCUCUGUUUUAUGUUUUCUUUCAGAGCCUUCCACGCCAGGAGAGGCUAGGGACCGUGGGAAGGGCGUUGCUUCGAGCUAGCUCUUCAGCGAGUGACGAGUUGAUAGGUGGUCUACCUCUCGAUAUUUUUAUUUUGGAGAGGUUGAGAGUUGAUUCCAUGUGUAGAGACCAAGCUUUUGUGUACCUUUUUGGAGAUGAUAUUGUAUAACUUAUAUUUUCACUUUUAUUGUUUAGCUUUUUCCGUGUACCUUGUUAUAGAUUAUAGAUCUACUUGUGCUCUGAUAUCUCUAGUUGUAGAUUAUCUUUGGUUUUGCUUUCCGCUGUCGUUGUAGACGCCUUAUAUGUGCUGACAUAUGGCGGGUCUAGGCACGCUACCGGGAGGGCCCCUGCCGGUCCCGGGGAGUGACACCAGGUGCUUUAUGCGAGGGAUUUAUAUGCUUUCCGACCCGAGUGCUUUAUGCGAGGGUCAUGUACUUUCAGACCCGGGUGCUUUAUGCGAGGGUCAUGUACUUUCGGACCCGGGUGCUUUAUGCGAGGGUCAUAUACCUUUCGGAGCCGGGUGCUUUAUGGAAGGGUCACGUAUAGGUUGAGCAAUUGUGGCACAGGCCUGAGGUCUACGGACCGAUAGGCAAUUUUUAGAUUGGGUAUAUUUGGACUUAUCGUCUGGUUGACGCAUAUGACUAUAGUAGCGGUUGUUGCAUGCAUACUUACAGUUCUUUCUUUACAGUUGUCUUGCUACUAUAGUGGAUAUCCAUGUAUGCAUUCAGUUCUUCCUUACAGUAGCGGUAGUUGUUCUUAUACAUCUUGUUCAUGUAUUAUUGUUGCUAUUGUAUUUAGUAUAUAUCACGCCCCGAGCCCGCUACCAAUUUGGUCCGGUUCGGGCGGGUCGAACAGACGCCGGACGGACAGCACCUCCCCUGUCCACCCAAGGCUAAACAACGCGACUGUGUACAACAAGUGCCCAGGAAAACAAGUUGAAUACAUACACAAUCGAGCAACACAGCGAGAGCACAACCAGUGCUACACAAUCGAGAGUAAGCAUCACAAGUAAUAAACAAGUGAAUAAAAGAGAGAUACUAACUAUUACAACCAUUCAACUUUAAUAUAUUUGGUUAACUUUACAUUUUCCAAAACAUAAACAUAAAGUUUACAAUUUUUCAACUCAGCUCACCCUAUACAUCAUCUACUCUUAAGUACAUAAGGCAGCUCUAAUACAAAAGGAAAGUAAACUAUCAACACUAGGCCGCUAAGCCCUAGCCACGAUCCUCAGCUGACGCACUGGCACGCGGCCCUGCAACAAAGUGGGGUGAGAACUACGAAUAGUUCCCAAUGGGUUCGGCCGCCGACUCCGCUGAUCUCCCCACUAGGUCUAAGCAGGCAUAGGAAGACAACCAGAUAGAUAGGUAGAUAGCUAUAGAUGAAACAACAACUAUAACAAGUAAGUAGAAAUGCAAAUAUCCUACUAUACCUCAAUCCAAUGCUAUGAAUGCAUGCACUACAUAGUAUAAGGCUAGCUACCACGCUACUAUGUCCAACAACGAUGCCACUCUCUACGGGGAGGAUCCGCUCACUCGCCCGACUCACAAUCUAACCGUAGCUGAGGAACCGCUCACUCAAGGUGAGAAUCUACUCACUCACCCGACUCACAACACAAUCAUAGGUGAGGAACCGCUCACUCAAGGUGGGAAUCUAUUCACUCACCCAAAAUUGUCUGCGGGGCCCAAAAAGGCUCACCCCUCGGGACCUAAAAAGGCUAUCCCUAUCGUGUGACAACUCCGGAGUGCACGCUUGUGUGGAGCGACCACCCCAAGCUUUGAACGGACAUGUGAAUAUGAUCAAAUCCUCGACACUAAGGAUACCCUGCCACUAUAGACAACAUCACUUGGAAACUAGUUCAUCCCUAAGUUCAACAUGCAAUAGUGUUUCACCUACACUCUAGUUCAUCAUGCCACUCGUCAAGUUAUUUACUUAUCUAGAUGCCACUCGUUCUUUGGUUCUCGUUAACACAAGGUUAAGUUUGUCAUUUACUUUACCACUAUAGGGUUCCAGGUCACAAUUCCCCCAUUCUCACGCAUCCUAAGUCAAGUGCCAAACUCAUGUUGCUACACUACUAAGGAUCAUGCAAGAAUUAAUGGAAAUGCGACUAUUUAAUACCCUAUUAUGCAUAAUAGUUACACUAGUCCAAUGCCACUCGUUCUUUGUGUUCAACACUAACUAGAUGACACUCGUUCUUAUUUAAGUGUUCCCAAUCCACUACUUGUACAUAAUCACUAGGUUAUCAUUUACCUAGGUUCCAGUCCAUUGUGUAUCAUCUCAUUAUAGGGUUACUAAUCAACAUCUCUCAAUCCCAUGCACACUAGGCUCAAGUGUUAAGCAAACAACAUCACACUACCCCUAGCAUACAAGAACAUGUAUCAACUAAUCAUGCACCAUAUAAUGCAUCAUGCACAAUAUGCAAUUCGAUCAGCAAUAAUACUUAGACAUAGGGAGCAGUUCAACUGCUUCGGGAUGGUCACCACCCACCUUCUAUAGCGUUCCGAUUGCUCGUCGCCACUCACAAUCGGUCUCCCGCGGCGCACGCCGCUCGGCUCGACCCAAUCCACGCGCGUCCACCAAACGACCUCCAAUCGCGAUCCGAAAAUUAAAGGUCUUCGGUUUCUCGUUACGAUACUCGGAAUUUGAUCCCGCGAUUUACGGACGCCGCCUCGGCCCUCCAGGCGGAAACGAAUGUUGGAAGGUCCUUUUUUCCAAUAACUCCACGCUCGCUCGGCGAAUCAGCAAACCGACUGCGCCGAUGGAAUCGUAAGCUUAACAAUCACAUUUACAUAGGGUUAAUCGAGAUCAAACUCUAACUUUUCACAAAAACCCUCACGGAGCCCUAGCUCGCAACUACGGCGCAAACGUGCCGCAAUAACCCUAGAUUCAAGCAUGGAACAUCUACUAGACAUACUAGAGUUCCAACAAAACCAUUUCUAGAGUCUAAAAUCCAAACCUUAGAGAUAUAUCAUUAAAGGGUUUUGGAGCUUACCUCUAAAGCUUUCUCCAAGCUUGAAGAAGGAGAAGAAGAUGCCCUCCUUGUUCUAAGCUUCAACCUCCACCAAGCCUUCUCUCAUUUUCCACCUUGAAGAGAGAGAGAGAGAGCUCUAGAGAGAGAGAGAGAGAGAGAAGUUUAGGGUUUUGGCAAAUGAGAGAAUAAGAGAGAGGAGUAGCCCCCAAGCAACUCUUAUAAUGCAAAAUUACAGAAAAACCCCUCAACUCUCAACACAUCACACAGCCCAUUUCUGGGCAUUUUCGUGGUACGGGGUCCAGACCCUGAAGCUAGGGUUCGGACCCCGAGAGUUGGCAAACUCUGCAAAGUUGCAGACUGCAACUUCUCAGUUUUUUCGUAGCUACGGGGUCCGGACCCUGCCUGCAGCUAGGGUCCGGACCCCGAGAGUGGUAAAACCUGCAAAAUUGCAGAUUUGGCAACUCCAACUCUCCAAGGUCCUCCCCAAUACACUUUUCGCGAUUUCGUCGCAUUCGGACUUUCCGAAGCAUACCAAGUCGACGAUAAGUCAAUUUCAAACGAAGUUCAACUCUCGGAUUUCGAGAAUUCACUUCCUUACAUCCUCCCUGCCUUAAAAAGAGUUUCGUCCUCGAAACGAACUCAAUUCACUUCAAAUCCAACUCAAUGCAAUUCUAACUCACACCUCAACUUAACUUAUUGAGUAGUCGAGGGAUCCAAUGUGCUUUCACCAAAUCCACGUGGCUAUCCAAUACCCAAGUGUCUCCUAGAGACCACUUUGCUUUCUCCUCCAAUUGCCACGGCCAACACCAAUUUGUUCUCACAAAUAGUUCACACGAACACCCGUUCGUGAAUCCACACCUAAACUCGUCGAUAAAGCUACUCGCCUACCACCUGCGUCGAUUUCAUAGGUGAAUCAGAGGCCACCAACCCUACACAGGUCUACAGCUUAAUCUGUUUCAACAUAUGCACAUCUUUCGCUUACCAGCGUUGACUCAAUCACAACCGGGCGAAAUUCUCACUUGGAAAUUCGCUCACGCUCCAACCAGGAGCAACCAAGACCCCAAACCACGUAAAAUCUUCAAGUUGGAUCAUUACGCACUCGGUGUACCAUCAAUCUCGUACUCUAACACGUGGCAUUCCAUGCUUCCGGGUCUAAACUCGGACUACCACCAAAACCAAGAUCUCCGCCCUUCUCAAUUCGAGGUAAACAACGCACUAUCACAACUCGUGCAUACUAUGCCUUGGUCUCUACUAUGCUUAUAAAUAAUAGUAGCCAACGAUCACAAUUACAAGCGCAUGCCAUGCACCUACUUAACAUCAUGUAGAGGUACACACUUGCUUCUACUGAACCAUACCUGCCAUGACGUCGCGUGCCUCAAACUCGGCAGGUUCCUCAACUUGACAAAGUCGGUGGGGCUCCUCCAUAAUGGCCCAGAACUGCCGGAGCCGAUGCGACCGACGGGGCAUGCAAGGCCUUUCUCGGGCAAUCACGGGCUAUGUACCCCGCCUGGCCGCACUCAUAACAUCUCCCACGGCGAUGCUCACUGUAAUAUACCGAAAAUUCGAAAAAUAAAUAUCGAACUUUAGUCAAAUUGACCAAAGUGCGAGGACGGUACACUUCGAAAAGUCCGAAGGUGCUAAAAUGAUCGAAAGUGAGUUGUGGAAGGUUUUCGAGAGCUAAAGAAUCAAAUUCUGCAAAACUGCAGAUUUUCAGCUCUCGGGGACCGGUCCCUAAAGGGAGAGACCGGUCCCCGAACACGUAUGAAAUGAGACAGCCGAAAAAUCGGCUAAGUCCUGGAAGGAUAGCUCUCGGGAACCGGUCUCUGCCUGAGAGACCGGUCCCCCAGAGACCGGUCCCAUAAGGAGAGACCGGUUGCACUGCGCGCAGCAGCUCUGGCUGCGCAGGGUGGACGUUCGGGAACCGGUCCCUGCUCGGGGAGACCGGUCUCUGCCUGCGCGGAAUGCCCAGUUCGGGCAGUGUAUUAAAGUGAAAGUUGAGGGGUUUAUUUGCAUUUUGGCAACCCAUUGAGCUAUGUUAGGGGGGCUGAGGGGUUUUUCUCUCAUUUCUCACCCUAUCACACUCCCUUCUCUCCCUCUCUCUCUCUAGAAGACAAAGGAGAAGAAGAAGAAAGGAAGAAAAGAAGGAAAAGAAGGAGAAGAAAGUGAAGAAGAAGAUCAAGGAGCAAAGGAGCCUCAUCUUCUUCCUCUCUAGGGCAAGAAAGGAAAGCUUACAAGGUAAGCUUUGAUCUAUAUUGUAGAAAAACCCUAGAAUGAGUUUUGAAUAACCUAGAAAUGAGUUUUAAAGGGAUAUUUGAAGAGUUUUGAAGCUUUCUUUUGCUUCUUUAGAGAUCAAGUCCAUGGUUGAGCUCAAGGUGAGCUUCAACCCACCUCUAAUGGUGAAAUCCAAACUAGGGUUUGGAGUGAGUUAAGAAUGGUUCUUAUGGACUAAUUAGAGUGUAAUGAAGCUACUUUUGCUUCUCUUUGAGAUCAAACCCUAGGUUUGAUACAUGUGUUGGAGCUAGGGCACCAAAUUGGGGCUUUUGCUCAUGAGGAUUGCUAAGUGCAAUUGACCCUCUAAAAACCUAAUUGGGGGUAUUUCCGACGCGUUGGUGCGCUCGGAAUAGCAUUUCGAAAAGUGUAUGAAAGGUUAUGGGCAAAAUGGCCUGAUAAGGGUUCGUUUUGCCGCAGGUAAAGAACGAGGCAUCUAAAAAUCCUAAGAAAAUCAUCGGAGCACCUAAAGAGACCUACAAGGUGGGUGGUGCUUUUCAAACUCAUUGAAAUUCUCUCUAUGCCUAAUGUGUCAUUCUUUGAGCAUACGUUCUAUAUAUUGCUGCAUGCAUUUUAGGGUAAAGUAAUGAUGAAAUGUGAUGAUUGCAUGAUUGUGAGCACAACUUGCAUAAUGAGAUGGUUGAGAACCUAAUAAUGUAAAAACCCUAGAUGUAUGCAUGAGAGUUAAUGUGAGCACCCAAAGUGAGCAAAAGAACAGAGUGACACAAUGACAUAGAUCGAGUGGCAUCCGAUAAAGCUAAUGUGAAAUGACACUAGAGUUAGUGUGAUGUAAAGGACUAAAGUGAUGUAAAGAACACUAGAGCUAGUGUAUAGUCAAGAUUGAACUAUAAUCCUUUGAGUUAAGGAUAUGAUCAUACUUGCUGUUGAGUUCCGUGCUCGAGGGUGGUCGCUCCCCCUCGGGCGAUGCGCUCCGGAGUUAUGCAUCCGAGUUGGAGUAGACCCGUAAGGACGGUCCUAGCUGGUGAGUACCUGCGAUGAUGGACUUAACGUGAGGCAAGUUAAUGUGGCGAAACCCCUGGGUUAGCCUUAAUGAUUAAAGAGCAAAGAACAAAGAAUAAAGAACAAAGAGUAAAGUGAAAAGAACUAAAGAACAUGCAUAAUCUGCAUCUAUUAAUGUUGAGCAUACUCCUUGCUUUUGUUCAGGCAUAUUAGCAUCAUGUUAUAGAUUGGUUACCGUAUUUCAGCUUAUCCUUUCUAUUAUGCCUGAGUUAGUCCUAGUGGGAAAGUUGGUGAUGUUGAGGCCGAACCCACUGGGAACUUUGUUGUAGUUCUCACCCCACUAUUUCCACAGAGCCGGGACCGAGCGAGCCGGCGAGCGACCGCGGUAAAGGUAUCGCGCCUUAGUCAGAGGCCACCAAUGUUGGGUUACAUUUUGUAGCAAACACCCUUUUAUCAUCUUUUGUACUUGAUGAUUAGCGAUGUAAAGAAAAGAAUGUAAAGCUCCUUUGAGGUAAAUGUGAUGUAAGAAAGAAAUGAUGAAAUUAUGUAAGAACAGCAAAGAAUCUUAAAUAUAAGAAAUGGAUGCAAUGUAUAUAAUCUGAAAUGAAUCAUAUUACUUGUGAAUGUUUAGUUUUCCUUUCUUUCACUUAUGGCUAUUGCUUACCCUCGUGUAAGCCGUUUGUGUAUGUUUCCGCUAGUGCACUUCUUAUUGAAAUUGUACAUGUGAUGAGCCUUGGGCGGAUAGGGAAAACUCUGUCCGUUCGGCGUCUGUUUGACGUGCUCGGGUCGGGCCAAAUUGGCAUCGGUCCCGGGGCGUGACACUCACAGUGCGUCACUCGGUGGCCUCGACCACAGAAGAUCCGCCUUUCCACUUCACGGCCCUCGGACCGCUCUCGCAGGUACUUCGGGGGCUUCAUGGAACCCGAUUGACCUCCAGAGCCACCGCCCUGCCGCUUCAUUCCCUUGUCCUUCUCGAAUGCCUCGCGCUCUUCUCACUCGCAAGCAUUCCCGUGCUCAACCCACAAGGCACGGUCCAACACUUCCGCAAAGGUGCGAAACUUAAAAGCAUGCACCAUUCGGAAUACUCCAGGCCAAAGUCCCUGCACGAAGCACUCCGCCCGAUCUUGCUCGGUCCUCGCCAUGUCCGGGACACAAUUUAGGAGAUGAGUGAACUCCCGCUCAUAAUCCCAAACCGUGCGAUCGCCCUGCUUGAGCUUCCGUAAGUCCUCUCGCAUCUUCCGUUUCUCACUGUCCGGAAAGUACUCCGCAAAUAUCAACCUUCGAAACUCCUCCCAAUCGAUCGUGGGAAGGUCCGAGAUCGAUCCUGCUUCACUCUCCGCCACCACACUCUGGCCCGCUUAUCAAAACAAUGCGCGGCCAAAGGCACCUUAUCACGCUCCGUGGUGUAGAUGUCCUCGAACAGGGUUUCCAUUGCGGCCAACCAUUUCUCUACUGUCCAAGGAUCAACCACUUCACCGUCGAAUGUAGGAGGGUGGAACUUCAUGAACCUCGUGAGAGCCGUGUAACCACGCUCUCGCUCUGCCUCCUCAAUCGCCACAUCGAGUGAAACAGAACCCGACGCCGCAGGAGGAACACUCGCCGGCGGGGGUUGCGCCGCCACUGGCGCCACCGGAACACCCUCACCCUCAGCCGCAUUAGGAGCGCGAGCCGAGGGCGCGGGCAGGUCACGACCUCCAGCCACCAUCGCAGCCACCGCCGCCAUUUGUCGCUCCACUAACUCCUGGAGCCGCCCAAACUGACAAGCUUGUGUGGUCAUCUGCGCCCGUAACUCCUGCAUCUCACUAGGCCUAGCUGACCCUGGCACCUCGGGAGGUCCAGCCUGCUCUGGCACCUCAGGAGGCGGUGCCGGAACCGAUCUACGCACGUAGCGUCUCGGGGACAUUAGCUCCUGAAAUGCAACAAACCGGUUAAUUACUUAACCCAUUAACGUUAUCGCAAUUAUGAGACGAAAUAACUCAACAACACAAAUCAAGCGGAAGUUCGGAAGCGUGCUUAUCCUCGACUCUCGGCGUCGUGUUGUCGGCCGCAAACACAACCACCUUGAGCCAAGGACUAGUACCACUUGAAUCCAUCUCUAGCAACUACUAGAGUCUCCACAUCAACGUCGACCCAAUCGAUCAACUUCCGCCACCGUCAUAGGUUCACGUCGCACUCACGCACCUAUAUCCUUAAGGCUCACCAUCCUAAGGUCUCCUAGGUCGGUCCUAGACUCUCUCUUUGCUUGCUCUUAACUCCCUCUGAUACCACUUUAUCUGUCACGCCCCGAGCCCACUACCAAUUUGGUCCGGUUCAAGCGCGUCGAACAGACGCCGGACGGACAGCACCUCCCAUGUCCACCCAAGGCUAAACAACGCGACUGUGUACAACAAGUGCCCAGGAAAACAACUUGAAUACAUACAUAAUCGAGCAACACAGCGAGAGCACAACCAGUGCUACGCAAUCGAGAGCAGGCAUCACAAGUAAUAAACAAGUGAAUAAAAGAGAGAUACUAACUAUUACAAACAUUCAACUUUAAUACAUUUGAUUAACUUUACAUUUUUCCAAAACAUAAACAUAAAGUUUACAAUUCUUCAACUCAUCUCACCCUAUACAUCAUCUACUCUCAAGUACAUAGGGCAACUCUAAUACAAAAGGAAAGUAAACUAUCAACACUAGGGCGCUAAGCCCUAACAACGAUCCUCAGCUGGCGCACUCGCACUCGGCCCUGCAACAAAGUGGGGUGAGAACUACGAAUAGUUCCUAGUGGGUUCGGCCGCCGACUCCGCCGAUCUCCCCACUGUCUAAGCAGGCAUAGGAAGACAAUGAGAUAGAUAGGUAGAUAGCUAUAGAUGAAACAGCAACUAUAACAAGUAAGUAGAAAUGCAAAUAUCCUACUAUGCCUCAAUCCAAUGCUAUGAAUGCAUGCACUACAUAGUAUAAGGCUAGCUACCACGCUACUAUGUCCAACAACGAUGCCAGUCUCUACGGGGAGGAUCCGCUCACUCGCCCGACUCACGAUCUACUCUCUACGGUGAGGAUCCGCUCACUCGCCCGACUCACAAUCUAACCGUAGCUGAGGAACCGCUCACUCAAGGUGAGAAUCUACUCACUAACCCAACUCACAACACAAUCAUAAGUGAGGAACCGCUCACUCAAGGUGAGAAUCUACUCACUCACCCAACUCACAACAUAAUCAUAGGUGAGGAACCGCUCACUCAAGGUGAGAAUCUACUCACUUACCCGAAACUGUCUGCGGGGCCCAAAAAGGCUCACCCCUCGGGACCCAAAAAGGCUAUCCCUAUCGUGUGACAACUCCGGAGUGCACGCUUGUGUGGAGCGACCACCCCAAGCUUUGAACGGACAUGUGAAUAUGAUCAAAUUCUCGACACUGAGGAUACCCUGCCACUAUAGACAACAUCACUUGGGAACUAGUUCAUCCCUAAGUUCAACAUGCAAUAGUGUUUCACCUACACUCUAGUUCAUCAUGCCACUUGUCAAGUUAUUUAAUUAUCUAGAUACCACUCGUUCUUUGGUUCUCGUUAACACAAGGUUAAGUUUGUCAUUUACUUUACCACUAUAGGGUUCCAGGUCACAAUUCCCCCAUUCUCAUGCAUCCUAAGUCAAGUGCCAAACUCAUGUUGCUACACUACUAAGGAUCAUGCAAGAAUAAUGGAAAUGUGACUAUUUAAUAUCCUAUUAUGCAUAAUAGUUACACUAGUCCAAUGCCACUCGUUCUUUGUGUUCAACACUAACUAGAUGACAUUCGUUCUUAUUUAAGUGUUCCCAAUCCACUACUUGUACAUAAUCACUAGGUUAUCAUUUACCUAGGUUCCAGUUCAUUAUGUAUCAUCUCAUUGUAGGGUUACUAAUCAACAUCUCUCAAUCCCAUGCACACUAGGCUCAAGUGUUAAGCAAACAACAUCACACUACCCGUAGCAUACAAGAACAUGUAUCAACUAAUAAUGCACCCUAUAAUGAAUCAUGCAUAAUAUGCAAUUCGAUCAACAAUAAUACUUAGACAUAGUGAGCAGUUCAACUGCUUCGGGAUGGUCACCACCCACCUUCUAUGGCUUUCCGAUUGCUCGUCGCCAUUCGCAAUCGGUCUCCCGCGGCGCACGCCGCUCGGCUCGACCCAAUCCACGCGGGUCCACCGAACGACCUCUGAUCCGCGAUCCGAAAAUUAAAGGUCUUCGGUUUCUCGUUACGAUACUCGGAAUCCGAUCCCGCGAUUUACGGACGCCGCCUCGGCCCUCCAGGCAGAAACAAAUGUUGGAAGGUCCUUUUUUCCAAAAACUCCGCACUCGCUCGGCGAAUCAGCAAACCGACUGCGCCGAUGGAAUCGUAGGCCUAAUAAUCACAUUUACAUAGGGUUAAUCGAGAUCAAACCCUAACUUUUCACAAAAACCCUCACGGAGCCCUAGCUCGCAACUACGGCGCAAACGUGCCGCAAUAACCCUAGAUUCAAGCAUGGAACAUCUACUAGACAUACUAGAGUUCCAACAAAACCAUUUCUAGAGUCUAAAAUCUAAACCCUAGAGAUAUACCUUUAAAGGGUUUUGGAGCUUACCUCCAAAGUUUUCUCCAAGCUUGAAGAAGAAGGAGAAGAAGAUGCCCUCCUUGUUCUGAGCUUCAACCUCCACCAAGCCUUCUCUCCUUUUUCACCUUGAAGAGAAAGAGAGAGAGAGCUCUAGAGAGAGAGAAAGAGAGAGGUUUAGGGUUUUGGCAAAUGAGAGAAUAAGAGAGAGGAGUAGCCCCCAAGCAACUCUUAUAAUGCAAAAUUGCAGAAAAAUCCCUCAACUCUCAACACAUCACAUAGCCCAUUUCUGGGCAUUUUCGUGGUACGGGGUCCAGACUCUGAAGCUAGGGUCCGGACCCCGAGAGUUGGCAAACUCUGCAAAGUUGCACACUGCAACUUCUUAGGUUUUUCGCAGCUACGGGGUCUGGACCCUGCAACUAGGGUCCGGACCCCGAGAGUGGUAAAACCUGCAAAAUUGCAGAUUUUGCAACUCCAACUCUCCAAGGUCCUCCCCAAUGCACUUUUCGCGAUUUCGCCGCAUUCGGACUUUCCGAAGCAUACCAAGUCGACGAUAAGUUGAUUCUAAACGAAGUUCAACUCUCGAAUUUCGAGAAUUCACUUCCUUACAGUAUACCUGCUCAUGACCUUGUUUGUUUAUCUCUUCCUGAUCCGGUGAGUACUCCUCACUUUCGUCGGCUUGCAGUACCCACUGGGAUGGGAGACAUGUUUACAUAUUCUCACCUCCCCCACCAUUUUUCAGGUAUUGCGGGCGGUGAGAGUUGAGACGAGACGUGAGAUACGUUCGUUGCGGUCGAUAGAGCUUCCGACCCAGGUUAUUCAGUUUAUCUUCUACCCUUACUAUUUUAUUAAUUUAGCUUAGACAGUUGUAUGGUUCAGUAUUUUUAUUACAUGUGAAUAUGUGAGUUUUCAUGAAUGUAAUAAAAGGAUUUGUGGAUUUUGGUGAAAUGGAAAAAUAAUUUUCUACCCCUCGUGGUAGUGUUUUAAAGAAAAAAGGAUUUCCGUGUGGGAAACAGAUUUGAAAAAGGUAUUCUUGUGGUUUUCAUAAACUAGUAUUUCAAAAUGAGUUUCCGGGUAGGAAACAUUUCAACUAAUAGUUGUGGAUUUAUGUUUCAGACUAUGAAUGUAAACCUGUGGUGAAUGGUGUAUGAACUUAUGAAUGUAUAGAUGUUUGUAUGUUCAGUGGUAGUGGUUGUAUCCUGGUCAUGUACUUGUACUUGUGCGACGCCGUGCAAAUACAAGGGAGACUCUGUCCGUGUGAACAAUGGACUCCCUGUAUUUGUGGCGGGUCUGGCAUAUCCUAGGGUCAGGUUUUCAAAAUNCAGGGGUCAGGUUUUCAAAAAAAAAAAAAAAAAUCGCUGUAUUUAAACUAUAAAGAGACCCCGGGGCGUGACAGAUUAAAAUGGUGUCAGAGCCAAGUUACAACCACGGCACCAUUCACAGGUUAUUUUGAUAAAAUAAAUAAAAACUGAACCAUUUGUUAGGUUGACCCAUAGGAAGACCUACGGUUUAUAGGCACGUGAGUGCGGGCUUUGGGCUUGAGUCCCGAUGUGCAUUCGAGAUUGGUAAACUCGAAGUGCACGGUUAUUUCCAUAUGUACGGUUUUCGCACAAGCUCGUGUCGUAGUCGGGAGUAGUGGCGGUGUACAUAUACGGACAUCGAGUGGCGGGGUGAGGUUCCCCAGGUGUAGCCACUCCUGUCAGGUCGGGCCUUGAAGGGCCAGUGAUUUUCGGGCUUAGAUGAGUGUCUUGACUGCCGAUGCCCGGGCCACUCUUCCUACUUUGGACACGAGAGCUACUGCGAGUGUCUCUACGGAGACAGCACUAAGACCUGUUACGGUCGCGACUUCUGUGGGGCUACUAGGGUGUAGUCCAGGGUGUGGCUAGUAGCUGUCUAGACGACUGCAACAUUGGUGUUGCUUUCACAGAUCUUGGGUAAGGUUGUGAUGCCUAUCCCUCAUUCUUGUUUGCUGAUGGAAUCAGCGGUUUGGGUCUUUGACCUUUAACUAGUUCAUACGUCAAACUGACGCGUACUAGAAUCGGUUAGACACAGUUUUGGUGUCAGGUCUCUGUUGAUACAUACAUUGUAUGCGGUUAUCCUUAACACCUAAACUGGUGUGUCAUGGGAUAGUAGAUGGUUUGGUAGGAUCCGUCUUGACUCGAGUUACUCCAAGGUAUUGUCGGAGUUCUCGGCGCUUCGAGUAUAGCUCGGUUGUGGUGCGGAAAUCGGUUAGAGAAACCAUUUCCUAUAGCCUCGGCUUGUGUUGUUCGGGGCUUAGUGUCGCUAGCAGCUUUCAGAUGUUUUAAGCUACGGGACUCCUGGUGAGUUGGUUCAGGGUCGAUCUGUUUUUGAAUGUCGGCUUGCAAAGUCGAUGUUUCGACGAUUUUUGUUGUGAACUUUUGGUUCAGUGAGGAAGUAUCAGGUGGCUUGAUACUUCGAUGUGUCAUGCUUCCAACUCGUUGUUGGUAGUGGAUCUUCGGAUAUUUCGCUUUUCUUUUGAUAAGUACAUUGGCUGUAGACAAUGUACUGUCGAAAGUUAGGACGAAAUACCCUCUUCCCGUUUGGGACUCAUGGAUUGGGUCGGUAUUUUUCUCUAAAUUGUCUUGGGAAAUCUUGAGUGACCACAUAGUGAGCCUUGGAUUAUUCCCUAGCAAGUUUUGCGUAGUUGAUUUAUCGUCACUGCUUAUGGUUUUGACUCUGGUUGAGUCUAGGUGCUCGUUAGUUCUUUAGUUGUGCUUCCCACAGCUAAAAGAUUUGUUUGGUUAGUAGUCUCGGUCUGUUUGCCAGGAGGUUCAGAAUCACAGUUGUUGAGUGACUUAAGCCCGGUUGUUGGUUUUGAUUGUCACCGUAUGUGAUAGCGUGUAAGGUUUGCGACUCAGCUUAUCGUGCAAACCUUGGAGUGGUAUGCUUGUACGGUUAUUUUGUGACAGGUGGGCCUAGGUCUCAAUGAGACAGGUAUUUGGGAGUUGCUGGGAACAUCGAUCGCUAGGGUCCUUUGUAGGACGGCAGCGACAGGGUCUCGUAGAGACAGGUGUUGGGCAUCACCGAUGGUUAGUAUCACAUAUUGCGAUUGGCGACCCUGUGCACCAAGUAAUGGGCUUGCAUGGGACAUAUGUUGGUUGGAUUGAAAUAUUGAGCGAACAAAUUGUCCAGCUCAAUUGGUAUUGUCAGCCUUGGACCUUUUGGUCUGGUGGAAAGUGAGGCCUUGGACCUAGGACUGUAGAAUGCUGCAGGUGACUUUCCGUUGAUGGAGGUUGACUUUGGCAGUUGUGUGGUAACUGGUCAGAGACCGUGGUUUCCAAGGUGAGUGAUUUGACUCAGGUUUGAGGUCAACGAUGCGCCUUCGCUCGAGGUGAGCUUGUUAAUGUUGUUUUCUAGUCAGCACGUGUCGUUUUGACCUACGAAACUUUUCCGGACUUGUGGGGCUGUUCUGCGACUUUUCUACAUGAACUAUAGACGUAGUCGAGUCGGUCACUGCUACGCGGACCAAGGUUGAGUAGACCUAGAAUUUCUGAGUGUUGAAAUGUUAUCUCAGAAACGGCAAAUUGGGAUCGAACAAUCCUAGUCGCGGGACUGUCUUUGUCCGCAGGUUAUAGGAUGGUGUUGAUCCUGGUGGGUUGUGGUCCGUAGAUUUUGGGUUGGUACAUUACCCUCGUCUUGUCCGAGUAGGACCGUAUCCUAUCCUUCCCUUUCUCAGAGGUUGAUCUGUCCAAAUACAAGGAUUUGUGACUGACCAGUACAUUGGUGGAGCAAUGUCUGAUUGCGAUUUCAGUGGGUAUGUGGCCAAGUUUCGGGGACAAAACUUCUUUUAAGGGGGACAUAAUGUAAGGACUAAGAUUUUGACAGUGCAGCUAAACUCUCUGUUGAUGAUGUUUCUAUGUGUAAUUUAAUUACAUAAACACUCGUCAAGUUUUAGGAGAAAAUGAGCUAGAAUGGAGAAGUUACGUGAUCUUUAGUUUUCACUUAAGUGAAUAGUAACUCCGGUUUUUCGGAGAAGCCACGGAGUAGAGUUGGCUUUUGGCGCAUCGUUCAUAGCGAUCCAAUAGCUCGUUUCGACCGGUUCAGCUAUUCUAGAACCAAUGGCACUGACGGAUUUCAAAUCUGAUGCACGAUUUUCGAGAAAAAAGAGUUUUACCGAAAAGAGGGCUUUCGUUCCUUGCUAUUCUCGCAUUGUGAAACCCCUCGUGCUCUGUGCUUGUGACCUGGAGUUGGGUGAAGGACGUUUCGGGUCCCUACUAGCGGUAAGGAAGUCAAAUUUCAAAUGCGAAGUUUGGUUUAUUGGGUUUACACAUUAGUAUAUGUGUGAUAUAUAGAUUAGUUGGAGAGCGGACGAGUUCUGUUGCAAAUCGGCGACCAAAUCGGAUGAAACGAAAUUGUAGUUUCGAUGCCCCCGUCGUGCUAAAUGCGAUGGCACAGUCGGAUUGAAAAUCCGACGGACGGAUUUCCGGUAAUUGCAUAGUUUUCGCUAAGAGGUCGAAGGUGGCGAUUCGGAAACUUUGCAAAAGUCAUCAUAUUUUACGUACCAAAUCGCGCGAGAUCGGACGUGGAGGUGCGUACGUGCAAAAUACACGCGUGGGCAGGGACUUGGAUGAAAAUAUUCAGCUUUGGGGGACGUUUAUGCAAAAUGCCACUUGUAUAUAAGUUUGCAACUAGGGUUUCUUUGCAUGAAACCCUAGAUCCAGCCGACCUAGCUCCCCCAACUAACCCUAGCCAUCACCAGCAUCACCAUGCCCUAGCUGUGCGUGCACCCCGGUCGCCGGCAAGUGCCCCGGCCGCCGAAAAACUCGAUCCCGGCAACCUCUCCAUCUCUCUCUCUCAACCAAUCCACCACCCUCCUCGGCCUUGGAGCUCGGGAAGCCACCACCAGUGUAAGAUCUCAUUCCCUUGACCGUGGCCCAACCUCCGGUAGCUCCCCCGUCGGUCCCCACCGUCGUCGUGCGCCGCCGUCGCCGCCCUGGCAGGCUGCGGCCAGAUCUAGCUAAACCUGGCCAUGGAGCUUCAGCUCUAUCCUCGUGCUGUCGCUGCCGCCUUGAGACGGCCGAGUUGCCCCACCCGGAGCCUCGGCGACCUCCGCCGCCGGCCCGUACCGUCCGCGCGUGUCGCCGAGCCGCCCAUGCUCUCGGCGGCCAACCCAGACCCGGCUGGGACCGAGCUCAGCUUGGCUCGGGGCCCGCGCGCUGCCAUCACCUCUGGCUGACUGUGCCGCCUUCCUGGGCCUCCGGCGACCCGUCGCCGCCGCCCCGUAGCCCCUCCGGCUGCCGCCUGGCUACCUCUGCACUGUGAGCCCAAGGUGGAGGCCGUGCGGGCUCGGGAUCUCCCUGCGCCGCCACCGCCGGCUCCCGACGCCGGCCGGCGUGAGCACCGGCUCACAAAAGGUAAGCACCCUGCUCUUGCAGUCAAUCGUCAUGUAGUACUUCGAGAGCCAAUCCAUGCCCAAUAUGACAUCAUACUCUUUCAGCUUCUUGAGCACCAACAUGCGAAUCGGCAUUAUCCAAUCGCCUAUUUGUACUGGGCACGUUAAACACUCCUUGCGGAUCAGAAAAUCACGCCCAGGGCCAGACACACGCCAAGUGCUCUUACUAAAUUGAAACUCGAUACCAUGCAUUUGUGCAAAUGGCCUGCUUAUGAAUGAAUGCGUAGCACCUGUAUCAAACAUAGCUCGGGAGCGAACUCCGUUAAUUAAAACCAUACCUGCCACCACAUGGCGCUCCUCAGGCUCGGCAGGUUCCUCCACUUGAAUUUGAGCGGCGAACACCCGCCUGCUCGGUGCCGAUCGUGUCACCUUAGGUUGACGCGGCGCCAUCGUGUGUCCCGCUGACACCGCCGUCGGUGGAGCUCCCACAUAAUGAGCUGGAAUCACCGGCGCUAAUGCAAUGGAUGGAGCAAGCGAGGCUCUACCUCCUGGGCAAUCACGUAUGAAGUGCCCCGGUUGCCCGCACUUGAAGCACUUGCCUUGGCGCUGAUAACAACGCGACGAUUGGUGGUUUCCGCCGCAAAUGACACACCGCCGCGCUCCACGGCCCUUGUACUGAGUCCGCGGAUACUUCGGGGGCUUUUUAGAACUCGUCGGACCCCCCGAACCGCCGCCUUGCUGUUUCUUGCCCUUAUCCUUGGACUCAGCUAAAAGCUCACGCUCCUCGCGCACAUGGGCAUCUUCGUGCUCUGCCCACAGCGCCGGAUCAAACACCUCCGCAAAGGUCGUGAGCUUGAAUAUCUGCACGACCUUGUAAAUUCCUGGCCGAAGUCCCCUCAAGAACCAGUCGGCUCUGUCCCUAUCAUCUUUCACCAUAUCCGGGACAUAGUCAAUGAUGUGGGAAAACUAUUGCUCAUAGUAGCCACAGUGCGGUCCCCCUGUCGUAAUUUGCGGAACUUCUCUUGCAGCUUCCGCUUCUGAGUAUCGGGGAAGUAGUUGGCGAACAUCGCCCUCUUGAACUCUUCCCACACCAUCGGUGGAAGUUCCGAAGGCCUAUCUCGCUUCACUCUCUUCCACCACACUUUCGCUGUCUUCUCCAAACAGUGUAUGGCGAGGUACACCUUGUCCUUCUCCGAGGUGGACAGGUCCUCGAAGAGCGUCUCCAUCGAGUCGACCCACGACUUGACCAUCGCCGGCACUACCUUCUUUCCCUCGAAGAUAGGCGGAUGAAACUUGUUGAACUUGAUCAGAGCCGCCAACGCGCGCUCCUUCUCCGCUUCCUCAGCCGUCGCAUCGGGUGUCACCGAACCCGACGCCGCAGGAGGAACGACCAUCGGCGGGGGAUGUGCCGCCACCGGAAUCGCCGCUAUACCCUCACCCUCAGCAGCUUCGGGCUCACGCGCCGAGGGUGCGAGUGGAACACGACCGUCCGUCGCCAUCGCAGUCGUCGCUGCUAAUUGCCGUUCCAUCAACUCUCGGAGCUGCCCAAAUUGACCCGCAAGUGCGGUCACUUGCGCCCGAAGCUCCUGCAUCUCGUUCGGCCCGGCCUAUGCAGGCACCACAGGAGGCUCUGGGGCUCGUGCAGGUUCAACUUGCUCGGGCACCUCGGGAGGCGGUGCCGGAGCCGAUCUGCCUGUGUAGUGUCUCUUCGGGGCCAUUAGCUCCUGAAACGCAAGUACUUGGUUAAUCAUCUUAACCCAUUUACUUCGUCGCAACUACGACUCAAAAUGAUCCAACAACGAAAUCGGGCGGAAGCACACAAGUGUACUCGUUCUAGGCUCUCGGCAUCAUGUCGUCGGCCGCCGACACAACCACCUCAAGUCAAGAACUAAUACAACUUGAAUUCAUCUCUAACAACUACUAGAGACAUAUCGCCAACUUCGACCCAAUCGAAUCACUUCCGCCACCGUUAUUGGUUCACGUUCCACUCACGCACUUAUAACCUUAAGGUUCACCGUCCUAGGGUCUCCUAGGUCAAUCCUAGACUUUUUCUCUUUACUUGCUCUUAUUGCUCUGAUACCAUUUAUAUCUGUCACGCCCCGGGACCGCUACCAAUUUGGCACGGCUCGAGCGCGUCGAACAGACGCCGAACAGACAGCACCUCCCCCGUCCGCCCUAGGCCAACAACCCGAUCAUGCACAAGAAUUUGCCCAGGAAAUAGAAAUUCAUACAUACACGAUCACAAGGGCACAAAUAGUGCCAACAUACAAGAGCAAGAAUCCACAAGCAUACACAAGUAAAAUAAAGAGAGAUAUAACUAGCUAUUACAUCCAUUUGCAUUCAAUUACAUUUUAAGGCUCUUUUACAUCACUCCCAAAAUGAAUACAUAAUCCUUUCAAAUACAUAAGUGGCUCUCCCAAAAUAAAAAGCAUCUAGAUACAUAAGGGUACUAUAAUGCAAAAGGGAAGCUACUCUACUACUGCUCGGGCGUUAUGCCCUUACUGCGGUCCUCGCCCGGCGCGCUCAUACUAGGCCCUGCAACAAAGUGGGGUGAGAACUAUUGUCCAUAGUUCCCAAUGGGUUCAGCCGCCGACUCCGCCGAUCUCCCCACUAGGUCCGAGUGGGCAAAAGCAGAUAGAUAGAUAGUUAUGAAAAACUGUAAAUGCAAUAGUAGGAAAACUAUGCUACUAUGCCCAAUCAUAUGUCGUAUAUGCAUGCAUCAUAUAGUAAAAGGUUUACUAACAUGCUACUAUGUCCACUAUUCAUGUCCAAUAAGCAAAUGUUCAAGUAACAAUACUAUUCUCACGUUCAACCAAUCCUUGGCGAUCCACUUGGGUUCGCCCACGACUCACCUCAAACCUCGUAUGGUAAGGAGACACACCUCGCUCUCAAACCCAAGGCCGCCUACGCGACAUCAACUCUGCCCCUCUCGCACCAAACUCUGAAGUGCACGAAGACCUGGGUGGUGCGACCACCACAAGUAUGAACAGACUAUGAAUAUGAUCAAUCCUCUCAACUCGAGGAUACCCUAUCAACUCUAGGGUUACAAGUCACUCGGGAAUCCACCUAUCCCAAAGUCCAAUUAUGAAUGUUUGGCUACAUUAUGUUCUUGUCCAACGAGUCAUUUACUAGGGAAUCCACCUAUCCCUAAGUUCACAUACCACUAGUGUCAUUUACACUAAGUUAUAUGCCACUCGUUCUUGUUUGUUUAACAGUCAAUGCCACUCAAUAUGUCUUUAACAAUCAUCGAGUUCAUCUCCUCUCUCAGCACUAUAGAAUUCAAUGUUAAGACCCAAUCCUCAUCUAACCAUCAUCAUGCAUUCAACUCAUACAUCGAUAUCAUUAGCAAGCAUAAGGAAAGGAAUAACAUGCAAUUCUACAAUGCUACAUGCAAGAGAUGCAAAUCAUGAAGUACUAAGACAUAGAGAGAAACCCGGUUGCUUCGGGAUGACACCACCUACCUUUCAACGAUGUCAGGGGCUAAGAACACUAUUCGGCACUUGCUUUAACACCGCUUCGACCUCCUAGGUGGAAACGAAGCUUGAUCGGUCUUGUUUUGCCAAUAACUUUUCACCGACUCGACGAAUGCUCAAUCCGUCUUCGCCCACGCGUUUAGACACCUAUCAAUUAGGUUUAGAUGCCCUCAAUUGAGAUCAAACCACUCUAUUUAGGAAAACCCCAAUUUGGGUGCCCUAGGUUUGCACUAUAGCAAAACCCACCAACAAAACUCUAGAUUCUAGCAUCAAGCAACUACUAAGCAUGCUAGGAGUCCAUUUGACCCAUUCACUGUCACGCCCCGGGACCCAGCAUAGGCCCGCCCGAUGCAUGCCCAGACCCGCCAUAUGCCUACACAUAUAAGACGUCUACAAUAAUAGAAAUAUAAAAGCAAGUAAAGUAGAACAUCUAUAAAUAUCAGAGCAACUAGCAGCUAAAGACUAACAACAAGUAGGAGAAAGGAAACUGAACACUAAGGCAUAAUGUAAACUAAUACAUCAUAGAUCUCAAGAUACAAAAGUAGUAUGGUCACUAUAACAAGGUACAAAACUCUCACAACCUCUCCAAAUGAAAAACAAAAAAGAGGUGGACCACCAAUCGUCAAAUCCCUCGAUAGCUAGCUCGAGGCGAAACCUUUCCCGCGAUCCCGAGCCCCUCCCGAAGUGGAAGGCUCUGAAAUAAAACAUAAAACAGGGGGCGUGAGAACUAUAAUUUAUAGUUCCCAGUGGGCAAUUACUGACCUUAGCCAAAUGCGCCACUAGGCCCAAAUCAUGAGCAAAUAUAGACAAUGAAAUAAUAACUGCAGAAAUAAAAGCAUAUAAUAAAUGCUAUACUACUGUGCCACAAGUAAACAUGAUAUGAACAUGAAGUACAUCUACUCUAUCAUGAUCCAAUAUGCCAAAAUAUAUCUAGUAUGCUAAAAAUGCAAUACUAUUAAGUAUACUACAUAUCCAAGCGUCCAAUACAUAUCUAGUAUGCACUAUUAUGGUGACCAAGUAUAUUCUAUGUCCCAAUGUCCACUGAAUCUAACUACGAUAUACUAUCAAGUAGUGAUUAUAACAUAUACGACUCCGUGUCGAUUUCCAUGUCCGAAUUAAGGACCUACACAAGGUAGUUGUCACGCCUCGAGACCCAGCAGAAGCCCGCCCGGCGUGUGUCCAGACCCGCCAUAUGUCUGAAACAUAUAAGGCGUAUAAAACAAAACGAUAAAUGAAGCAGUAAAAAGAGAGCAUCUGGGAGUAUCAGAGCAAGUAUAUCUAGAUGCUACAAUAGAGAAAAAGAACCAUAAAACUAAAAUCCACUAGAUGAAAACGUAAAGUAGUACAAGAAGAAUCCGAAACAAGUGCCAUAAGUAAAUACAUAGGUGGUCUCUAUACAUGGAUACAAAACCUCUCUCUCUCUCUCAACAACAACAAAAAGAGAGAAAACCACCUAAGCAACAGUAAAUCCUUGCUAUCUAGCUAGCGAUCCCCUUACCGCGAUCCUGUGCCUCCGCCGGUACAGAAGGCUCUAAAAAGAAAAUAUAGAAACAGGGGCGUGAGAACUAUUAAAUAAUAGUUCCCAGUGGGCAAUUACUGACUUCAGUGAAAGCACUACUGGGCCCAAAAGAGCUAAACAGGUAAGUAACAAUAAAAGCAAUAGAAUCGAUAUGUAAGUAAACAUGUAAACUUACUACAACAUGAUAUCUCUACUUAGUAUGAAUUUGCACAAGUAAUAAAAGACUAUUCUAACAUGAAUGUACCAAAGUAUCACUAGCAUAAUGUCCAUAAGCUAAAUAGUAAAAUAUCUUGUUUACUAUUCUAGUCAAUAUCCAGUCGGUAUGCUAAGUCAUCAAUGAUCCAAUCCUGUAAGACCUACCCGUAGGUAGUCCGGCCUGCGUCGUGUCUAAUGGCCCCGUGGUAGUCAACAUCCCCAUUCUAGGAAUGAGCCUUCCCCACGGCAUCCCAUUUCGGCGCCCAAUCCCGCACGAGCGAGCAUAUGUCGCGAUGGCUAUCUCCAGAGUGCCAGUUUGUAGGGAGCGACCCUCACAAGCAUGUGCGAAUAAGCACAAUGGCAAGCAAGCGAAAGAUUUGUCUCAAGUACCAAGUCCUCAUGUCUAAAACAUGGAAUAUACGUCGAAUGUCUCAAAGGCCUAUCUCUAUGUCAUCAUGUCUCUAACAUGGAAUAUAGCAGAUGUUCAAUGGCCUAUCACUAUAUCUCUAAGUUGCAGUUUCACAGUUUACUAUGUCAAGUGCCUCUUUAUGGCAUUUUUGUCCACUAAGUCCACACAUGAGUUUAUUGUUUACAAUGUAUGAUUUGAGUAAUUUCUAACAUAAGAGACAUGUUUCCAAGUCGCUAAUACGAACACUCCUCAUAUGCAUGCAAAAAUGCCCAGAAUGCCCUACUAUAUAGAGUGAAAUUUUCAUGAUACAUAAGGCAUGCAUUUUAAGUGUUCUAAAAUUCACAUAAAUCUCAUUUAACAUGAAUAUGCAAUCAAAUUGACGUUACGACAAGUAUAGAAUACUUAGAGGCCAUUUCACCCCGAUUUCAUGAAGUCAAACCCACCGAAGUUACCGAAACCCUUCAUAAGCUCCGAUGAAGGUGUCCACCACUCUCCUAGUACCCUAAAGGUAUAGAAAAGAUAGUUAAACGAACCUUACGAACGCUCAAGUGAUCGAUCAUUAACCAUCUCAAGCUAAGGUGGAGAAACUCACCUCAAGCGAAGAAAUCCUCUCUCAAGCUCCAAAUAUGAGCUAGAGUUCUUCAAAUCCAACCUAAAUAAAGGUUCUAAACCCAUCAAUUAUGUUUCAAAGCCCUCAAAUCGAAAAUCUCCAAAAUAAACCCUAAUUCCACAAUCUAGGGUUUCAUCUAGCAAAAUCUAGAAAAAACUUGUAUUAAAUAGGGAAUACAAGCUACCAAUCUCAAGAGAAGCUCCAAUCCAAGCUCUAAACCAAGUAGGGUUGAAGCUUGAUUGUCACGCCCCAAUCCCCGCCAAUUUGGUCGGGUUCGGGUCACGUCAACAGACGCCGAACGGACAGAGCCUCCCCUGUCCGCCCAAGGCUCCAACAUCGCGUAUAAAUAAGCAAUUUAACAAGAGAAUUGCAUAAAUAAUACAAGGCUUGCUCGAGGGCAAGCAACGACGGAAGCGAAAGCUCUAAGCUAGUUAUACAACACACAUGAUAUUUGAUUUCUUUUAAACCAAAUUCAAGUAAUAAAACUAUUACAAUCCAUUCAACCAUCAUAUCUUUUUACAUUUAGUCAUCCACCAAAAAAAACACAUGAUUGUUUACACUUUUCAUUUCUAAAUCAACAAAAUAAAGUUGAUACAUGUAUAACAAAAGGGAAUGACUACAAAAUGCAUAAAGUCCCCGGUGGCCGCUACCUACGGCGCCAAACCCUUGCCUCGGUCCUCCGCCGCCCCGCUCGUGCUAGGACCUGUAGGGUUAGUGGUGUGAGAACUACAACGAAGUUCCCAGUGGGCUCGGCAUCCGACCUCGCCGACUUACCCACUAGGUCUAUCCAGGCAUAAGUAUUUCAAAGGAAGGAAAGUAACCAUUACUAAUGCAACUAAUACUAUGCCUGCAAGAAAAAUUCAGUAGAUAUACAAUUUCAAUGCGAAAAUGGAAAUGCAUGCAUGCUCCAAUCAUAAACAAAUUUUGGCUCUUACCCAAUCUUACCGGUUAACUCUGUUAACCCCAAAAACUCACAACCCAAAAUCCCUUAAUAACGGGGGACUCGAACCUCCCUAGGGACCGUCAACUGGUGGGACUUUACCACGCCCAGUGGUGACCAACUCCGGAGCGCACCGCUCGAGGGGGAGCGACCUCCCUCAAGCCACGACGAUAGGUGAGUAUCGAUCUAAUCCUCAACUUGAGGACUCAUAGCCAUUAGUCACAAUGCCAAUAUCACAAUAGGUCUCUACCUAUUUAUUCUUGCCACUCUCCAGGCUUUAUCUUCGACCAUGACAUUACGGGUCAAACUAUAUUCAACGGUCAUCUCUCAAUGCAAUUCUUGUUUCUAUGUCAAUGACACCCUUGUUUACUAAUUGUCCAAGUCCAUUCUUACGUUCACACAUCUCGAGGGUCCAAUCACACAUGUCCGUUUUGGUUCUAUCAUUCUCUAUGUUCAACUACGUUAGAAGCAUAUAGAUGAAGUCAAACCAAGUUCCACAAGUAGCUACCCUACUAUGCAUGAAUGGGUAUAUAUAUAUAUAUAUGCUCAAGAAUAAAGAAAACAGACAUAGAGGGGAAUCCAACGAUUCCGGCGUGCACCCCCCACCUCUAUGAGUCGUGUGGGUGAAGAAUAUUAAGGCCCCCGCACUUUACGAAAGCCGAUUUCGCGCCCUAUAAUCAAAUAGUGCCAUAUUAGGCCUUUUUGUACAUGAACUAUACUCUAAUAUUCUCGAAAUAUUAAACGAAGUUGUUCAACGUGUUGUGGGCACACCCAAUUGGGUUUCUACAGGGUCAAUUUGUCCCCGAAAAAUCCUAGGGCGAAAACCCCAAAUUCAAGCCCUAAUGUUGCCAUUUAGGGUUUCCCCAUGAAUCGAUCCCAACCCUAAGCAAAGAAUAGCUUAGGAUCAUCUAAGAAGCAUCCUAGUAAGGUUUCUAGACCUUUGGUACCAACCCUAGGGCUCCAAACAUCAUCUCCAAGGAUUCACCAUGAGAGCACCUUGAGCUCUCAUGGGUUCCAUGGUGUUCAUGGCUCAAAAGAGCUUCUAAAACCUCUAAGGAGCACAAAGCUCCAAAUCUCUUAACCAAAAUCCAAACCCUAGAGGAAAACCUUACAAAACUUACCUCUAGUCCAAGCCCCACCAAGAUUCUCCUUGUUGGAGAGCUCCUAGAACCUCCAAAGCCUCCAAAUCCUCCUCCUCUUCUCUUCUUCUUCUUCUUCUCCAAGUCCUAGUGCAUGGGUUCUAGAGAGAGAAAGAGAGGAAAAUGGGUGAGAGGGUGGAAAUGGCUGUGGGAGAGAGGGGAUGGGCCAUAUAUAGUGUUGUAACAAUUGCACAUAAGCCCCUCCACUUGUUUCCCAUCAAUCUGCCCAGACUGGGCAAUUUUCGCCUUCGGGGAUCGGUCUCCCCGACCAGGGACCGGUUCCCGAACGGGGGUUUUCCAGGACUUAGCCAAAUUUUCGAGUUUUUCGGCUGUUGCGCAGCGAGGGACCGGUCUGCCCGUCAGGGACCGGUCUCCCGAGGACCGGUCUCACCACCAGGGACCGGAUGCCUCAGGAUUUCCUGGCAGGCUACGCGUACGGGGACCGGUUUCUCCUUCAGGGACCGGUCCCCGAGAGCUCAAAAUCUGGGACUUAGCCAGAUUUCCAGAUUCGCUCUCCGGGUCCCUUUUUGCUCCAUUUAUGAACUCCAAUGCACUUAGGGUCCACUGUGACUCGUUCAAUUCCGCGUUCCACUCGUUUUGACGGAACUCGGCACGACUUACGAGGGACGUGGUAUGUUACAUUGAUCCUCUACAAAGCUCCAACCGCAAGCUCUAAGCCACCAAUGUGUGAUGAAAGGAAGAAGAUGAUGCUCCAAGUCCUCCAAGUAAGCUUCUCUCCUCUCCUUCUUCUUCUCCUUCUCUUUCUCUCUCUAGUGUGGGUGUGAGGGAGAGAAAUGAGAGUGAGAAUAAGAGAGAGAACCAUAUAAGCCAUCCUAAGUAACAAAAUCUACUUAGGUCCCUCAACAAUCAACACUGUGCACAGCCCGGACUGGGCAGUUUUCGGACUGAGGGACCGGUCUCCCCGACCUGGGACCGGUCUCUCAGCCUGCCCCGAAAAUCCAACGUUCGGGAACUGGCCUCCCCCCGCCUGGGACCGAUCUCUCCCCGUGUAGUCACGCUCGGGGACCGGUCUCAGCCGCCAGGGACCGGUUGCCUCGUAGGCUACCGCAACACUGUUCUGAGGGGACCGGUCUCUCCUAUCAGGGACCGGUCCCCAAGAGUGAAAACUCUCAAGACAAAGCCAAAACUCCAGGAAUUGAACUUUUAGGUCGGAAUACCAUCUACGACCUUCCACCAAGUGUGAAAAAGUUCGGAAUCCAUAUCAAACACUCGAACCUCGCAAUUUGCAAAGGUCCAGUGUGCUACAUUCACCCCUCCUAAAAAGGAGUUUCGUCCGCAAAACUCAAAAGGAAACACAUACCUCAAAGCUCCAUCUGAAAAAGAUGGGGAUAGCGCUCCCGCAGUGUGCUCUCUAGCUCCCACGUGGCCUCCCGCUCCCCGUGGUUGCUCCAAAGAACCUUUACAUAGGGAAUAUCCCGAUUACGCAGUUUCCGCACCUUGCGAGCCAAAAUCCUCACUGGUUGCUCCUCAAAGUUCAAGUCGUCCCGCAACUCCACAGGUGUAGCAUCCAACACAUGAGUCGGGUCGAAGACAGACUUCCGAAGGACCGAUACAUGAAAGACGUUGUGCACGCCCGAUAGGUUCGGUGGUAGAGCAAGUCGAUACGCUACCGGACCUACACGCUCCAAAAUCUCAUACGGUCCAAUGAAACGGGGGCUCAACUUAACCCGAAUCCCGAAUCUCUUCAUCCCUCUAGUCGGCGAGACCUUAAAGAAAACAUGGACUCCAACAUGGAACUCCAAGUCUCGCCGCCGUCGGUCGGCGUAGCUCCUCUGUCUACUCUGUGCCGUCAAAAGUCGCUGCCGAGCAAUUCGAACCUUGUCCUCUGCUUCCAGGAGCACAUCAAGGCCCAAAGCUAAUCUCUCGCCAACUUCACUCCAAUGAAGUGGCGAUCUACACUUCCGUCCAUAAAGUGCUUCGAACGGCGCCUUCUUGAUGCUUGCUUGAUAACUGUUGUUAUAAGCAAACUCUGCCAUCGGUAGAUAAUGCGACCAUCCUCCCUGGAAGUCAAUCACACAUACUCAGAGCAUAUCCUCUAAAGUCUGAAUGGUGCGCUCCGACUGUCCGUCACUCUGAGGGUGGAAAGCAGUGCUGAAGUCCAGUCGGGUGCCCAAGGCGUCCUGCAGACUCCUCCAAAAGUGAGACACAAACCGGGCGUCUCUAUCCGAUACAAUCGAAGUAAGCACUCCAUGAAGUCGCACAAUCUCAUCAAGGUACACUUGUGCGAGCUUCUCUCCGGUCCAAGUAGUAUGAAUAGGUAUGAAGUACGCCGACUUCGUCAACCUAUCCACGAUCACCCAAAUAGCAUCAUGCCCGGCCUGAGAGCGGGGCAAUCCAGUCACGAUAUCCAUGGUGAUCUUCUCCCACUUCCACACUCGAAUAGGCAAACUCUGAAGCUUUCCCGCGGGUAAAAGGUGCUCAGCUUUCACUUGUUGGCAAGUUAGACAUCGAGCUACAAACUCGCCAACGUCCUUCUUCAUCCCAGGCCACCAAUAAAGCAACUUCAAGUCCUUAUACAUCUUAGUGCCUUCCGGAUGUAUAGCAUACGGUGCCCGGUGUGCUUCUUGAAGAAUAUCCUAUUUAAUUCCCGAAUCCGCCGGUACACAAAUCCGUCCACGGAAACGCAUCAAUCCUUGGUCAUCCACAAGGAAAUCACCGGUGCAACCAUUAACCAUUUUAUCUCGAACCUUUUGCAACUCCACAUUGGAAGCAUGCUUCUCUUUAAUUCUACCCAAGAGUAUAGGUUGCACUACCAAGGUCAUCAAUCUCAAAGGCGUGUCAGGAGUCACCACCUUCAACUCCAAUCGCUUCAUCUGCUCGAUCAACUGCAGUUGAGUAACAACAUGCAUCGCUAAGUUUUUCGUUGAUUUCCUACUUAGCGCAUCCGCCACCACGUUAGCCUUACCCGGGUGGUAUAGGAUCGUCAGCUCAUAAUCCUUGAGCAGCUCCAGCCAUCUGCGCUAUCUCAAGUUCAACUCCUUUUGAGUGAACAAGUACUUCAAGCUCUUGUGAUCCGUGUACACUUCACACCGCUCGCCAUAAAGAUAGUGGAGCCAUAACUUCAAUGCGAAGACUACGGCCGCCAACUCCAAAUCGUGAGUAGGGUAAUUCUUUUCAUAUUCCUUCAGUUGGCGAGAAGCAAACGCGAUCACCUUGCCGUCCUGCAUCAAAACACAGCCCAAUCCGUUAAGAGAUGCAUCACUGUAAACCACAUACCCUGCUUCAGCAACUGGCAGGCUUAAGAUAGGGGCGGUCGUCGGUCGUUGCUUCAGCUCUUGGAAGCUUCUCUCACACGCAUCAUUCCAAAUGAACUUGACACCUUUAUGCGUGAGCCUCGUGAGGGGAGUAGAUAGCUUAGCGAACCCCUCAACAAAUCUCCGGUAGUACCCGGCCAAUCCAAGGAAGCUCCGUAUCUCCGUGACGCUCGUCUGUCUCGGCCAAUCCUUGAUUGCUUCAAUCUUCUUAGGAUCCACAGCUAUACCCGAUCCUGAAAUCAAAUGUCCAAGAAAAGCUACCUCUCGAAGCCAAAAUCACACUUUUUCAGCUUGGCAUAAAGCUCCCUUUUCCGAAGUACUUGGAGUACAAAUCUCAAAUAUUCCUCAUGAUCUGCAUCACUUCGAGAAUAAACCAAAAUGUCCUCGACGAACACCACGACGAACCUAUCUAGAUAAGGCUUAAAAACAUGGUUCAUUAGAUCCAUAAAAGCUGCCGGGGCAUUAGUAAGCCCAAACGGCAUAACUGUGAACUCAUAGUGUCCAUACCGUAUUCUAAAAGCCGUCUUUGAUACAUCCUCGGGUUUGAUCUUUAAUUGGUGGUAUCCCGACUGCAAGUCGAUCUUGGAAUGCACACACGAUCCUUGAAGCUGAUCAAACAAGUCGUCGAUCCGCGGCAACGGAUACUUACUCUUGAUCGUGACUUUAUUAAGUUCACGAUAGUCCACACAUAGGCGAAGUGAUCCGUCUUUCUUCUUGACGAACAGAACUGGCGCUCCCCACGGUGAGACGCACGGUCGAAUGAAGCCCUUGUCCAACAGAUCCUGUAGCUGUGCCCUCAGCUCCUUUAGCUCCACCGGUGCCAUCCUAUAGGGUGCCUUCGAUAUUGGAGUAGUCCCAGAGACGAAAUCUACCACAAAUUCGAUCUCCCUAUCGGGUGGCAUACCCAGUAGCUCAGCUGGAAACACGUCCUGCAACUCCCGUACCACCGGGAUAUCCUCAAUCCUGGGGGUGUCAUCCUCGCCCCUCAACACAACGCUAGCCAAGUAGGCUACACAUCCUCGACUGAUCAGCUGCCUAGCUCGAGACGAGCUGAUCGACAUCGCAAAAAGAGAACUCCAGCAUCCUCUAAACACAACCUCAGUCUGCCCCGGUUCUCUAAAAGUAACCGUGUGAUUCUUACAAUCAAUCGUGGCAUAAUACUUGGUUAGCCAAUCCAUACCCAAGACCACAUCGAAGUCCCCUAGCUUGCAGUUCUAGCAAAUCCACGGGCAUGAUCCAAUCUCCUACCCGAACAGGGCAACUAGGGCAAUACUCUCUAAUAUCCAAAGAGUGGUCGGGGACAACCACACAUCCCGGAUGCAACAAAAAAACCAAAGGAAUGCCAUGCAACUUGGCAAACAGCCGAUCUAUAAAUGAAUGCGAUGCACCGGUAUCAAAUAAAGCAGAACUCUAAUGCCAUCAAGUAAAAUGAUACCUGCAACCACAUCCUUGGCUGCUGCCGCCUCCUCGGUCUGAGCGACAUACAUACGCCCACUCGGGGCCUGUCGAGAACCCUCGCUCUAACGCUGGACGGGUGGCCGCCCAGGCUGGUACUGUGUCGACGGAGUCCCGUGGCUAGCGGCUGGUAGAGCCGGUGCCGAUGCAGAUGACUGUGCCGUUGACGAACCCCUCGAGCACUCGGUCCGGAAGUGGCCCUCCUGGCCACACUGGAAACACCUCCCUCCCCGCUGCGGGCACUGCGGUGGAAUGUGGGGACCACCACAGAUCAUGCACUGGGGAGGUCGGCGUCGGUCAAAACCUCCACGGUGGGUCGCCGAGCCACGCCCACGCUGCUGGCUCCUGGGAUGCUUCGGCGGCCUCCUAGAGUGUGUCUGGCUCGCACCCUCAGCCGCAGGCCUCUUGGCCUUACCCUUGUCCAUAGCCUCUCGCCGCUCCUGGACGUCUGCCGCACCGCUCUCCCGGUAGGUUUGGAGGUUAGAGGAUUGCACAAACCAGAAAAUCAACGGUCGCAACCCUUGCUCGAAGAUGUGGGCCUUGUCGUCGUCGUCCCGUACGAGAAAAGGCACGCAGUGUAGAAGCCAAGAAAACUCUCGCUCGUACUCGGCUACUGUCCUGUCUCCCUGGCGCAUGUUGCGCAAGUCCUGCUCCAUCUUCCUCUUGACGCUGGUCGGGAAGUAAUGUGCCAAAAAAAGCUCCUUGAACCUCUUCCAAGUAAUAGCCGCCAAAUCAGUGCUGGGGUUCUCCUGGAAAUCCAACCACCAGCGGUAGGCCUCGCCGUCCAAAUGGUGUGUGGCGAGCCAAACUCGAUCUCUCUCCUCCACGAAGGUGUCGCGAAAGAGCUUCUCCAUAUGCAUCAACCACUUCUCCACGAUCCAGUGGUCGACCUUCUCGCCGUCGAAGAUCCGGGGACUACACCUCCUAAACUCGUUGAGGCGCUCCAUCAGUCGGUCCCGCUCCACUCCUUCGACCAACAUAGAAAAAACAACUCCAAUCGGGGGCGCCUGAACAGGUGGCGCGCCAAAGCCUCCUCCUGAGGCGCGGCCACGAGCGCCGCACACGACGAACUGGGCGCGGGGGACGGCACUCUCUGCACGACGUCCACAACUGGUGCUGGCGGUGUAGGGCCCUCGGUCUCCCUGGAAGCUGCCGCUUGCUGCAGAAGAAGGUCCUCCAGGCGCUUCAUCCGCGCCUCCUGCCGGCGCGCCGCCUCAGUCUGCUGUCGUGCCGCCUCCACCUGCUGAGUCACUAGGUCGGUGGGGGCCGCAAGCUGGCUCCUCAACUCCUAGACCUCGCCAGAUCCGGAGGUAGCGGAGGUCUCGACCUCCCCAAGAUGUGCCGCAUUAUCCGCUCCGGCAGAUUGGGAGCGAGUGAUCGACAUCUCACUACAACAUCAUAAAAGCGUAAGUUAGUAACCCAUGCUAUCGUACCACGCUCAAGCAGAUAAUACCUCAAAUCAUGCGAAAGUAAUGAAGUGUUCUUCACUACUAACUCCCGAUGUUACGUUAUCGGCCGCCAACGUAACCCUCCGCGAGUUAGGAGCUAUACACUUCAAUUUAACUCCACUUUCUAGAGUUAUCAAGAUACCCAAUCAUGAUACUUUCGCUUACAAGUCAAAUAGACCUCGUCUCUCACGAGCCUUUUUCUAUAGCCCAACCGGCCUAAGGUUUGCUAGGUCCACUAAGACUCAAUCCUAGGCUCUGAUACCAAACUAAUCUGUCACGCCCCGGGACCCAGCGGAAGCUCGCCCGGCGCGUGUCCAGACCCGCCAUAUGUCUAAAACAUAUAAAGCGUCUAAAACAAAACGAGAAAUGAAGCAGUAAAAAGAGAGCAUCUAGGAGUAUCAGAGCAAGUAUAUCUAGAUGUUACAAUAGAGAAAAAGAACCAUAAAACUAAAAUCCACUAGAUGAAAACGUAAAGUAGUAUAAGAAGAAUCCGAAACAAGUGCUAUAAGUAAAUAUAUAGGUGGUCUCUAUACAUGGAUACAAAACCUCUCUCUCUCUCUCAACAACAACAAAAAGAGAGAAAACCACCUAAGCAACAGUAAAUCCUCGCUAUCUAACUAGCGAUCCCCUUGCCGCGAUCCCGUGCCUCCGCCGGUACAGAGGGCUCUAAAAAGGAAACAUAGAAACAUGGGCGUGAGAACUAUUAAAUAAUAGUUCCCAAUGGGCAAUUACUGACUUCAGUGAAAGAACCACUAGGCCCAAAAGAGUUAAACAGGUAAGUAAUAAUAAAAGCAAUAGAAUCGAUAUGUAAGUAAACAUGUAAACUUACUACAACAUGAUAUCUCUACUUAGCAUGAAUUUGCAUAAGUAAUAAAAGACUAUUCUAACAUAAAUGUACCAAAGUAUCACUAGCAUGAUGUCCACAAGCUAAAUAGUAAAAUGUCUUGUUUACUAUUCUAGUCAAUGUCCAGUCGGUAUGCUAAGUCAUCAAUGAUCCAAUCCUGUAGGACCUACCCGUGGGUAGUCUGACCUGCGCCGUGCCUAAUGGCCCCGUGGUAGUCAACAUCCCCACUCUAGGAAUGAGCCUCCCCCACGGCAUCCCAUUUCGUCGCCUAAUUCCGCACGAGCGAGCAUAUGUCGCGAUGGCUAUCUCCGGAGUGCCGGCUUGUAAGGAGCAACCCUCACAAGCAUGUGCGAAUGAGCACAAUGGCAAGCAAGCGAAAGAUCUGUCUCAAGUACCAAGUCCUCAUGUCUAAAAUAUGGAAUAUACGUCGAAUGUCUCAAAGGCCUAUCUCUAUGCCAUCAUGUCUCUAACAUGGAAUAUAGCAGAUGUUCAAUGGCCUAUCACUAUGUCUCUAUGUUGCAGUUUCACAGUUUACUAUGUCAAGUGCCUCCUUAUGGCAUUUUUGUCCACUAAGUCCACACAUGAGUUUAUUGUUUACAAUGCAUGAUUUGAGUAAUUUCUAACAUAAGAGACAUGUUUCCAAGUCGCUAACACGAACACUCCUCAUAUGCAUGCAAAAAUGCCCAGAAUGCCCUACUAUAUAGAGUGAAAUUUUCAUGAUAUAUAAGGUAUGCAUUUUAAGUGUUCUAAAAUUCACAUAAAUCUCAUUUAAUAUGAAUAUGCAAUCAAAUUGACGUUACGACAAGUAUAAAAUACUUAGGGGCCAUUUCGCCCCAAUUUCAAGAAGUCAAACCCACCGAAGUUACCGAAACCCUUCGUAAGCUCCGACGAAGGUGUCCACCACUCUCCUAGUACCCUAAAGGUAUAAAAAAGAGAGUUAAACGAACCUUACGAACACCCAAGUGAUCGAUCAUUAACCAUCUCAAGCUACGGUGGAGAAACUCACCUCAAGCGAAGAAAUCCUCUCUCAAGCUCCAAAUGGGAGUUAGAGUUCUUCAAAUCUAACCUAAAUAAAGGUUCUAAACCCAUUAAUUAGGUUUCAAAGCCCUCAAAUCAAAAAUCCCCAAAAUAAACCAUCAUUCCACAAUCUAGGGUUUCAUCUAGCAAAAUCUAGAAAAAACUUGUAUUAAAUAGGGAAUACAAGCUACCAACCUCAAGAGAAGCUCCAAUCCAAGCUCUAAACCAAAUAGGGUUGAAGUUUGAUCCUCUACAAAGCUCCAACCGCAAGCUCUAAGCCACCAAUGUGUGAUGAGAGGAAGAAGAUGAUGCUCCAAGGCCUCCAAGUAAGCUCCUCUCCUCUCCCUCUUUUUCUUCUCCUUCUCCUUCUCUUUCUUUCUCUAGUGUGGGUGUGAGGGAGAGAAAUGAGAGUAAGAGUAAGAGAGAGAACCAUAUAAGCCAUCCCAUGUAACAAAAUCCACUUAGGUCCCUCAACAAUCAACACUGUGUACAGCCCAGACUGGGCAGUUUUCGGACUGAGGGACUGGUCUCCCGACCUAGGACCGAUCUCUCAGCCUGCCCCAAAAAUCCAAUGUUCGGAAACCGGUCUCUCCCCACAUGGGACCGGUCUCUCCCCGCGUAGUCGCGCACGAGGACUGGUCUCAGCCGCCAGGGACCGGUUGCCUCGCAGGCUGCCGCAACACUGUUUGGAGGGGACCGGUCUCUCCUAUCAGGGACCGGUCCCCGAGAGUGAAAACUCUCAGGACAAAGCCAAAACUCCAGGAAUCAAACUUUUAGGUCGGAAUACCAUCUACGACCUUCCACCAAGUGUGGAAAAGUUCGGAAUCCAUAUCAAGCACUCGAACCUCACAAUUUGCAAAGGUCCAGUGUGCCACAGUAGUCCAGCUUGUGCCGCCUAGCUACCUGUAGUAGCCCAUCAUUCCAUGCUAGGAAUGAAUCUGUCCCACACGACCCUACAGGCGUCUCGCCGCCUAGCUGCUCGUGGUAGCUCAUCAUCCUGCGCUAGAAUGAGGCUGUCCCACGCGACCCUACAGGCGUUUCAAACCCGCACGCGCGAACCGUGUCGCAAAAGGCCAAAUCCGGAGUGCCGGCUUGUAGGGAGCGACCCUCACAAGCUUGUGCGAAUGAGCACAAAUGGCAAGCAAGCAAAGUCAUCGUCUCAACGAUCCGGUCAUCAUGGCUCUACCAUGGAAAUGAUCGCUAGCAACUCAUAGGUCUAGUCCAAUGUCCCAAGUGAAGGAUUAACCAUUCAAUAAUUCCAAUGCCCUUUUGUGACCUUAGAUUUACUAAGUCCAUACAUAUUUCAAGCCUAAUGCCUCUUUGUGACAUUAGCUUACUAUUAACGUACGUGUCCCGAGCUCAACGCCGCUUUAUGGCAUUAGCUCAUAUAUGCAUACACUCUAGCCUAUGUCACUUAAUGACAAAAUGUCCAACAACGCCAAGCAUGCGUUCUAAGUCCAAGAGUGUAACCUACAUGUCAUAUGCACUAUAUGCAACAUGAUCUCAAUCACAUGUAAGAAUGCUAACCACAUGCAAGGUUCCAAUCCUGAACAGUUCUCUACUACAUAGAGGUCCAAUGUACUUUAUACAUAACAUGCACAUAUUAAGCAUUCUAAAAUUCUCAAAUAUUCUAUCUAGUAAGAAUAUGCAUGCAUUACCACUUUACGAAAAGUAAAAACCAACAUAGGGAUGAUUUAUCCCAUUUUUUGGUGAGGCCAAACCCACCACAACUCUUGCGCUCCUUCGUUUGCUCCGACGAAGGUGUCCACUAGUCUCCUAGCACCCUAAAGAUGUAGGAACAAGAGUUAAACGAACCUUACGAACAACCAUAAGGUUGAUCAUUAACCAUCUCAAGCUAAGGUGGAGAAAAACUCACUGAAUGCGAAGGAAGCUCUCUCGAUCUCCAAGUGGGAGUUAGAGUCCUUCCAAACCAACCUAAACAAGGGUUCUAACCCAUCAAUUAGGUCCCAAAGCCCCCAAAAUAAAAAUCCCCAAAAUAAGCCCUAAAUCCCAAAAUCUAGGGUUUCAUUUAGUAAAACCUACCGAAACAUGCUCCAAGGAGUAGAUUAAGCAUACUAACCUCCUUGGUAGCUCCAAACCAAGCUCAAAAUGCUCUAAGGUUGAAGAUUGAUCCUCUAUCAAGCUCCUAGCCCAAGCUCCAAGCCUCCAAUGGUGAAGAAAGAGAGAAAGGGUUGAAGCUCCAAGCUCCCUCAAGCAAGCUCCUCCUCUCCUCCUUCUCCUUCCUCUUCUUCUUCUUCUCUUUCAAGAGGGUGUGAGAGAGUGAGAAGUGAGGGAAAGAGAGAGAGGAAAUGGCCUAUAAGCCCUCCCAAGUAACAAUAUCCACAUAGGUCCCCCAACAAUCUAACUAGUGCACAGCCCUGGACUAGGCAAUUUUCGCCGAGAGGGACUGGUCUCUCCCAGCUGGGACCGGUCCCUCGUGACCCUCCCGCAAAACCAGCUCUCGGGAACCGGUCUCUCCCUGCAUGGGACCGGUCUUUCCCCGGGAAAAUGCGCUUGGGGACCGGUCUUAUCCGCCAGGGACCGGUUGCCUCAAGCUUGGCCGCGACACUAUUCCGAGGGGACCGGUCUCUCCCACCAUGGACCGGUCUCCGAGAGUAAAACUCUCAAGACUAGUCAAAAUCUAGAAUUCGAACUUUUUAGGUCGGAAUACAUUCUACGACCCUCCACAAAGCGUGGAAAAGCUCAGAACUCAAGUCAAACACUCUAACCUUGCAAUUGGCACAGGUCCAGUGUGUUACAUUCUCCCCUCCUAAAAAGGAGUUUUGUCCGCGAAACUGCGGGACAACCACAACCAACACAUCCAAAGAGGAUGGAAGAAACGCUCUAACAGCGUACAAGUCAGACCACGUAGGUCUCAAGCAUGCCGGAUUGCUCCACGGCAAAACUCAACAAGAUCCUGCGAUCCCAAGACUUGGCAUAACUCAAGUCAAACUUCUACCGAAGUUCCGCCUCUAAUCCGUGCUUGAUCACAAGUCUUUCAGUCGGUUCUCACGAAACCAAGUGUUUCUGAAAGCUGAAUUCCAAUUCUCACCUUUUUCGUCCAAGUCGAGGGUAAAGCCUUGCUCUGCUUCAAACACUCUAGGAUAUAGGAUUCCAUCCAAAUACCCAUGAAGGGUGGAUUCAAUGGUAUUGUCCAAAGCAAGCGUCAGGGGGUUAAAUCCAUUACUCAUCUAUCAAAACUCCAUCGGAGUGCUCAUCUGAUCAUCACUCACCAAGGAGAGGUGAUGCAACAUCCACUCAUCGGCCCAUAUUCCAACGAUGAUCCUUCAAAUCCAAGGUUAAGUAUGGUGUACCCCUUCCAUCUCGUUGCUAUUUGCAAUGUCCAUCCAUCCGUCCAAUCUUGCUUGGCACGAACGGUUCUAAACCAACAUCCAAGAUAGCCAACCUUCCAAUAGUAACAGGAACCGACAAAUCGUCCAACUCGCUCACCAAAGGUGGUCACUUGAUUCCUCAAUCGGCACGGCACUACGAUGCCUGCACAUCAAUCUCAAACUCACCACUCGGGAGUACCCUCAAAUCCUCUACCAUACAUGGUAAGGGACCAAAGCUCAGGAGCUUUGUCAUCCCACUAAGAUCAUUAUCUUAGUCUCAACUCAAGUCCAAGUAACUCUUCGCAAGCCUAAGCCAAAGGCUUAACUUCGAUAGAAUGUCUCAUACCUUAACCGUUCAGUUGCUCUAGAAGAAUCAUUCAAAAUUCUCAUCCUCAAUGCUUUCCUUAGCAUCCAUCGGAUGCUCCAGGUGUUCAAAGUCACCGAGCUCAUCUCAAGUGAUAGAGAGGGAUCAAUCUGCAAUUCAAUAAUAGCACUCUAUCAAUGUCAUCCUAAUGUGACCAUCAACCAGAUAUCAAUCCAAGCAACUCUCUUACGCAGUUUCCAUUCCCAAGAUUUUGAUUCCAGGUGCAAAAACCGGACAAGGAAAAAUAGCAACUUGGUAUCUUUCCCUCUCGAGUUCCCAACCACUCGAUCCAACAGUGAGAGUUUUACACAUCGAUCAUGUCAAUAUGCCCUGUAGUCGGUCCUCGCAAUCCUUCUUCGGAAUACUCUCAGCUAUCCGCGAUCGGUUUCACAAAUCCAUCCAGGGGGUUUGGAAUUAUCAUUCCACAAGUCCCUAACACUGGUGGAGUACCACAGGCUCAGGAAACAUCACAAUAAUUCUCGUGAUGUUCCAACCAAGCACCAACAUCUGUUUGAGGUACAACCUCAAACUUCAACACAGCAGUAGUACUCAGAUUGCAAUCAAUCCGAUCGAGCACACUGACGCCACAAGGCCAAUUGAAGGACCAAUCGGGCCUCAACAACUAUCCAAACACUCAAUCGUGGUUCAAUUUAGACCACGAUAGUCGGCACACAGUCGAAACAACCUAUCCGGUCCCACAUCAAGUGAGGGUGCUUCUCCACGAAGCUAAACACUAGGUACCAGAACCUCUCCGCCUACCGAGCUCAUGAUUUGUGACUCAGACGGGAAAACAACGACCACUCAAAAGACAUCCUCUAUUACAAGGAUUCUCAAUCAACAGAUGCUAACGGCCAGCUAGGCCCCAAAUCCUUCUAAAUUACCCGAUUUUAGGUAAGGGGACGGCAAUCGCAAUCCAUGGAACUAAAUCCUCAAAUCGCGCUAUUUCAUGCUCAAAAUUCUCAAAGCGAGUCAAGUCAGCUCGCAGUCCAAGGGUACUAGGUACCCACAAAACUCCACACCAAGUAAGGCCAAUCCAUUUGUCGGCGCACGAAACCAUCUCACAUGGUAGGGUGUUCGAAACGACACACCGGAUCAAUCGAUCAUCCUACAUGCGUCGAAAGAAAUUCAACGCUAACAAAUCCUUGGGUUGGGUCACUAGACACUCGGUGUGUCCGCAAUCUCACGAUCCAACACUUGGCUUUCCACGCUCGGUCUACGGUCCUGACCAAAACUCCGCCCUACCCGUAGGUACCGGGCCGCUGUCGCACACAGCUGACUGCACAUGCCCAACGGGCCCAGGCUCCACAGUCCCCAAAUGGUCCAGGCACGGUCAUCCCCAAGCACCAUCUGGCAAACAGCCGAUCAAGGGAUGCAAACAAUGCACUCAUCGUGAGAUCUACCAAUAUAGCCAAACAUGCUACCCCCAAACCCGAAUCUCGACCGCCUAGCUCGAGAGGAGCUAGUCAAUUUCGCAAACAGCAAACUAACGGGAUGCCAUGCAACUCGGCAAUUAGCCGAUCAGAGUAUGGAUGCAAUGCACCGGCAAGAAACAAUGCACAACACGAAUGCUACAAAAGAAACUGAUACCUGUAGUCAUAAACUCGGCUGCUGCCGCCUCCUCAGUUUGGGCUGCAUACAUGCGCCCGCUCGGGGCCUGUCGUGACCACUCCAUCUGUCUCUGGACAGGUGGCCUCCCGGCCUGGUAGUGAGCAGAAGGCGUCCCUUGGCUGGGACCCGGUAAGGCUGGUGCCAAUGCAGAAGAUGGCGCUGGUACUGAAUCCCUCGGGCAGUCCGACUGAAAGUGACCCUCCUGGCCACACGAAUAGCACCUGCCCCGACCCUGUGAGCACUGCCGUGGGUAAUGGCGACCACCGCAGAUCACGCAGCUCAGAGUCUGGUGACGCUCAGAUCCUCCACGCUGUGCUGAUGAGUCACGUCCUCGCAACUGGCUCCGGCUCCUCGGGUGUCUCGGCGGCCUCCUAGAGUACUCCUUGCUCACACCCUCAGCCGCAGGCCUUUUGCCCUUCCUUUAUCCAAGCCCUCACGGCGUUCCUGCAGAUCCGCCGUGCCGCUCUCCACAAUGAGCGCACGGUUUACCACAUCUCGGUAAGUCUGGAGGUUGGAGGACUGCACCAAACAAAAGAUCGACGGCCGAAGUCCUCGCUCAAAGAUACGAGCUUUAUUCUCGACGUCCCGCACAACAAAGGGCACAUAGUGUAGAAGCCGAGAGAACUCUCUCUCGUACUCGGCCACGGUCCGAUCCCCCUGGCGCAUCUCGCGCAGAUCCUGCUCCAUCUUCCUCUUAACACUAACGGGGAAGUAGUGCUCCAAUAAGAGUUUCUUGAACCUCUUCCAAGAAAUUGCUGCUAGGUCGGUGUUGCGAUUAUCCUGUAUACCCAACCACCAGCUAUAGACCUCGCCGUCCAAAUGGUGAGUGGCGAGCCAAACUCUGUCUCUCUCCUUCACGAAGGUGUCGCGGAAUAACUUCUCCAUGUGCAUCAAUCACUUCUCAACGAUCCAGUGGUCGGCUUUCUCUCCAUCAAAGAUUCUGGGAUUGCACCUCCUGAGCACGUUGAGGUGAUCCAUGAGUCACUGUCGCUCCACUCCCCCAACUAUCACGGGAAAAAACCGCCGCUGCCACAGGCACCUGAGCUGGGGGUGCCGCAAAUACCUCCUCCCGAGGUGCUACCACAGGUGCCGUCCGCGAAGUGUCGAGUGCAGGGGACGACCCCCUAGGUGCAACCACCUCUACCGGCGCGGGUGGUACAGGGACCUGAGCCUCCCUGGCAGCCGUCUGCUGCAGUAGAAGAUCCUUUAGGCGCUUCAUUCGUGCCUCCUGCCGGCGCGCCGCAUCUGCCUGCUGCCGAGCCGCCGCCACCUGCUGCGUCACCAAGUCUGUGAGGGCCGAAAACUAGCUCCUCAACUCAUGGACCUCGCCGGAUCCGGAGGUAGCGGAUGUCUCCGCCUCCUCAAAGGUUGCCGCAUUGUCCGCUCCAACAGACUUAGAGUGUGUAGUCGACAUCGACACUGCAACAUCAUAAAAGCGCAAAUUAAUAAAACCCACGUAUCACAACCCAGCUAAAAUACUAAUACCCAAAUCAUGCGAAAGUAAGGAAGUGUCUUAUACUACUAACUCCCGAUGUUACGUUGUCGGCCGCCAACGUAACCCUCCGCGAAGUUAGAAGCUAUACACUUCGAUUCAACUCCAACUUUUUGGAGUUAUUAAAGAAACCCAAUCAUGAUACUUUCGCUUACAGAUCAAAUAGACCUCGUCUCUCACGAGUCGAAUUCCUAUAGUCCAACCGGCCAAAGAUUUACUAGGUCCACUAAGACUCAACCCUAGGCUCUGAUACUAAAUUAAUCUGUCACGCCCCGGGACCCGGCAUAGGCCCGCCCGCUGCGUGCCCAGACCCGCCAUAUGCCUACACAUAUAAGGCGUCUACAACAAUAGAAAAAUAAAAGCAAGGAAAGUAGAACAUCUAUAAAUAUCAGAGCAACUAGCAGCUAAAGACUAACAACAAGUAGGAGAAAGGAAAUUGAACACUAAGGCAUAAUGUAAACUAAUACAUCAUAGAUCUCAAGAUACAAAAGUAGGGUGGUCACUAUAACAAGGUACAAAACUCUCACAACCUCUCCAAAUGAAAAACAAAAGAGAGGUGGACUACCUAUCGUCAAAUCCCUCGAUAGCUAGCUCGAGGCGAAACCUUUCCCGCGAUCCCGAGCCCCUCCCGAAGUGGAAGGCUCUGAAAUAAAACAUAAAACAGUGGGCGUGAGAACUAUAAUUUAUAGUUCCAAGUGGGCAAUUACUGACCUUAGCCAAAUGCGCCACUAGGCCCAAAUCAUGAGCAGAUAUGACAAUGAAAUAAUAACUGCGAAAAUAAAAGCAUAUAAUUAAUGCUAUACUACUGUGUCACAAGUAAACAUGAUAUGAACAUGGAGUACAUCUACUCUAUCAUGAUCCAAUAUGCCAAAACAUGUCUAGUAUGCUAAAAAUGCAAUAUUAUUAAGUAUAUUACAUAUCCAAGCGUCCAAUACAUAUCUAGUAUACACUAUUAUGGCGACCAAGUAUACUCUAUGUCCCAAUGUCCACUGAAUCCAACUACGAUAUACUAUCAAGUAGUGAUUAUAACAUAUACGACUCUGUGUCGAUUUCCAUGUCCCAAUUAAGAACCUACACAAGGUAGUCCAGCUUGUGCCGCCUAGCUGCAUGUGGUAGCCCAUCAUUCUAUGCUAGGAAUGAGUCUGUCCCACACGACCCUACAGGCGUCUCGCCGCCUAGCUGCCUGUGGUAGCUUAUCAUCCCGCGCUAGAAUAAGGCUGUCCCACGCGACCCUACAGGCGUCUCAAACCCGCACGCGCGAACCGUGUCGCAAAAGGCCAACUCCGGAGUGCCGGCUUGUAGGGAGCGACCCUCACAAGCUUGUGCGAAUGAGCACAAAUGGCAAGCAAGCAAAGUCAUCGUCUCAACGAUCCGGUCAUCAUGGCUCUACCAUGGAAAUGAUCGCUAGGAACUCAUAGGUCUAGUCCAAUGUCCCAAGUGAAGGUUUAACCGUUCAAUAAUUCCAAUGCCCUUUUGUGACCUUAGAUUUACUAAGUCCAUACAUAUUCCAAGCCUAAUGCCUCUCUAUGACAUUAGCUUACUAUUAACAUACGUGUCCCGAGCUCAAUGCCGCUUUAUGGCAUUAGCUCACAUAUGCACUAUAUGCAACAUGAUCUCAAUCACAUGUAAGAAUGCUAACCAUAUGCAAGGUUUCAAUCCUGAAUAGUUCUCUACUACAUAGGGGUCCAAUGUACUUUAUACAUAACAUGUACAUAUUAAGCAUUCUAAAAUUCUCAAAUAUUCUAUCUAGUAAGAAUAUACAUGCAUUUCCACUUUACGAAAAGUAAAAACCAACAUAGGGAUGAUUUAUCCCAUUUUUUGGUGAGGCCAAACCCACCACAACUCUUGCGCUCCUUCGUUUGCUCCGACGAAGGUGUCCACUAGUCUCCUAGCACCCUAAAGAUAUAGGAACAAGAGUUAAACGAACCUUACGAACAACCAUAAGGUUGAUCAUUAACCAUCUCAAGCUAAGGUGGAGAAAAACUCACCGAAUGCGAAGUAAGCUCUCUCGAUCUCCAAGUGGGAGUUAGAGUCCUUCCAAACCAACUUAAACAAGGAUUCUAAACCCAUCAAUUAGGUCCCAAAGCCCCCAAAACAAAAAUUCCCAAAAUAAGCCCUAAAUCCCAAAAUCUAGGGUUUCAUUUGGUAAAACCUACUGAAACAUGCUCCAAGGAGUAGAUUAAGCAUACUAACCUCCUUGGUAGCUCCAAACCAAGCUCAAAAUGCUCUAGAGUUGAAGAUUGAUCCUCUAUCAAGCUCCUAGCCCAAGCUCCAAUCCUCCAAUGGUAAAGAAAGAGAGAAAGGGUUGAAGCUCCAAGCUCCCUCAAGCAAGCUCCUCCUCUCCUCCUCCUUCCUCCUCUUCUUCUUCUCUUUCAAGAGGGUGUGAAAGAGUGAGAAGUGAGGGAAAGAAAGAGAGGAAAUGGCCUGUAAGCCCUCCGAAGUAACAAUAUCCACAUAGGUCCCCCAACAAUCCAACCAGUGCACAGCCCUGGACUGGGCAAUUUUCGCCUAGAGGGACCGGUCUCUCCCAGCUGGGACCGGUCCCUCGGGACCCUCCCGCAAAACCAGCUCUCGGGAACCGGUCUCUCCCCGUAUGGGACCGGUCUCUCCCCGUGAAAACGCGCUGGGGGACCGGUCUCAUCCGCCAGGGACCAGUUGCCUCAAGCCUGGCCGCGACACUGUUCCGAGGGGAUCGGUCUCUCUCACCAGGGACCGGUCCUCAAGAGUAAAACUCUCAGGACUAGCCAAAAUCCAGAAUUCGAACUUUUUAGGUUGGAAUACAUUCUACGACCCUCCACAAAGCGUGGAAAAGCUCGGAACUUAAGUCAAACACUCGAACCUUGCAAUUUGCACAGGUCCAGUGUGUUACAUUCACAAAGCUAGAAAUCCAAGCCCUAGGUUCCUACCAUUGUUGAGCUCAAAAGCUUACCUCUAAGCUAGCUCCAAUGGUGUGAGGAGGAAGAGGAAGAGGACCGAGGCCUUCUCCUAGCUUGCUCCACCUUCUUCUCCUUCUUUUUCUUCCUCUCCUUCUUCUCCUUCUUCUUUGCUUCAAGAGAGGAGAAAGAGCUUAGAGAGAGAGAGAAGUGUGUGUGUUUGGGGUGGGAAUGAGAGAGAAGAGAAGGCCCAACCCCUCUAUACCCCUCAACUAAUGGCAUAGUUGCAGCCAAACCCCUCCACUUUGCACUCUGUGCACUGCCUGGACUGGGCAGUUUUCGCGCCCAAGGACCGGUCUGUCCCUUAAGGGACCGGUCCCCGAGAGCAGUCCAUGCGGGCAAAGGGCUCUGCCCAAUUUCCUACGUGCACGGGGACCGUUCUUCCCCUCCAGGGACCGGUCCCCGCGAGCAACACUCUCAGGACAGCCGAUUUUCCACUUCUCUUCACUGGCUGUGCGUACAGGGACCGGUCCUCGACUGAGUGACCGGACCUUCAGGGACCGGUCCUCGCCCGAGAGACUGGACCAACCCCGAGAGCAAAUAUCGCGCGCAGAGUUCUCUGUCUCAUUUUCAGCUUACGGGGACCGGUCUCUCCCGCCAGGGACCGGUCCCCGAGAGCAGAAUUUGCCAAGUGCAGAUUUCGCACUGUUUGCUCUCGUGGAUCCAACUCCAAUGCACUUUUUGUGUUUUGGACACCUUCGGCUUUUCCGAAGCCUACCCACUCGACAAGUAGUCGAUUUUGAGGGAAGUCUAACUCUCAGAUUUCGAGAAUUCACUUCCUUACAUUCUCCCCUCCUAAAAAAGAGCUUCAUCCUCGAAACUAAUCCAAUUCUCAACUCAAACUUAAACUCAAAUGCUUGAAGUACUAAUCUCAAAUGCUCCCGAAGGACUUAAAGUACUAAUCUCAAAUGCUCGGCAUGCUCCUCGUCAUUGCGAGAAUAGACCAAUAUGUCGUCUAUGAAAACCACAACAAUCGGUCUAGAAACUCCUUGAAGACACGGUUCAUCAAAUCCAUGAACGCCGCCGGGGCAUUCGUAAGUCCAAAAGGCAUGACCGUGAAUUCAUAGUGCCCAUACCGCAUGCGGAACGCGGUCUUCUGAACAUCUUCCAGCUUAAUCUUCAAUUGGUGAUAGCCGGACUGCAAGUCUAUCUUUGAGUACACACACGACCCCUGCAACUGGUCGAACAAGUCGUCGAUUUGGGGAAGUGGGUACUUAUUCUUAAUCGUGGCUCUGUUCAACUCACGAUAAUCCACACAGAGUCGGAACGAUCCGACCUUCUUCCGCACAAACAACACCGGGGCUCCCCACGGCGACACGCUUUGCCGGAUAAAUUGCUUGUCGAGGAGGUCUUGUAAUUGAUUCCUCAACUCCUUUAGUUCCGCCGGCGCCAUUCUAUACGGAGCCUUCGAGAUCGGCGCGGUACUAGGAAUCAAGUCUAUGAUGAACUCGAUCUUCCAAUCCGGCGGUAUCCUCGACAACUCCGAGGGAAAUACAUCUAGGAACUCCCGUACUACCGACAACUCCUCCAAGGUCGGAGCCAUUCGGUCCACCUCCACAACGGUUGCUAAGUAGGCUGUGCACCCGCCGUUAACCAACUUCCUCGCUCUCGUCGUCGACACCGUCGCGACGAAGCACGAGCUUCGACAAGCCCAAUACGUGAACUCCUCUUGUCCGGGCUCACGAAAGGUAUGUUACGGAUUUUAUGUUGGCAUAUUUCGUGAAGUUAGUCGGAGUCUUGAAUGUUUGAAGAAAAAGAGAUGAAGAUCGAAGACUCGAAGACUCAAAACAUGAAUGCACAAUGCUCGGUAAGUUUAAAUACCAUUGAUGAUGAUUUAUAAAUGUUUAAAAGUAUUUGGAAGACUUAGAUUGUAUUAAAAUGCUAAAUCUGAACAUUUUAGUGUUCUAGGACCGGUCCCUGAGAUGAGAGACCGGUCCCCGAGGGUCCUCUAUGCGUGGAAAGUUGAGGCAACCGGUCUCUGAAAAGUAAGACCGGUUCUAUAGCGAGAGACCGGUCUCUGGAAUGAGAGACCGGUUCCCUAAGCCUGUGUUUUCAGGCACGCAACGAGGGACCGGUCUCCCACUCGAGGGACCGGUCUCCUAAAGACCGGUCUCCUCGAGAAGACCGGUCCCUGAGGACGACGUCAGUUUUUAAAAUUGGAUUUUUGCAAUCCUAGUCUGUUUCUAAGUCUUCUAAACCUAUAAAUAAGAUGUAGGGGUGUUUCUAAAACAGAACAGAGGAUAAAAUAUCUUUUUGAAAUCCUAGAAACUUGUUGGGUGCAUUCUUUCUUCUCUCGAACAACAAGUUUCUAUCAGAUCAAUUCGUGUAACUCAAAAUUUCUCGUUCUUUAUAGGGAAUUGAUCCGGCUAUUGCUUAGAAAUAUCUUCUACGGUUUUUUAAUGAUUGUCUAAGCAAUAAAUCAUCAUCAAUCUUGGUAUUCUUGCUCCGGACGGAGUGUGCUCGUGGAUUCGAGUGGAUGUCGUGGAUUCGGCGUGAUCAAGGCUUCGUGGAUUCGAAGUGUGGACGUUUCGUGGAUUCGGGACGUGGCGUUCGUGGAUUCGAACGUGGGGCGUGGACAACCCGUUGUUGUGCGCGAGAUCCGGAGAAGAUAAAAGAGAGGUUUGAGUCCGUGGAAUCGGUAAAUCACCUUGUAAUCUUUUAUUCUUAGUGGAUUGUUAUCGCGUGUUGGUCCCGUGGUUUUUUACUCCUAGUUGGAGUUUUCCACGUAAAUCUCGGUGUGAUUUUUAUUUUUCCGCAUUUACUGUUAUCGCAUUGAGAUUUGUGGUUUUCGGCUUUUACACCUAUUCACCCCCCUCUAGGUGUUAGAUACAAUCUAGAUAGAUCCCUGGGCUACCCCAAAACUUACAAGGUAAGCACCUUGCUCUUGCAGUCAAUCGUCACGUAGUACUUCGAGAGCCAAUCCAUGCCCAAUAUGACAUCGUACUCUUUCAGCUUCUUGAGCACCAACAUGCGAAUCGGCAUUAUCCAAUCGCCUAUUUGUACUGGGCACGCUAAACACUCCUUGCGGAUCAGAAAAUCCCGCCCAGGGCCAGACACACACUAAGUGCUCUUACUAAAUUGAAACUCAAUACCAUGCAUUUGUGCAAAUGGCUUACUUAUGAAUGAAUGCGUGGCACCUGUAUCAAACAUAGCUCGGGAGCGAACUCCGUUAAUUAAAACAAUACCUACCACCACAUGGCGCUCCUCGGGCUCGGCAGGUUCCUCCACUUGAGUUUGAGCGGUGAACACCCACCCGCUCGGUGCCGAUCAUGUCACCUCAGGUUGACGCGGCGCCAUCGCGCGUCCCGCUGACACCGCCGUCGGUGGAGCUCCCCCAUAAUGAGCUGGAAUCACCGGCGCCGAUGCAAUGGAUGGAGCAGGUGAGGCUCCACCUCCCGGGCAAUCACGUAUGAAGUGCCCCGGUUGCCCGCACUUGAAGCACUUGCCUUGGCGCUGAUCACAACGCGACGGUUGGUGGUCUCCGCCGCAAAUGACACACCGCCGCGCUCCACGGCCCUUGUACUGAGUCCGCGGAUACUUCGGGGGCUUUUUGGAACUCGUCGGACCCCCCGAACCGCCGCCUUGUCGUUUCUUGCCCUUAUCCUUGGACUCGGCUAAAAGCACACGCUCCUCGCACACACGGGCAUCUCCGUGCUCUGCCCACAGCGCCCGAUCAAAUACCUCCGCAAAGGUCGUGAGCUUGAAUAUCUGCACGGCCUUGUAAAUUCCCGGCUGAAGUCCCCUUAAGAACCAGUCGGCUCUGUCCCUAUCAUCCUUCACCACAUCCGAGACACAGUCAAUGAUGUGGGAAAACUCUUGCUCAUAGUCCGCCACAGUGCGGUCCCCCUAUCGUAACUUGCGGAAGUUCUCUUGCAGCUUCCGCUUCUGAGUAUCGGGGAAGUAGUUGGCAAACAUCACCCUCUUGAACUAUUCCCACAGCAUCGGUGGAAGUUCCGAAGGCCUAUCUCGCUUCACUCUCUUCCACCACACUUUCGUCGUCUUAUCCAAACAGUGUGUGGCGAGGUACACCUUGUCCCUCUCCGAGGUGGACAGGUCCUCGAAGAGCGUCUCCAUCGAGUCGACCCACGACUCGACCAUCGCCGGCUCUACCUUCUCUCCCUCGAAGAUAGGCGGAUGAAACUUGUUGAACUUGAUUACAGCCGCCAACGCGCGCUCCUUCUCCGCUUCCUCGGCCGUCGCAUCGGGUGUCGCCGAACCUGACGCCGCAGGAGGAACGACCAUCGGCGGGGGAUGUGCCGCCACCGGAAUCGCCGCUAUACCCUCACCCUCAGCCGCUUCGAGCUCACGCGCCGAGGGUGCUGGUGGAACAUGACCGUCCAUCGCCAUCGCAAUCGUCGCUGCUAAUUGCCGCUCCAUCAACUCUCGAAGCAGCUCGAAUUGACCCGCAAGUGCGGUCACUUGCGCCUGCAACUCCUGCAUCUCGUUCGGCCCGGCCUGUGCAGGCACCACAGGAGGCUCUGGGGCUCAUGCAGGUUCAACUUGCUCGAGCAAAGGUCAAACCCACCGAUACUCAAAAAUAAGACUUUCUCAUUCUUUGUGAGGUCAAACCCACCGAAACUUCGCUAAAACUCCUUCAUUUUGUCGAACGGAGUUGCCCACAAUUCUUCUAGCACCCUAAAGGUUAUAAGAGAAGAGAUACAAGAACGUUAUGAACAACCCUAAGCUCAAUCAUUAAGCAAAUCUAGCAAAACUCACCCUGGUGAGAGAGACCGGUCCCCCCGGAACAGUGCUGCGGCAGGACUUGAGGCAACCGGUCCCUAGAGGGCGAGACCGGUCCCCGAGUACGUUUUUGCGGGGAGAGACCGGUCCCGUGCGGGGAGAGACCGGUUCCCGAACGUUGGAUUUUCGGGGCAAGCUGAGAGACCGGUCCCAGGUCGGGAAGAUCGGUCCCUCAGUCCGAAAACUGCCCAGACCCGGGCAGUGCGCAGGUUGGAUUUUUGAGGGACUUAAGUGGAUUUUGUUCCUUCAAAGGGCCUUAGGGCCAUUUCCUCUCCCUUUCACCCUCAUUUCUCUCCCUCACAUUCUCUAUACACUCUCUAGAAAGAGAAGAAGAAGGAGAAGAAGGAGUUGAAGGAGAGCAAGCUUAGAGGCCUUGGAGCAUCUUCCUCUCCCUCAUUUCUCACCUUUGGAGGCUUAGAGCUUGUGGUUGGAGCUUGGUAGUGGAUCAAUCUUCAACCCUAGAGAAUUUUGAGCUUGGUUUGGAGCAUUCUAGAGGUAAAUGGCUAGUUUUCUUCCUCUAGAUCCUAGUUUUGAAGCUUUAAACUAGAUGAAACCCUAGAUUUUGGGAUUUAGGGUUUAAUUUGGGGAUUUUCGAUUUGAGGGCUUUGAAACCUAAUUGAUGGGUUUAGAACCUUUAUUUAGGUUGGAUUUGAAGAACUCUAACUCUCAUUUGGAGCUUGAGAGAGGAUUUCUUCACUUGAGGUGAGUUUUCCUCACCUUAGCCUAUGUUGCUUAUUGAUUGAGCUCAAGGUUGAUCGUAAGGUUCGUUUAACCCUUGUUCCUACAUCUUUAGGGUGCUAGGAGACUAGUAGACACCUUCGUUGGAGCAAACGAAGGAGCGCAAGAGUUGUGGUGGGUUUGGCUUCAUGAAAACGGGGCGAAAUGGCCCCCAUGCUUUCUAUACUCGUCGUAACGUCAUUUUAAAUGCAAAUCUAUGCUAAAUGGAAUUUAUGUGAAUUUUAGAACACUUAAAAUACAUGUGUUAUGUCACGCCACGGGACCGAUACCAAUUUGGGCCGGCCCGAGCACGUCAAACAAACGCCGAACGGACAGAGUUUUUCCUGUCCGCCCAAGGCUCAUCACAUGUACAAUUUCAAACAAGAAGUGCACUAGCGGAAACAUAGACAAACGGCUUACACGAGAGUAAACAAUAGCCAUGAGUGAGAGAAAUGAACUAAACAUCUACACAAGUACUAUGAUUCUCUUUUGAUCACAUACAUUGCAUUUAACCUCAUAUUCAUAAUUCUUUACAUCACUUGCAUCAUUUCUUUUUACAUCACAUUGUCUCAAAAUAAACAUUACAUUCUUUUUCUUUUACAUCUCAAUUCAUCAAAUACAAAAAAUGAAGUAAGGGAAUGCUACUACAAAAUGUAAACCCAACUCUGGUGGCCUCUGACUAAGGUGCGAUAUCUUUACCACGGUCGCACGCCGGUUCGCUCGGUCCCGGCUCUGUGGAAAUAGUGGGGUGAGAACUACAACGAAGUUCCCAGUGGGUUCGACUCCAACAUCACCGACUUUCCCACUAGGACUAACUCAGGCAUAAUAGAAAGGAUAAGCAGAAUAGUAACCAAACUAUAAUCAUGAUGCUAAUAUGCCUGAACAAUAGCAAGGAAUAUGCUCAAUAUAAAUCAUGCAAGUAUGCAAGUUCUUUAUUCUUUUACUCUUUGUUCUUUGUACUUUAAUCUCACGGCUAACCUAGGGGUUUCGCCACAUUAACUUGCCCACAUUAAGUCCAUCAUCGCGGGCCCUCAUCUUCCUCCCGCUAAGACCGUCCUCGGGUUUACUCCAACGCGUGAUGCAAAACUCCGGAGCGCAUCGCCCGAGGGGGAGCGACCGCCCUCGAGCACGGAACUCAUAGCAAGUAUGAUCAAUCCUUAACUCUAAGGAUAUAUAGUUCAAUCAUUGUCUUUACACUAACUCUAGUGUUCUUUACAUCACUUUAUUUUGCUAACUUUAGCAAUUAUCGUUCUUUAACUUUACUCGUUCUUUAUGCCAAACUUUGCAUUAGCUUUAACCAUUAUCAUUGUUCUUUUCAUCACAUUGAUUCUUUGAUGCCACACACUAACUCUAGUGUCGACUAUAUUCUUUCGAAUGCCACUCGAUCUAUGCUCAUUGUGUCUCUUUAUUCUUUUGCCUCACUUGUGUGCUCACAAUUUUUCUCAUGCAUACAUAUAGGGUUAAACAUUCAUAGGGGUUCUCAACUAUCUCGCUAGGCAAAUUGUACUCACAGCAUACAACAUUACAUUAUUCUCAUUACAUAUACCCUACGGUGCAUGCAACAAUGUAUAUAACAUAUGCUCAAUUGAAUGACACAUUAGGCAUAGAAGGAAGUUCAACGAGUUUGGAUAGCGCCACCCACCUCGUAGGUUUGCAAAGGUGCUCCGACGAUUUUCUUGGGAUUUUUAGACACCCGGUUCGCUACCUGCGAGUUAACGAAGCCAAAUUAGGCUUAUUUGGCCAUAAUUUUACAUCGGCUUUUCGUAACGUUAAUCCGAGCGCACCAACGUGUCGGAAAUACCCCCAAUUAGGUUUCUAAAGGGUCAAUUGCAUUUUAGAACCCUCGCAAGCAAAAGCCCCAAUUUGGGUGCCCUAGCUCAUAACAUCUAUCAAACCUAGGGUUUGAUCUCAUUGGAAAGCAAAAGCAGCUUCAUUCUACUCUAGAGACUCCACAAAAACUAUCUUUAGUUCAAUUCAAACCCUAGUUUGGAUUCUACCAUGAGAGGGGUUGGAGCUUUCCUCUAAGCUUCACCACCAAUACCGAAAUCCAUGGUUUGAUCUCUAAAAGAAGCAAAAAAAAGCUUCAAUCACUCAAUAGGUUCUAUAAAAACCAUUCCUAGCUUAAUCUAAACCCUAGUUUGGGUUCUACCACAAUUAGGGUUCAAAGCUUACCUUGUAAGCUUUCCUUUUCCAAACUAGAGAUGAGGGAGAGGGAGUUUCUUCACUUCUUCUUCUCCACUUUCUUCUUCUUCUUUUUCUUUUUCUUCUCUUUCUUUUCCUUGUCUUCUAGAGAGAGAAAGAGAGAUAAGAGGGAGUGUGAGGGAGAGAAUGAGAGGAAAAGCCCUCAUGGCCCUCAACUUAACCAUUGGGUGGCAUAAAUGCAAAUAGGCCCCUCAGCUUUUAUCUUAUUAAACUGCUUGAACUGGGCAGUUUUCGUGUUCGGGGACCGAUCUCCCCAACUUGGGACCGGUCCCAGAAAGCUCUCCUGCAGCUCAGCGGAGGCUUUCGCACGAGGCAACCGGUCUCUCCCAGGGAGACCGGUCUCUCAGGGACCGGUCUCUCCACGCAGGGACCGAUUCUCGAGAGCUGGUUUUCUGGGACUUAGCCGAUUUUCAGCUUUUCUCAUUUCUCACGCGUUCGGGGACCGGCCUCUCCCACCAGGGACCGGUCCCCGAGAGCUCAAAAACUGCAGUUUGCAGAUUUUUGAUUCUUUAACUCUCGAAAACCUCCUAUAACACACUUUUGAUCAUUUUAACACCUUCGAACUUUCCGAAGUGUACCAUCCUCGCACUUUGGUCAAUUUGACUAAAGUUCGAUAUUUAUUUUCCGAAUUUUUGGUAUAUUAUAUGUUAUGUGUAAGAUAAUUUUCACUUCAUAUAGUAGAGCAUUCUGGGUAUUGUUACAUGCAUUUGGGAAGUGUUCGCACUAGUCGUUUGGAAACAUGCUUCAUAUGUUUAAAGUGGCUCAAUUAUACAUUUAUGAAUAUUUGGUUUAAGCUUGGACUUAGUAAAUAAAAGUGUCAUAAAUGGGCACUUAGACUAGCACACUAUGAGACUAUUGUAUUGACUUAGUGAUAGACCAUGGACAUCUACUACCUUCCAUGUUUUAGACAUGAUGACAUAGAGAUAGGCCUAUAAGAGAGUUGUGACGUAUUCCAUGUUGUUAGACAUGAAGACUUGGUACUUGAGACGAAUCUUUUCGUUACUUGCCAUUGUGCUCAAUCGCACAUGCUUGUGAGGGUCGCUCCCUACAAGCCGACAGUCCGGAGAUGGCCAUCGUGAUACAUAUUCGCCGUGCGGUAUUAGGUGCCGAAGUGGAUUGCCGUGGGAAAGGCUCAUUCCUAGAGUGGGGAUGUUGACUACCACGGGGCCAUUAGGCUCGGCACGGCCAGACAACCUACGGGUGGGUCUCAGGGCCAGACAGCCUUCGGGCGGGUCUCUUCAGAUUUGACUGUGAGCAUUCAUCAUGCCAUGUGGACAUUGACUAGAAUAGUAAAUAAUGACAUCUUUACUAUUUGACUUAUGGACAUCAUAUUCGCGAUGCUUGGGUACAUUCAUACGAGAAUAGCUUUUCUUAGUUAUGCUAAAUCAUGUUAAGUAGAGAUAUCAUGUGGUAGCAAAUAUUCAUGCUUAUUUACUUGUCGUACAUAUCGCUCUUGUUUAUAUCUGCUUACUGACCCCCUUUCUAGUUUGGGCCUAGUGGUGCAUUUCACUAAAGUCAGUAAUUACCCACUGGGAACUAUUAUUCAAUAGUUCUCACGCCCUCUAUUUUAUGGUUUUAUUUCAGAGCCUUCGGCACCGGCGGAGGCACGGGAUCGCGGCAAGGGAGUCGCAUAGCUAGAUAGCGGAACUUGCUGUUGCUCCUAGGUGGCCACUCUCUUCCUUUUUGUCUUUUUUGUGAGAGAGAGAGAGUUUUGUACCAUGUAUAGAGACCAUCUCUGUACCUUAUUUAGCAUUUGUAUUUGGGAUUCUUAUUGUAUUACUUUAUGUUUCUUCUAGUGGAUUUUAGUUUAUGGUUCUUUUCCUCUAUUGUAGCAUCUAGAUAUACUUGCUCUGAUACUCCUAGAUGUUCUCUUUUUACUGCUUCAUUUAUCGCUUUAUUUUAGACGCCUUGUAUGUUUUAGACAUAUGGCGGUGGGUCUGGGCACGCGCCGGGCGAGCUUCCGCUGGGUCCCGGGGCGUGACACACUUUCUGUACCGGUACAACCAUCAAGGUGUACCGGUACACAAUCCCAUAGAAGGCAACCCGAGAGCAGCCUAAGUCCUCCUCUUUGGUGACCUUAGCGCUACUUUAAAAAUCUCAAUUCUCGGGAUACGAGCCAUAGGUCGGAACACUAUCAACGACCCACCAGAAAAUCUGGUAAAAACUCAGAACACUGAUCAAAUACUCGAACCUCGCAAUUUGUAAAGGUCCAGUGUGUUACACUCAUUCCUAGAGUGGGGAUGUUGACUGCCACGGGGCCAUUAGGCACAGCGCUGGCCGGACUACCUACAGGUAGGUCCUACAUGAUCGGAACUGUAGUGACUUAGUAUGCCAACUGGAUAUUGAUUAGAAUAGUAAACAAUGACAACUUACUAUUUACUCGUGGACAUCAUAGUAGUUACACUUAUGCAUAUCUAUAUUACAGUAGCAUUUUUACUUAUGCAAAUUCAUGCUAAGUAGAGAUAUCAUGUUGUAGUAAGCUUUCAUGUUUAAUCGCUUAUUGUUCAUAUCGCUUAUACUUGUACUUACCCUUUCAGCUUUUGGGCCUUGUGGCGCAUUUCACUGAAGUCAGUAAUUGCCAACUGGGAACUAUUAUUUAAUAGUUCUCACGCCCCUGUUUUAUGAUUUCCUUUCAGAGCCCUCUACACCGGUGGAGGCACGGGAUCGCGGCAAGGGGAUCGCUAGCUAGAUAGCGAGGAUUUUACAUUUUGCUUAGGUGCUUCUAUCUCUUUUUGUAUUUUGUAGAGAGUGGGAGGUUUUGGCACCAUGUAUAGAGACCACCUUUGUACUACUUUUAGCACUUGUUUUCGGGAUUUGUUAUUGUUCUACUUUAUGGUUUUACCUUAGUGGAUUUUUUUAGCUUUUGUUUAUUCGUUUGUUGUAGAUUCUAGUUGUACUAUGCUCUGAUACUCCUAAGUGUUCAUUUAUCAUUGCUUUAUUUAUCGUUUUAUUGUAGACGCCUUAUAUGUUUGAGACGUAUGGCGGGUCUGGACACAUCCCGGGCGGGCUUCCGCUGGAUCCCGGGGCGUGACACUAAUGCCCCGACAGCUUUUAUGGAUGUAAUGAACCGUGUUUUUAAGCCUUAUUUAAACAGGUUCGUCGUGGUGUUCAUCGACGACAUCUUGGUUUAUUCCCGAAGUGAUGCAGAUCACGAGGAACAUUUGAGGUUUGUACUUCAAAUACUUCGGAAAAAUGUGCUUUAUGCCAAGUUGAAAAAGUGUGAAUUUUGGCUCCGAGAAGUAGCAUUCCUUGGACAUUUGAUUUCAGGAUCGGGUAUAGCCGUGGAUCCUAAGAAGAUUGAGGCUAUCAAGGAUUGGCCGAGAUCGACGAGCGUCACGAAAAUACGGAGCUUUCUUAGAUUGGCCGGCUACUACCGGAGAUUUGUCGAGGGGUUUGCUAAGCUAUCUACUCCCCUCACUAGGCUUACGGCGUCAAGUUCAUUUGGAACGAUGCGUGUGAGAGGAGCUUCCAAGAGUUGAAGCAGCGAUUGACGACUGCUCCGAUCCUAACCCUGCCUGUUGCUGAAGCAGGGUAUAUGGUUUAUAGUGAUGCUUCAUUUAAUGGAUUAGGUUGCGUUUUGAUGGCAAGGUGAUCACGCAUGCUUUUCGCUAAUUAAAGGAUUAUGAAAUGAACUAUCCUACGCAUGAUUUGAAGUUGGCGGCCAAAGUGUUUGCAUUGAAGCUAUGGUGCCACUAUCUUUAUAGGGAGCUAUGUGAAGUAUAUACGGAUCACAAGAGCCUUAAGUACCUGUUCACUCAGAAGGAGCUGAACUUGAGACAGCGCAGAUGGUUGGAGCUGCUCAAGGAUUAUGACUUGACUAUUCUUUACCACCCGGGCAAGGCUAACGUGGUGGCAGAUGCGCUAAGUCAGAAAUCGACAGAAAACUUAGCGAUGCAUGUUGUUACUCAACCGCAGUUGAUCGAGCAGAUGAAGCGGUUGGAGUUCGAGGUGGUGGCUCCUGAUACACCCUUGAGGUUGAUGACCUUGGUAGUGCAACCUACAUUGUUGGAUAGAAUUAAAGAAAAGCAAGUUCAUGACGUGGAGUUGCAAAAGAUUAGAGAUAAAAUGUUUUAUGGUUGCACCGGCGAUUUUCUUGUGGAUGAUCAAGGGUUGAUGCGAUUUCGUGGAUGGUUAUGCGUACCGGCGGAUUCGGGAAUUAAAGAGGAUAUCCUUCAAGAAGCACACCGGGCACCCUAUGCUAUACAUCCGGGAGGCACCAAGAUGUAUAAGGACUUAAAGUUGCACUAUUGGUGGUCCGAGAUGAAAAAGGAUAUUGGCAAGUUUGUAGCUCGUUGUCUAACUUGCCAACAAGUAAAGGCGGAGCACCGAUUGCGCGCGAGAAAACUUCAGAGUUUGCCUAUUCCCGUGUGGAAGUGAGAGAUGAUCACCAUGGACUUUGUUAUGGGAUUGCCUUACUCUUAGAUCGGGCAUUAUGCUAUUUGGGUGAUCGUGGAUAGGUUGACAAAAUCGACGCAUUUCAUACCUAUUCACACUACUUGGACUGGGGAGAAGCUCGCACAAGUGUAUCUCGAUGAGAUUGUGCGACUUCACGGAGUGCCUACUUCAAUUGUAUCUGAUCGAGACACCCGAUUUGUGUCCCACUUCUGGAGGAGUUUGUAAGACGCCUUAAGCACUCGAUUGGAUUUCAGCACUGCUUUCCACCCUCAGAGUGAUGGGCAGUCGGAGCGCACCAUACAGACGUUAGAAGAUAUGCUCCGAGCAUGUGUGAUAGACUUCCAGGGAGGAUGGUCGCAGCAUCUACCGAUGGCAGAGUUUGCUUAUAACAAUAGUUAUCAAGCAAGUAUCAAGAUGGCGCCCUUCGAAGCACUUUUUGGACGGAAGUGUAGAUCGCCACUUCAUUAGAGUGAAGUUGGCGAGAGAUUGGCUUUAGGCCCUGAUGUGCUCCAAGAAGCUGAGGAUAAGAUUCGUAUUGCUCGGGAGCGACUAUUGACGGCACAGAGUAGAUAGAGGAGCUACGCCGAUCGACGACGGUGAGACUUGGAGUUCCAGGUUGGAGACCAUAUUUUCUUGAAGGUCUUGCCGACCAGAAGGAUUAGGAGAUUCGGGAUUCGGGGUAAGUUGAGCCCUCGGUUUAUUGGACCGUAUGAGGUUUUGGAGCGUGUAGGCCCGGUAGCGUAUCGACUUGCUCUACCACCGAACCUAUCGGGCGUACAAAACGUCUUUCAUGUGUCGGUCAUUCGGAAGUACAUCUUCGACCCGGCUCAUGUAUUGGAUGCUACACCUAUAGAGCUGCGGGAUGAUUUGAGCUUCGAGGAGCAACCCGUGAGGAUCUUGGCUCGCGAUGUGAGGAAGCUGCGGAAUCGGGAUAUUCCAUAUGUGAAAGUUCUUUUGAGCAACCACGAGGAGCGGGAGGCCACGUGGGAGCUUGAGAGCGCUUUGCAGGAGCGCUAUCCCCAUCUUUUUCAGAUGGAGUCUUGAGGUACGUUGCUUUUGAGUUUCGCGGACGAAACUCCUUUGUAGGAGGGGUGAAUGUAACACACUGGACCUUUGCAAAUUGCGACGUUCGAGUGUUUGUUCAGUGCGUCGAGUCUUUCCAGAUAUUCUGGAGGGUCGUUGACAAUGGUCCGACCUAUGGCUCGCAUCCCGAGAAUUGUGGUUUUUAAUGUAGCGCCAAGGUCACCAAAGUGGAGGACUUAGACUGCUCUCAGAUUGUACUCUGCAGGAAAGUGUACCGGUACAUCUUGAUGGUUGUACCGAAACAGGUUUUGUACCGGUAGACCUUGAUGGUUGUACCGGUACAAAUGGGAUAAACUGCCAAUCCCAGGCUCGGGUUUGCUGUCUAGCAGGUGUUGUACCGGUACACAUUCCCGUGUACCGGUACACAGUGCAGUGCGGGUUGUUUUUGUUGAGGGGUGUAUUUGCAAUUGUUGUAAACUCUUUAUAUACCACCCCAGCCCCUUUGAGAGCUCUUUUGAGCCCUUACCAGUGGAGAACAAGGUGAGCACUCUCCCCCUUGAUUUCUUCUCCAUUUUUUAUGGGUUUUAGCUAGUUUCGAUCUCCUCCUCUUUGCUUUUUCUUUCUUCUUGUUGGUUUCCACCAUAGGAGAAGCCUUGAGCUCGUGAUUGGAGCUUUGUGGAGGGAGGAUCUUUAACCCUAGCUUACUUGGAGCCUUGUUUGGAGCUCUUGUGAAGUUAGUAAGCUUAAAUUCCCUCUUUGAUUCAUGUUUUGAUAGAUUUUACUAGAUGAAACCCUAGAUUUGGGAUUUAGGGUUUAUUUUGAGGGUUUUGGAUUUGUAGCUUCUAGAACCUAAUUGAUUGGUUUAGAACCUUCCUUUAGGUUGGUUUUGAAGGACUCUAACUUCCAUUUGGGAUUAGAGGAGGGUUUUCCACAUCUAAGGUGAGUUUUUGCCCUUUUGCUUGGGUUUUUUAAUGUUCUUGCCCUAGGGUGUUCGUAACAUUCGUGUAACUCUCUUUUUAUUACCUUUAGGGUGCUAGGAGAGUAGUGGGCAAUUUCGUUCGACGAAACGAAAGGUUUGGAGGGUCACGGUGGGUUUGACUUCAUGAAAUAGGAGAGAAAUGUCUCUUAUGUGUUUUAUACUUGUCAUUUCAUCGAAAUACAUGCACAUUCAUGCUAGAUAGAAUUUUUAUGAAUUUUAGAAUACUUAAAAUGCAUGUGCUGUGUAUCAUAAAAAUUUAACUCUAUAUAGUAGAGCAUUAUGUGUAUUAUGCAUGCAUGUGAAAAGUAUUCUUUCUUGCAAGUUGAAAACAUGUCUCAUAUGAUGAAAAUAACUCAAAUUAUGUACUCCUGAACAUUAUACUCAUGCUUGGACUUAGUGGACAAAAGUGCCAUAAAGGGGGCACCCGACUUAGUAAACUGUGAAACUGCAACAUAGAGAUAUAGUGAUAGGUCAUUUGAACAUCGACUAUAUUCCAUGUUUUAGACAUGAUGACAUAGUGAUAGGCCAUUAAGACAUUUGCUACAUUCCAUGUUUUAGACAUGAUAACUUGGGACUUGAGAUAGACUUUUACGCUUGCUUGCUAUUAUGCUCAUUCGCACAUGCUUGUGAGGGUCACUCCGCACAUAUUUGUGAGGGUCGCUCCCCACAAGCCGACACUCCGGAGAUAGCCAUCGUGACACAUUCUCGCCCAUGCGGGAUUCGGCGCCGAAAUGGGAUGCCGUGGGGGAGGCUCAUCCCUAAAGUGGGGAUGUUGACUACCACGGGGCCAUUAGGCACGGCGCUCGCCGGACUACCCACGGGUAGGUCCUACAUGAUCGGAACUGUAGUGACUUAGUAUGCCAACUGGAUAUUGAUUAGAAUAGUAAACAAUGACAACUUACUAUUUACUCGUGGACAUCAUAGUAGUUACACUUAUACAUAUCUAUAUUACAGUAGCAUUCUUACUUAUGCAAAUUCAUGCUAAGUAGAGAUAUCAUGUUGUAGUAAGAUUUCAUGUUUAAUCGCUUAUUGUUCAUAUCGCUUAUACUUGUACUUACCCUUUCAGCUUUUGGGCCUAGUGGCGCAUUUCACUGAAGUCAGUAAUUGCCAACUGGGAACUAUAAUUUAAUAGUUCUCACGCCCCUGUUUUAUGAUUUUUUUUCAGAGCCCUCUACACCGAUGGAGGCACGGGAUCGCGGCAAGGGGAUCGCUAGCUAGAUAGCGAGGAUUUUACAUUUUGCUUAGGUGCUUCUAUCUCUUUUUGUAUUUUGUAGAGAGUGGGAGGUUUUGGCACCAUGUAUAGAGACCACCUUUGUACUACUUUUAGCACUUGUUUUCGGGAUUUGUUAUUGUUCUACUUUAUGGUUUUACCUUAGUGGAUAUUUUUAGCUUUUGUUUAUUCGUUUGUUGUAGAUUCUAGUUGUACUAUGCUCUGAUACUCCUAAGUGUUCAUUUAUCAUUACUUUAUUUAUCGUUUUAUUGUAGACGCCUUAUAUGUUUGAGACGUAUGGCGGGUCUGGACACAUCCCGGGCGGGCUUCCGCUGGGUCCCGGGGCGUGACACUAAUGCCCCGGCAGCUUUUGUUGCGUGCGUGUGUCAUCGACUACAAGGGUAGUUGGGCAAGUCAUUUACCAAUGGCCGAGUUUGCCUACAACAACGUUUGAGGCUCUUUACGGGCGAAAGUGUCGGUCUCCUAUACAUUGGAGUGACUUAGGCGAACGUGCGGCAUUGGGCCCUGAUGUAUUGCGGGAGGCGGAAGAGAAGGUCCGUCUCGCUCGCGAGAAGUUGCUCGCGGCGCAAUCUAGACAAAAGAGCUACCCGGAUAAGCGCCAUAGGGAUUUGGAGUUCGCGGUGGGUAACUGCGUCUUCUUGAAGGUUUCGCCUAUGAGAGGCGUGAAGCGCUUUGGAGUACGAGGGAAGUUGAGUCCCCGGUAUAUUGGACCGUUCGAAGUGUUGGAACGUGUUGUAGCGGUAGCAUACCGACUUACAUUACCACCGAAGCUCGCGGAUGUGCGUAAUGUGUUCCACGUCUCCAACCUUCGCAAGUACGUCCACGACCCCGAGCAUGUUAUGUAUUAUGAGCCGCCGAAUCUAUAAGAGGACUUGAGCUAUGAAGAGUUCUCGGCUGUAAUACACUGGACUUUCGCAAAUUGCAGAGUUCAAGUGGGUGGAAUGAAGUGUGGAAUUAUUCUACAUGUUCUAAUUGACUUGGACAAGUUUUUGAACAAGUUAGAGGAUGAUUGGAAUGCUAAAAGUGAGAAAGUGCAUUGAACUGACGAAAAUCAGCCUUUUCUGCUUGCUGUACCGGUACAGACAUUACCUUGUACCGGUACAAGCUGGCAGAUUCGUGGCAGCAAGAUUAGUUUUGUAAUUUCACACUUGAUCCCUAUCUAUAUGACCCCUGCAUGACCCCAGGAGCUCAGUGGGGUAUGCUGGAGCUCAGAGAAAGGUUCUCCCACCUUCCUCACUCUCUCUCUCUAGGGUUUUUUCUCUCUCUACAAAGAAUUCGCCGAUUUCGCUCGUUUUCGUCGCAACGUUGGUUCUUCGCUGUUCGCAUGUGUCGCAGGGCCUACGUGGACGUGUGAGGGAGUAUUUUGGAGAGUUUUUCGCAGCUCUGAACCAGUGAGGUGCUGGUUGGAGGCUUGAGAAGGUAUGUGACUCGAGUUUUCCGUUAUCGACGUUCUAUUAGUCGAUUUGCAGUAUUGGCUUUUGAGUUUCUGCUUCUUAGCUUUAUUCUCUGAGAUUUCAGGCAACUAAAGUGGAAUUAAAAUUAGCUUGAAUUAAGCUCCUUAGAUCAUAGGUGAUAAGCUUCUUGAAGGUUUAUUGAGAGGAUUAGCCAUUUAUGAAGCUAAAUCGGAACUUAAAUGCAUAUAUUGAGCGACUUGAUGUAAUUGGGGAUUAACUUCUUCGCGCAGUCUUUGAGCUUUGCUGGAUGCUGCAACUGUGUAAUUCUUUGAAGCUGGUUAGAAGGUAAUCUAACCUAAGGUAAGUAAGAAUUUCAGUUAGGAGCUGAAAUUCUGCAAGAAUUCGGACCACAAUUGCUAUUAAUGAUAGGGAGUUGAUGCCGUUCGAUUUUGGUUCGCGCGUGAGUGCGAUCGACAGUCCCUUGGAAUCAUCGUGUAGUUGACUUGUGAGAAGCUCUUGGAACUUAUCUUGGAGGUAUUAACACUAGUCCAAAACAGGGAUUUAAAGGGUUACUUUGUACUAAGUGUAAUUUUAGGAGCCGAAAUCAGAUAUUCCGGCUGUUAUUUUUGACGCGGUGUUAAUGUUUGUUUUUCCUGCAGAUUGUAGCCGACCUUUUUACGACUUCUUGUGAUUAUUGGGAGCUAAUAGUACUAGGUGCGGUUUGACCUAACCAGAGCAAUGAAGUCUCCCCUAUGUUCUACUAUGUAUUAAUGACGUGGUUUAAAUAUAAUGCUAUGAGAUUGUUAAAGGGCUUCGGAAUUCGUCAUCAUGCAUGGACGUUUAUACAUAUGUGUAAUAUGAGCGUCAUGCAUAAAGUACCAUGCAUUAAAGUAUUCUUGUUUAGUUCAUUAGACAACCAGGGUAAAUAGUUUAUUAUGUUUCUAUGAUAUAGAAAACAUAUUAUAUCAAUGAAAGUAUUUCUUCAUAUUCAAACAUUGAAUGGCUUAUGGACAAAAGUGUAGAUGCCACUUGUAAAGUAGAGAAAAUGACAUUCUCCUGACAUCUAAACGUAGAGAACUAGACAUGCCCCCUCAUGACUAUGUUGAUAGUGCCUCACAACUAGUGAAGAUUAUAAUGCUAUGUGAUUUACGCUUUUUCCCUUAAAUUGUUUACAAUUCUAGUGGAUAUUAGCUUUUGUUAACUAAUUGUGCGUAUUGAAUUCCAAUCCAGAGGAUCGAGGGUAAGAAUUGCAAGUGAAAAUAUAAAAAUUGAGACAACUAUGAUAAUGGACUUUGCUUGCUUGCCAUCGUGCUCAUCUCAGACACGCUUGUGAGGGAGCCUCCCUACAAGCCCCGACUGCGGAGGUUGGCCUACGCGACAGUCUGCUGCCACGGGCGGGAUGGUGCCGAAGUGAUUGCCGUGGGGAGAUGUAAAUACGUACCGAGCCAUUAGGCGCGGCGCAAGCUGGACUACCUUGAGUAGGUCCUAGUGAAUGAGAAAUGAAAGUGAAAAGUGAUAAUGAUAGUAAUGAAUGAGUAUCAGUUGUAGUGUACAGUAGUACUUACACUUCUAUGAUUAUGUUUACGUUCAUGUUUAUAGUAGUUGCAAUACUUCUAUUAUUCAGUUGAUUCAUUACUGCAAAAAUCAUGUUUACAUGUUGAAUACGUGCCUGUUACCGGUUAGCACUGCAUAUUUCUAUAUCAUGCACUUAUUGCUUUUACUUACUUUCUGUACAUCAUGAGCCUAGUGGUGUAAUUCGCCGAGGCUCGCGGCUUACCCACUGGGAACUAUUGUUAAUAGUUCUCACGCCCUUUUGGUGGUUGUUUUUACAGAGCCAUCUGCAGGAGAGGCUAGGGAUCGUGGCAAGGGAGUCGCGUCUAGCUAGACGUUGCUAGGAGCGUGCUAGUCAAUCACCUUGCUACUCGGGCUACGACCGAGGGUGAUGUCCCUUUGUAUAGAGAAACCACCUUUGUACCCAUCUUUUUUUGUAUACCCGUGAUGUAUAUGUACUACUUGGACCGUGAGCUACAGUUGUGAUACUUCUCUUCUGACGAGAUUUUGGAUUGUAUACUCUUUGUUCUUUUGCUGAUAGUAUAUCGACUUGUACAUUGCUCUGAUAUCAGGAUAGGACUCUCUUUGUUUUACUUCCUAUCGACUUGCUUUCUUUGUAGACGCCUUAUAUACUGCAGGUGUAUGGCGGGUCUGUGCACGUACCGGGAUAUGCUUCCGCUGGUACCCGGGCGUGACACCGGCGAUGAUCAUUGCUCGAGAGGUGCGGAAAUUGAGAAAUCGUGAGAUUCCCUACGUGAAGAUUCGUUGGACCAAUCACGAUGAUCGUGAGGCCACGUGGGAACUUGAGGAAGCGAUGAAAGUGCAUUAUCCUCAUCUCUUCGAAGAAAUGAGUUGAGGUAAGAGUUAUUGAAGUUAUUGAAUUCGUUUCGAGAACGAAACUCCUUUUUAGGAAGGAAUGAUGAAAGGAAGUGAAUUUUUGAAAUACGAAAGUUGGACUUCGUUUAAAAUCGACCAAGGGUCGUGUUGGUAUGCUUUGGAAAAGCCGAAGAAGUCAAAGGCACCAAAAGUGCAUUGAGGUUGGAUCUCGGAGAGCAAAUUGAUGAAAAUCUGCAUUUGGCAAAUUCUGCUCUCGGGGACGGGUCCCUUGCGGGAGAGACCGGUACCCGUAAGCAGUGAGGGUGGCAGAGAAGUUCUGCACGCGACAUUUGCUCUCGGGGUCCGAUCCCUGGAGAGGGGACCGGUCCUUAAAGGUCCGGUCCCUUAGGUGAGGACCGGUCCCCAUAUGCGUAGCCAGCGAAAAGAGGGAAAAAUUGGCUAAGUCCUGAGAGUUCAGCUCUCGGGGACCGGUCCCUGGCGGGAGAGACCGGUCCCCGUGCGCAUGAAAGGGCUCGCCUGAGGGCUUUGCGUGUGAGGCAGCUCUCGGGGACCAGUCCUCCCGUAGAGGGACCGGUCCCCGCAUGCGAAAUCUGCCCAGUCUGGGCAGUGCAUAAGAGGCAAAGUGGAGGGGUGUAAAUGCAACUGUUGAAUGAGAGGGUUGUAUAGAAGGGGUUAUUGAGUCAUUUCUCUCUUCUCCCUCACACACACACUCACCCACACUCUCUCUUUCUCUCUCAAGGAAAAGGAGGAGGAGAAGAAGAAAGAAAAGAAGGAGGAGAAGGAAAGGAAGGAGAAGAAGAUCAAGAGGAGGACUACUACCGUCUUCUCCAUCUUCUUCUUUGCUUGUGCUAGCUAAUAGAGGUAAGCUUCAACCCUCUCUCAUGGUAGAAGUGUUAGGGUUUGCUUUGAUCUCUUAAAACUUAGCUAGAUGGACUCUAAUGGAUCUCUAGAAGUAAUGGAACUCAUUGAUUGCAAGAAUAAAUGCUAUAAUAGAGCUAUUGCAAUAUUGGGGCUUCUAGGGCAUCCAGAAGAGGGCUUUUGUUCAUUGAGGGUUUUGAUCUCAAUUGACCCUUCUCUAACCUAAUUGUUAGGUCCCCGAACGCGUUCGUGCACUCAGUUUGAGCAUUCGUCGAGGCUACGAAGAGAUAUUGGCGAAAAACCAAUUUUUGGCUUCAUUUUCGCCUGGAACGCCGAGGAGGCAUCUAAAAAUCACGAAAUCGGAACCCUAGCCUUUUGGUAGCAUAAGAAGGUGGGGGGUGUCCAUCCCGAAGCAACCGAGCUUCUUUUUAUGUCUAAGUUCUUUAUAUUGAUCAUAUAUGGAUAUUAUGCAUUAUAGGAUAGUAGAUAGUUAGAAUUCUAAUUACUUGCAUGCUUUCUUAGUAGUGUAGCAUUGAGAGCUUGACACAUGGACUAGGGACGCAUGAGGAUUGGGUCUUGUGACAUGAAAUCCUAUAUGGCACAAUGAGAUAAACUUGAACAUGUAUAGCCUAGAUGAGUAGCGUUGAACUAGUGUAGUAGAAACACUAAACAUGAACGAGUAGCAUGUCAACUAGUUAGAAAACUUACUACAAAUGAUCGAACGAGUGGCAUCGAGUCUAGUGUAGUAAACAUGACAUGAACUUAGGGAUGGUAGAAGUCCCGGCAUUUGAUUAUGCAUCGUGAUUGUGCAGCAGAGGCACUAUGACCCUAGUAGAUAGGGUAUCCUCUUGUGAGGAUUGUAUCAUACUCACUAGUCUGUUUCAUUUAUCGGUGGUCGCUCCACCAAAGCAGUGGUCUCCGGAGUACUUCACAUAGGGGCAGACGUAGUUGUCCCGCAGACGGUCUCGGUGUGUGAGUGCAGUUUCUCCUCACCUAUGGGAUUGAAAGUGAGUCGAGGGCUUAACCUACGGGUUAGCCAGGUAAAUUGGGUAAUGAACAUGAAUGGCAUAGUAGAAUUGCAUUCUUACCUUGAGUAGACAUAGUGUAUGUUGUAGAUUGCAUUACAAUAUUACAUAUAUAUAUACUCUUGACAUCAUACUAGCAUGAUAGUAUACUGUUGUGUGAUGAUUAUUUCAUACAUGGCAUCGCAUUGAAGGCAUGGUAGGAUAGUUACAGUUUACAUUUCUACCUAUCUAUCUAUCUAUUUGCUUAUGCCUGCUUAGACCUAGUGAGAAGAUCGGCGGAGUCGGCGGCCGAACCCACUAGGAACUAUAUUUAUAUAGUUCUCACCCCAUUUUGUUGCAGGGCCGAGUACUAGUGCGCCGGGCGAGGACCGCGGCAAGGGCAUAGCGCCCUAAGUUAGUUAGUAGCUUUUCUACAUGCAUAUAGAGUACCCUCGUGUACUAGAUGAUGUAUAUUUUGAUAAUUGAUGGAGAGCUACCCAUGUAUUUUGGAGAUGACCAUGUAUUACAUUUUGAAAGAUGGAAAUGUAAUGUAAUCAAUUAUGUAAAUGUUGAAUGGUUGUAAUAGCUAAAAUAUCUCUCUUUAUUCACUGGUUAUACAUUUGUGGUUCUUGCUCGUAGUUGUGUUGCACUUGUGGUUCUUGCUCGUAGUUGUGUUGCACUUGUGUGCUUCUAGUUGAUCAUAUAUGUAUUGAAUUUCUUUUCCUGCGCAAAUUCUUGUACAUGAUCUCGUUGCUUAGCCUUGGACGGACAGGGGAGGUGCUGUCUUUUCGGCGUCUGUUCGACGCGCCCGAACCGGACCAAAUUGGUAGCGGUCUCGGGGCAUGGCAAGCUCCUCUCGGGUUGCACCUUGCAGGGCUGUGUACCGAUACAACCUUGAUGGUUAUACCGGAACAGGUUUCGUACCGGUACACCUUGAUGGUUGUACCGGUACAGAUGUGAUUUUCUACCAACCCGAGGCUCGGGUUUGUGUGUUCGGGGGAUUUGUACCGGUACACUUUGACAGAUUGCGAAAUGACAGUUUUUCAAGGGUGUAAAUGCAAUGUAGCUUCUCUACUUAUACCCCACGCCCCUUAGAGCUUCCCCUGAGCUGAGAGUUGUGGAGAACAAGGUAGGGUUUCCUCCCACUUCUCCCCUUUGGCCUAUUCUUUCUUUUUUGCUUGGGAUUUAGGGUUGUAACCCUCUCUUUUUGCUUUUUGGAUAAUUUUCUCCAUGGUAGGAGCUUGGAGCUUGGCUUUGGAAGCUUGUUGGAGAGUGGAUUCUCAACCUAGUUGGUGUUGAGUCUUGAUUGAAGCUUCUAAGAGGUUGGUAGCAAGUUUCUUCCUCUAGAUUCUAGUUUUGAUGCUUUAAACUAGAUGAAACCCUAGAAAAUGGAAACUUAGGAUUUAUUUGGGCAUUUUGGAUUUAGGGCUUUUGGAGCUUGAUCUCUUGGAUUAGAACCUUCCUCUAGGUUGGAUUGGAAGGGUUCUAGCUCUCUUUUAAAGCUUCAGAAGGGAUUUCCAUACUAUAAGUGAGUUUUAACCAUUUCUUGGCUUGAUUAUUGUUCGGACUUGGAGUUGUUCGUUCGAUUCGCUUAUCCCUCUUGGAACGAUCCUUAGGGGGCUAGGAGGCUAGUGGGCACCUUCGUCGGCGCAAACGAAGGAGAUUUAACAGAGCUUCGGUGGGUUUGACCUCAUCAAAAAUGAGAAAAUCUCAUUUAUGUUGAUUUAAGUUUUGUAAAAUGAAAAAUCAUGCACUUUUCAUGCUAGAUGCAUUAUUUGUGAAUUUUAAAAUGCUUAAAAUGCUUACGUUAUAUACAAUGCAUUUUUGGACCUCUAUGUAGCAGAGAGUUUGCAUGUGAGGCUUAUGCAUGUGUUUAGCAUUCUUAUUCGGGACUUGGGAUCAUGUUUCAUAUAGUGGAAAUAACAUAUGUAAUAUGCCCUUGGACAUAAAUCUCAAUUGGACAUAGGAGAAUACAUUAGGCUAUAAAGUGACUUUGGACUUGAAUAACUUGUGAAUUAGAGAGCUAAUGUCAUGAAGCGACAUUGAGCUUGGGUUAUAUAUGAACCUAGUGAAUAAUACCAUAAAGAGGCAUGAAAAUUGGAACAUGCUUGGAUAUAGUAAUGUUCUAGUGUCAUAAAGAGGCACUAGAUUUAGUGAAUGUUGGAACUUCACCUUGUGAUAUAGAACUAGACCGUUGGGUUGCUAGUGGCUGUUACCACGUUAGAGACAUGACGAUCGGGUUUUUGAGAUGAUGAUUACGCUUGCUUGCCAUUUGUGCUCAUACGCACAUGCUUGUGAGGGUCACUCCCUACAAGCCGGCACUCCGGAGUUAGCCUACGUGACUUAUGCUCGCUUGUGCGGUAUCGAAAAGCCUACGGGGUCGAAAGGGAUAGACUCAUUUCUAGAGUGGGAAUGUUGGGGCUAUCACCGACACUUAGGCGGCACAAGCUGGACCACACCUGUGUAGGUCCUAUAACAAGAUUGAACAAUGACACUAAUCUAUAAAUGAUAAUCACUACUAGAUAAGGUAUAGUAAUUGGAUUAUCUUGACAUGCUCAUAGCAUAGCUUUAGACAUUUGGGGACAUGUAGUAUACUUGAUAGUAUCGCUCCUUGCAUUAUAGUAUACUUGUUUGCCAUGUUGGAACAUGCUAGUUAUGUAUUGGACAUACUUGAUCAUGUUAGAAUGAAUGUACAUCAUAUUGUCAUCAUAUUACUUAUGGCUUAGUAGUUUAGCAUUCGAUAUAUGCUUUCAUACCUGCAGUUUAUUAUUGUUGCUUAUCAUAUCUACCUUACUCUUUUGGGCCUAGUGGUGCAUUGUGCUGAGGUCAGUAAUUGCCCACUGGGAACUAUAAAUUAUAGUUUUCACGCCCUCUAUUUCAUGUUUCCUUUCAGAGCCUUCCACGCCGGGUGAGGCUAUGGACAGCGAAAAGGGUAUCGCCUCGAGUUAGCUAGCUUGCGAGGGACUUAUCGAUAGGUGGUCUACCUCUCAUUGGUUUUAUUUUGGAGAGGUUGAAAGUUGUACCUGUGUAUAGAGACCACCCUUCUUUUGUGUGUAUUUUGAGACGGUUGUUGUAUUACAUUAUGUUUUACUUUAGUUGAGUAGUUCUCUUUCUUCCAUUUCUGUUGAUAGAAUUAGUUGUAUACUCGCUCUGAUAUCUCUAGUUACUGUUUACUCUUAUCUUUUAUACUUCUUUGUUGUAAACGCCUUAUAUGUGCAGGCAUAUGGCGGGUCUGGGCACGCACCGGGCGGGUCUGGGCACGCACCGAGCGGGCCUAUGCCGGGUCCCGGGGCGUGACAAAGACGAAGAAGAAAAAUUAGAAGAGGGGAUUGGGGAGAAAAUAACUAUUUCAUUGCCUAAUUCUUUCAUGCUUACAAUUACCCUAUUAUACUGAUCUCCGGAUCUCGUAUGGAGAUAAAUAAGCAAAAAGUAAAAGGGAUUACAUUGCAAAAAAUAAUCUACUUAAGCUAAAUAGUAGUUGGGUUGAUUUGGGUCUAAUUCGGCACUAGUCGGGCCUUGUGGUCAAAUUCCUCUUCACUUCCCUUCCAGGCUGCACCUAGCAGGCGGAUCUCUCCCUUAGCGCCCGCUCUGUUACUGGUAAAGGGUAUGUUUGGUUGCUUGUAAAACCACCUUGAAAAAAAAAUUUUGUGGAAAAGUACGAUUCCAAUGUUUGUUUGCUCGUAAAAAAAUUUUUUGUAGAAAAUUUCUUUUACCAAAGUUUGAAGAAAACGGGUGUUUUUAUUUUUUCUCGAAACGAGCAGAAAAUGAAAAUAAGCGCUGAAAAAUCGCGGCGUUGAGAGGGGAGGGGGGCAGCAGGCGCGUGAUCCACGAGGCACAUCCCAUCUCGUGGACCGCAAGAGAGGUCCACGGUGGACCUCUCACCCGCCCCCCUCUUUUCUUUUAUAAUAUAUAUAUAUAUAUNNNNNNNNNNNNNNNNNNNNNNNNNGGAGAAUACAUUUAGGCGUAUAAAGUGACCUUUGGACUCGAAUAACUUCGUUGAAUUAGAGAGCUAAUGUCAUGAAGCGACAUUGAGGCUUGGAGUUAUAUAUGCGACCUAGUGAAUAAUACCAUAAAUAGAGGGCAUUGGAAAUUGGAACAUGCUUGGAGGCUAUACUGAAUGUUCUAGGUGUCAUAAAGGAGGCACUGGACUUAGUGAAUGUUGGAACUUCACCUUGGUGUAUUAGCACUAGACGUUGGUUUCUAGUGGCGUAUUACCAUUGCUUAGAGACAUGACGAUCGAGUUUUUGAGAUGAUGACUACGCUUCUUGCUAUUUGUGCUCAUACGCACCAUGUUGUGAGGCGGUCACUCCCUCCAGCCGGCACUCCGGGGUUAGCCUACGGACUUAUGCUCGCUUGGUGCUGGUAUGGUGAAGAAAGCUACGGGGGUCGGGAAGGGGAUAGACUCAUUUUCCUAGAGUGGGAAUGGUUGGGGCUACCACCGACACUUUAGGCCCGGCCCACAAGCGUGGACCACACCUGUGUAGGUCCUAUAACAAGACUGAACAAUAACUAAUCUGAUAAGAUGAUAAUCACUACUAGAUAAGUAUAGUAUGGAUUACCUUGACAUGCUCAUCGCAUAGCCUUAGACAUUUGGGACAUGUGACCGUAUACUUGAUAGUAUCGCUCGCUGUGCAAUAUUAUAGUAUACCUUGUUUGCCCGAUGUUGGAAAACAUGCUAGUCUAUGGUACUUGGGACAUACGUUGAUUCAUGUUAGAAGAAUGUACUCCAUAUUGUCGAUCAUAUUACUUAUGGCUUAGUAGUUUAGCAUUCGAUACAUGCUUUCAUACCUAGCCAGUUAUUAUUGUUGCUUUCAUAUCUACCUACUCUUUUGCGGCCUAGUGGUGCAUUGUGCUAGAGGUCGAAGAAUUGGCCCACACUGGGAACUAUAAAUUAUGUUCUACGCCUCUAUUUCAUAUUUCCUUUCGAGCCUUCCACGCCGGGUGAAGCCACGGGCCGCUGGAAAGGGUAUUGCCUCGUUAGGCUACUGGCGGAGGGACUUAUCGAUAAGGGGUGGUCAUAUCUCCAUAGUUUUUAUUUUGCGGAGAGGUUGAGAGUUGUGACCUGGGUAUUAGAGACCACCUUUUUUUGUAUGCUAUUUUGAGGACGGUUGUUGCAUUACAUAUUAUGUUUUACUUUAGUGAGUAGUUUCUUUCUUUCCAUUUCUGUUGAUAGAAUGUAGUUGUCAUACCUCGCUCUGAUAUCUCAGUUACUGUUUACCUCUUAUCUUUCAUUACUUUUCAUUGUAAACGCGUUAUAUGUACAAGGCAUAUGGCGGGUGCUGGGCACGCACCCGGGUGGGGCCUAUGCCGGUCCCGGGGGGCGUGACAAAGACGAAGAAGAAAAAAUUGGAAGGAGGGGACAAUUUUUUUUGGGGGAGAAAUAACGUAUUUCAUUGCCCUAAUUCUUUCAUGUUACAAUUACCCUAUUAUACUGAUCUCCGGAUUCUCGUUACUGAAGAUGAAUAAAGCAAAAAGUAAAAGGGAUUACAUGCCAAAAAGUAAUCUACUUAAGCUAAAUAGUAGUUGGGUUGAUUGGUCUAAAUUCGUCGCACUAGUUGGGCCUUGUGGUCAGAUUCCUCUUCACUUCCCUUCCAGGGCUGCCACCUAGCGGGUGGAUCUCUCCUUUAGGCGCCCCGCCUCCGUUACUGUAAAGAGCUAUGUUUUGGGUUGCUUGUAAAACCACCUUGGGGAAAAAAAUUUUGUGGAAAAGUACGGAUGGUCCGAAUGUUUGUUGCUCGUAAAAAAAUUUUUUUGCGCAGAAAAUUGGGUUUUUACCAAAGCUUUUGGAAGAAAACGGUGUUUUUAUUUUGCUCGAAAUGAGCAGGAAAUGAAAAUGAGCGCUGAAAAAUCGCGCGGUUGGAGGAGGGGAGGGGGCGCAGGCGCGUUGCGUCCACGAGGCACAUUCCCAUCUCGGGUGGACCGCGGACGGAGAGGGGUCCACGGUGGACCUCUCACCCGGCCCUCUUUUCUUUUAUAAUUAUAUGGUAGUAUAUAUAUACUAAGUAUUAUAGUAUAGGAGUACGUAGUUAUUUGUAUUUUAAAAGAGUAUUUUAUUUUUAAUAUAAAUAUAUUUAUUAUAUAUAUUUUAUUUUAAAUAUUUUUAUUAAUAUCUAGUAUUAUUUAUAGUUUUAAAGUAUAUGACUUAUACUAGUUAUAAUUAUAUGUACAUUAUUUAAUUUAUGCAUCAAUUAUAUUUUAAAAUAUUUUGUAUUUAUAGAAUAUUUAAAUAUAAUACUGAAUAUAUGUGAGUAUAAUAACGUUAAUCUAUAUUAUUAAUAAUAUGAACAGCUAUAUUAAAAUUAACAAGAUUAUCAUAAUAAUUUUUUAUUGGUUAUUAUUUUUUACUUGUUAUUAUAUUUUUCCUUCAACCAAAAAGGUGUAAGGGGAAAAUUAUUUUUUUCUUAUAAUCAAAAGUUAGGGGGAAUGGCCGUAAAAAUUUAUUUUUAUCAAAAAUUGUAUUUUUUAUAAUUUUACGCAAGCGAAACGGCACCCAGCCCCCUUCUCCAAUAAGUUUGUUGGUAUCAUACUUCUAAACCCUUCUUAUUAAAAAGCUGGUUCUGGAUAUGGGUUCCGGAUUCUAUCCGUCGCGUACCUAAUCGCCUCUUCGGGCCCCCUCUCCUUUCUCCGCUCUCCCGAAGCCUCCUACCUCCAUGGUUGCCCCCGACGUUACAGAGAAAGAGGAGGCGGAGGCGAUGAUAGGGCCAGGCCCCGCCGCUCCUCGCUCGCGCCCGAAGCGACCCCUCCAGUUCGAGCACGCUUUCCUCGACGCCCUCCCCUGCGCCCACAUGUACCUACUUACAACAACAACCCCACUUUUUUCUUUUUCUUUUUCUUCUUCUUUUUUAUAAUAAUUAUAAUUUGGAUGCUGCCAUCAAUUAAGAACUCGCUUUUAGCUAAAAUGAGACCCACCCACUCUUCUCGGCUUUCUUUAUUUAUCUGAUCAUAGCCCCUUAAGUUUUGUUCGAGUUAUUCUAGUUGGUUUACUUGAAAAUUUUGGUAAAUUUAUUUGUCUCUAUCAGCUACUUGUGUGUUUAUUGUUUGAGGUUUAGAUUUUGAUGGAAUCAUCGAUGAAUUUGAUAAAUCUCCAAUUUAUAUGACUAAAAUCACUCAAUUCCAAAAUGUCACAAGUUAAGAGGAGGGCCAUUUCAAAAUGACCUACAGUUGAGGGAGUGUCCAUGCAUUUCUGCCAACUGAUGAGCUAGGAACAGUAGUAACAUUUUGAUAUUACCCGUCUUUGGAUCGUUUGAUGUGUAAAGAGCAUUUGUUGUGUUCUUCUUUAAGAUUUGAAGCCAAUUGGCUGCUGCAUGCUGAAUCAGAAUUAUGUGCAAUGCAGGUAUGAGAAGAGUUACAUGCAUCGGGAUGUGGUCACUCACGUCGCUGUAUCAGCAACGGAUUUCUUCAUCACCGGAAGUAUUGAUGGUGCUUUCCCUAUCUUUUACUGUUUAUUUAAGUGAUAUCUUGAAUUGAUAUUCUAGCUGGUCGUCUUAAGUUUCUCUUCUCAAAAUUGCUCAAUAUAUUUCCUAGUUUGCCGUUCUCAUAUCUGAAGGAAUGUUGUGGGUUAGAAAAGGCUAUUUCGUUGUAAAAUUCUAUUUAAGCAACUUCCAUGCCAUAUAAAUAUAUAUGUAUAUAUUUAUAUAUUGUUUGGCCAUUAACAAGUUGUCUCUCAGUUAAGAUCCUAUAUUCUCAAAUAAUAUUCUAUUUUGCAUUUAUUAUUCUAUUCGGUCAUUCGUAGUUACUUAAAAACUUACUUCUGUAAAUAAUUAUGCACGAAUUAGAUUUCAGAGGGUUGAAAGUGUUACAUCUGCCAAAUAAGAGAAGGGAAUUAGGGAUAGAAGUAGCAGCAAAGGUUUAGAGAAUUAAUAAAAGAGAGAUGGAGUAAUGAGAGAGCUUAGCUUUUCCUUGUGGAGCCUUUGAAACAGAACCGGUUAGCCAUGGAGAUCGGGAGGGGGCAAGCAGCUUCGUUGGGGCAGAACCAGCAAGGCUAGAUGAGGAAGACGCUCGAAGCAGGGUGAAGCUUUUGGGGGCGGAAUUUGAGGGUUGCGGAGUGGAGAAAAGACGAACCCAAUACCCGUUGGACUCUGGAUAGUGCGGAUAAAGGAGACCCGGUGGCCACUUACCCGGCUAUCAGGUGCUCUUGGACCAGAUGAGUUCAUUUAGGCCCAUAUUCCCAUUCAAAUAGGCCUACGAGGAAGCAGAAAGCCUUCUUUUAUUUCAAUUCUCAGUUUAGCAUUAUUUAGUUUACUAAAUUGCAUUUUAGUCCAUUGUAUAGGUGAAUAUAUAGGCAGAUUGUAACAGAACCGGGGAUUAUGGUAAAUUGUUAAGUCUCUGUUAUCCUCAUCUUCUUCCUCCAUCUCUCUCAUCUCUUCUCGUCUCAACAUCUCCAUCUAUCUAUCUCUCUCUCUUUAUCUCUCUCUUCUCUUGCUCAAUCCCAUCUUCUCACUCUUAUACUUGAUCUCGCUACGAGCGUUUGGGGGCAGGCAAUCGCUGAGAUACUGAUUGAUUAUACCAUCACCCUCCACGCCGUCCUCGUCUCAGCGAAUUAUCAUCAUAGACGGGUUGCGGAGAGUCAGGUACGUAACAAUUGGUAUCAGAGCGGUCCAAUCCCAGGGCAUUGUGUGGUGGAAUCGCUUCCUAACUCCAAUCUCGGCAUUGUUGAGUUUAAUCGCGAGUAAGAUUUCUGCGCUGCCGAAUCUGAUUUGGGAUCAGAUUGGGACAAAAGAAAUCACCACAAGAAUACCUUUGAUGAAGACCAAUUGAUCUGGGGACACCCCUCAAUCCUCAGAUUAGUAAUAUCCCACAAGUGCAAUAAAUCAUAUAAGGUAAGCAACACGAGACCAUUCAUUCCAUCAAAGGAUCGCUGUAACAGAGAGCCUAUCGGGCGUCAAAUUGGGGGCAAACGAGGCAACAAGUUUAAAUUUAAUCCGAAGGAGUAUCUGGAAGAGAUAGAAAUGGCUGAAGGAACCAGAUUGAGAGAUAUUAGUGAUCAUGUUCGCUCCUUAGAAGAGAGGUUUCAGAAGCUAGGGGCUGAGCACCACACUGAGAUAGAAGUCCUUACCAACCAGAUCGCAGAAGUGAAGGAGACUGGACAGCGGCAAUACGAAGCGCUGCAGGUUGAAGCUACCAAGCGACAUGAGGAGCUGCUGAAGCUUUUAACGGCUUAGCCACCUACCACUCAGGCGCACAGCAGGGUGACAACCCUCGAGAACAAGGCUCCUCAAGGCGACAAACCUGGAAGUAGUAACACCCCUUUUGUUAACAGAGAAAAUAGAGGGAAAAGGAUAUUACCCACUCCUAGAAGGCAAACUGAAGUAGAGGACGAUCAGAUUUCACCGUGGACUAAUAGGCAUUUUAAUAAUCACCAACAGUUUCCAUACCCACGACUAGAUUUUCCUUCAUUUGAUGGCGAUGAUCCUAGAAAUUGGAUCGAGAAUUGUGAGCAGUUCUUUGAGUUGUAUCAAAUACCACAGCAGCAGUGGCUAAGCAUAGCAACUAUGCAUUUAUUCGGCAAGGCGAAAACGUGGAAACAAGGAUACUUCAUCAGCAAACAAGUAGUUUCUUGGGAUGAGUUUACGGAGGUUGUGUGCAAGAGGUUCGCCCAUAUAGGGGAGCGGUAUUUGAUUAGAGAGUUUAGCAAUUUGAAACACACUAGAACAUGCGAGAAGUAUCAAGAGAAAUUCGAAGAGUUAAGAUCCAAUUACUCUACUACAAUCCCUAUUUAUCGGAAGAGUACUUUAUUGCGAGUUACAUUAAUGGACUCAAAGAGGAAUUAGUCCUAUUUCUUGACAUCGCUCAUCCAAACACAUUGGAGGAGACAUAUGAACAAGCACAGUUACACGAAAAGGCUCUAGCAGUGAUUAACAGAAAGAAUCGGUUUAUUUCUAAGACACCAGUGGAGACCUAUCAACCAAACGCAUCAUAUAAGAGCACCGAAGGAACUGGGCAACAGUACCAGAACCAGAACAGAACUACAACAGGUCAAUAUGCUGCUAACAAACAGUUAAUAGAACAACGUCGAGCUGCUGGAUUAUGCUUUCGAUGCGGAGAAAAAUAUCAUCUUGGGCAUGUAUGUGCAAACAAGUUAUUGAAUACAUUACAAGCUACUGAGGAUAUUAUGGAAAUUUAUGAUGAAGGUUGUUUACAAUCAGGAUCAAACGACGUGACAGUCACGGGAAAGGAAGGGGAGGAGUCAGAAGUUGUACCCAAGGAAAGGGAGCCGCAAGAGAUAAGAGUAUCUGUUCAUGCAUUAUGUGGAGAGAAACCCUAGGACAUCAUCAAAAUACGAAGUGAAACAAACAAUUGAAUUCUCACCAUUUUGAUAGAUACAGGAAGCAUGCACAGUUUCAUCGACCUGCAAGUAGCCAAAGAGAUUGGCGCACGAACAUAAGUCGCUUCACCCUGGGUAGUGACGGUAGCGAACGGCCAUAAGGUUUUGAGUAAACUAAAAUGCCCUGGUUUCACUUGGAUCAUGCAAGGACAUACAUUCCGAGCGGAUUUGAAGGUGAUCAGAUUGGAGGGCUCAAGUAUUAUAUUACGAAUUGAUUGGUUAAAAUCUUAUGGACCAGUAACAUAUUUCCUAAAGAAUUCAGUUGCUAUCACCAAAGAAGUCCGGAGUUUAGAACUGAAAGGGAUCGAGGAAGGAGCUAGAUUAAGGUUGAUAUCUGCAGCCCAAUGGAGGCAGGAAAUAGAGAAGGGUGAAUGCUAUCUCCUCAGACAUCAACCCUUGCCAGAAGAAGAUAAACACGAAGUAGAGAUACACCCAGAGAUUCAAAAGGUGCUGGAUAAAUUUCAGGAUAUGUUCGAAAAGCCCAAAGAGUUACCUCCACCCCGAAUUCAGGAUCAUAAAAUUCCGUUAUAGCCCAACACCGCACCGGCUAUAGGUGAGGAUGAUGAGUUGCUGACAGAACCUGAGAGAAUCCUGGAUAGGAGGAUGGGGAAACGGGGUAACAGGGCCGCGACUGAAGUGUUGGUGAAGUGGGUGAAUCUUCCUGAGGAGCACGCUACCUGGGAAGAUUACGAGGUUCUUACUGGUCAGUUUCCUUCUUUUGAUCCUUGAGGACAAGGAUCAGGUUAUGGGAGGGGGAAUGUUACAUCUGCCAAAUAAGAGAAGGGAAUUAGGGAUAGAAGUAGCAGCAAAGGUUUAGAGAAUUAAUAAAAGAGAGAUGGAGUAAUGAGAGAGCUUAGCUUUUCCUUGUGGAGCCUUUGAAACAAAACCGGUUAGCCAUGGAGNUAAUAUUAAUAUUUUUAUUUUUAAAAAAAUUUAAAUAUUUUUAAAUAAAAUAAAUAAAAUAAAAAAGAACAGGCCCAAAGCCCGGCACGGCCCGUGCAGUCUGGGCCGGGGGGCCGUGUUGGGCCGGGUUCCAAGAACUUUGGCCCGGCACGGCAGGGCCCGAUUUUGGGGCCGGGCCGUGCCGGGCUGGCCCGCACCCCGUUUCGGCCCGAAAAAUGUGGGCCGUGUCGGCCCAGCACGGCCCACAUACCAUCCCUACAUGGGGGAUUACUCUCUCCCUCUCUCAUUCCACUCUCUCUCUUUCUUACACUCUCUUGCUCUUUCUCUUUAGAAAGAAAAGAGAAGAAAGAAGAAGAAAAAAGAGAAGGAAGAAAAGAAAGAAAAGGAGGGAGAAGAAGAAGGAGAUCAAGCUUGGGAAGCUUUUGGACCUCUCCCUCUUCCUCUCUUUUUUCUUUGAAGCUACAACAAGAGGUAGGCUUCUAACCCUAGUUGUGGAAUUUAGGGUUUUUGGGUUUUAGCUCUUUGGAUGGGAUCAAAUGGAUCCCUAGCACCAUGAAUGGUGAGAUUGGAGUUAGAAUUUAGGGUUUUGAGAUGGGUUUAGCUUGAUGCUAACCCUAGGGCACCAAAAUUGGGUUUUUGGAAAAGUAGAGGAUUGAUCUCAUUUGACCCUCCUCUAACCUAAUUGGUAGGUGCCUAAACGCGGGGGCGAAGUCGGAUUUGGCAUUCGUCGAGUGGGUCAAGAGCUAUCGGCAAAAUAGGGCAGAUUGAGCAUUGUUUUGGACCAAGGAGGUCAAGACUUCGUCGUAAAGUUCGCCGAAGAGCGUUUCUAGAACCUCUACAUCAAGAAAAGGUGGGGGGUGUCAUCUCGAAGAAUCCGGGUUUCUUUUUAUGUCUAAGUUAAUAAUUAUGUUGAUCAUAUUGCGCUAUAGGAAUAGUAGUUGUACAUUUUCAUUUCCUUGCAUGCUUUCUUGGUAGUGUAGCUGGGUGAGCUUGACACGUGGACUAGGAUAGCAUGAGGAUUGGGUCUUGUGACAUAGAAUCCUAUAGCGGCAUAAAGAGCCGAACUUGGAUAUAGCCUAGUAGAGUGGCAUUGAACUAGUGUGGUAGAAGCACUAUGACAUGAACGAGUGGCAUGUAGAAUAAUUGAGACAUUUACUACAGUGACUGAACCAGUGGCAUCGAGUUUAGUGUAGUAAACUUGAUAUGAACCUAGGGAUAGUAGAAGUCCCAACAUUGAUUAUAUAUCAUGAUUGUGUAGCAGAGGCACAUUGACCCUAGUAGACAGGGUGUCACGCCCCGAGACCGCUAUCAAUUUGGUCCGGCCCGAGCGCGUCGAACAGACGCCGAACGGACAUGACCUCCCCUAUCCGCCCAAGGCUAACCAACAGAUCAUGUAUAAGAAUUUACCCAGGAAUCAAUUCAUAAAUACACGAUCAAGAAGCACCACUAGUGCAACAAGACGAGUGCAAGAUACAAGUAUAGAAACAUAUACAAGUACAUAAGAGAGAAGAUAUAAUCUAUUACAUUCAGUUGACAUAAUAUAUAUGUUUAAUUACAUCUUUUACUUUCUCCCAAAAUAUAAAUACAAUCACUCGAACCUCACCCUAUACAACAUCUACUCUCAAAUACAAAAAGGUGACAGCUAAUGCAAAAGGGAGGUAGCUAAUGGACUAGAAGCGCCGGGGCCCUUACCACGAUCCUCCCGCUCACCGGGGGCGCACCGAACUAGAACCUGUAAAGAGUGGGGGUGAGAACUAACUUCCUUAGUUCCCAGUGGGUUCGGCCGCCGACUCCGCCGAUCUCCCCACUAGUCCAAGCGGCGCAAAAGUUAUAAUCGAUAGAUAGAUAAGGAAAGAGGUAAAUGACAGAAGUAAAGCUACCGCUACUUAUGCCCAAUCAUGAAUUAUGAAUGCAUGUACAAUGAAAUAGAUAAACAACUAACCCAUAUCAUGUCCAAAAGGUAAAGCUAUUUACUCGUUCAUCAAUCUCAUUUACUGUUUCUUAAUCUCGUGGCUUCCUGGAGGAGCCUACUGCUCACUAGCCAUCUCGAAGGUAAGGGAGGGUCAACUCGCACUACGAACCGAGACCGUCUACCGGGGCCUAAAGUAGGCAAUCCUUGGGACCCAAAAAAGGCCAAUCCCACGUGACCAACUCCGGAGCGCACUACUUGUGUGGGGCUUCACACAAGAUUUAAAAACAGACCGUGAGCAUGAUCCAAUCCUCGUCUCGAGAAUACCCUAUCCUCUAGGGUUCAAAUCAUCAUAUAGUCCAUUAGGUUUCACAUGCCUACGACUCAUAUGUGUUGUUCUUUUGCUUACUAUCAACUAAAUUGGCCCACCUCCGCAUUGUUUACUAUCGACUAGAUGCCACUCGUUCUUUGUUUAACAUUAGACCAACCAUUGAGCUCAUCUCUUUUUUUCUGCACUAUAGGAUUCACAAGUCUCAACCCAAUCCUUAUCAAUCCACUAUGUCGAGUAUCCAAUACAUGCUACGAUAUCAUCAAGGAAAGCAUAAGGAAAGGCAAUACACAAUCAUCCUAUAAUGCAAUAACACAAGAUGCAAGAAUCGACAUGUACUAAGACAUAGAAGGGAGCCCGAUUGCUUCGGGAUGGACACCACCCACCUCUUGGCGAUGCCGCGAUAAUAGAAAGCUCGACGUUGCGGUCUUUGCACGCUGCUUCAACUCCUCGGGGCGAAGCGAGCCCUCGAGUACCCGAUUCGGCGAUAACUCCGCACUCGCUCGUCGGAUCGGCAAACCGUCUUCCCCGACGCGUUCCGAGACCUAGCAAUUUGGUUUACGACCCAUUAAAAUAGAUCAAGACCCUCGAUUUCCAAGAAUCCCAAAUUCGUGCCCUAGAAUGGCGACGAGAGGGAAAUCCAUGGUGCGAGCUUCGAUUGCGAGCCCGAACCAUCUACUUAUCUCCUCUAGGUUCCAUUGGAACCAAUUCUAAGCCCCAAAACCCUAACCCAAGAAAUCUACCAUGGAUGGGUUUGGAGCUUACCUCUAAGCCAAGCUCCAAGCUCGCUCUAGUUUGAAGGAGAGAGGGAAGAAGACCUUCUUCUUCUUCUUCUUGGACUUCUCCUUCUACUUCCUCCUCUUUUCCUUCUUUUCUUUCUUCUUCUUCUUCUUCUCCUUCUUUUCUUUCUAGAGAGAGAGAGAGGGAAAGAGUGUGAAUGAGAUAGAGAGAGCAACUGAGAGGGAGAGAGAGGGGUCCCCCACCUCUAUUAAAGGCCAUUUUGCAGCUAGCCCCCUCAGCUUUUCAUCUUUAGAAUCAACCCUCUCUGGGCAUUUUCGCGGUGAGGGACCGGUCCCAGCUCGGGGAGACCGGUCCCCGAAGGCUGCCAUUUCGAGCAGAGGGGUUUUCGCGUUCGGGAACCGGUCCUUGCCUGAGAGACCGGUCCCCGGGAGACCGGUCCUCGUCCGAGAGACCGGUUCCCGAAGGUUGGAUUCUCGGGACUUAGCCAAAUUUCGGCUGUUCUCGCUGGGCUGACGUUCGGGAACCGGUCCCUGCCUGCCAGGGACCGGUCUCAUCAGAGAUCCCCAUAACCCAGCCUGAUGGGACCGGUCCCUCCCUGCCAGGGACCGGUCCCCGAGAGCAUUUCUGCUCCAGUGCAAGUUUUGCACUGGUGCUCUCGCGGACCUUUCCUUAAUGCACUUUAUGCAUUAUACUCACCUUCGGACUUACCGAAGCUUACGCACUCGACAACUAGUCGAUUCUAAUCGAAGUCUAAUCCUCGAGUUUCGAGAAUUCACUUCCUUACACAGGGUAUCCUCUUGAGAGGAUUGGAUCAUACUCACUAGUCUGUUUCGCUUGUCGGUGGUGCUCCACCAAAGCACGAGUCUCCGGAGUAUCUCACAGGGUUGUCCCGCAGACGGUCUCGGUGUGCGAGUGCAGCUUCUCCUCACCUAUGAGAUUGAGAGUGAGUCGAGGGUUUAACCUACGGGUUAACCAAGUAGAUUGGGUAAUAAACAUGGGAUGCAUAGUAGACUUGCAUUAUUACCUUGAGUAGACAUAGUGUAUAUUGUAGUUUACAUUACUAUGCACCUUUUUUAUACUCAUGACAUGAUUCUAGCAUGAUAAUAGUUGUUGCAUGCAUUAUUAUCAUUGAUGGCACGAUAGAGUAGUUGCAGUUCAUUCCUAUAUAUCUAUCUAUCUCUCUAUCUGUACCAGCUUAGACCUAGUGGGAAAAUCGGCGGCGUCGGCGGCCGAACCCACUGGGAACUAUAUUUAUAUAGUUCUCACCCCGUGUGGUUUUGGGGUACAGGUACAUACAGAGGCGAGCCGAGUGAGGACCGCGUCAAGGGCAUAGCGCCCUAAGUGAGCGUAGUUAGUAGCUUUUCCUUUAUGCAUUAGAGUACCCUCGUGUACUAGAUGAUGUUUUGGAUAGUUAUUGGAGAGCUACUUGUAUUUUGAGGAAAACAUGUAUUUAAAUUUCGGAAGAUGAAAAUGUAAUAUAUCAAAUGAUGUAACUAUUGAAUGGUUGUAAUAGUUAGACUAUCUCUCUUUAUAUACUUUGUAUAUUACUUGUGGUUCUUGCUCUUAGUUAUAGUGCACUUGUGUGCAUCGUGUCGAUCAUGUAUGUUAUUUAAGCAUUCCCUGGGCGCUUGAUUGUACAUGAUCUGGUUGCUUGGCCUUAGGCGGACAGGAGAGGUGCUGUCCGUUCGGCGGUCCGUCCGGCGCGCCCGAACCGUGCCAAAUUGGUAGUGGAUUUGGGGCGGGGCGUGACACCGAAAGUCAACCAAUGGUGCAGGGGAUCGAUGACGUGCUGUUGGCUGUAAUGGACCAGCAUCAGAGCCACCUCGAUGAUCAAAGACGAUCGAAGAGCGAGGAUAGGUUGCACGGAGUGGUUCUGGGUACACAACUGGUGCAUAUCGCUGCGGGUCACCUGGAUUGAACUAGCAAGGUGAGCACGACAUAGGGGAACGCUAGAGAAUCGCCGACAAUCAGGUUGACCGAAAAAGUCUACCACAAAAACAACCUAUUUCUUUGACCAACGAGCGGUGAUUGGAUAUCAGGGCCCAAGCGAGAUCAGGCUCAACAUAAAUGUAGCCACUGGAGCCAUUCUAAAAAGGGAGAUAUUAGCACUACGUGGGGAAAUAGGUUCUUUUAGAAUCAAUUUCAAACCAUCUACUAGAGGUUGUAACAAUCCGAACCCCCUUAUGAAAAAAAGUAGUUGGCAUUGCAUAAGCAAAUUGUUGAGUUUACAAAACUUUGCUUUUAGUAGUCGGCCCUCUAUGCUUCCCUUUAUUUGCUUGCCAACUUCCAACCUAGAAUGCCUACUGACGCCAGAAGCUUACUUGAAGGGUGUCGCUUUUGGCGCAGAAGGCCAAGCAUUUUGCCAGACAAGUCUUUUGAGCAGGAAAAUUUGGUCACGUAGAUAGCAGGAUCGGCCGUAGCUUGGGGAGCAAGAGCAUAUAUAGGUGUAGAGGAGUGCUGUGCUCCUGAAGGAGGGUCACCGGUAGUUGUGAUUGGCCGACGGACCGACGGAGCAAACUCUGCCACAAGGAAGGUUCAGGGGAGCAGCAGCAACACUGACAACAUUGGAGAGUUGCUGGCUGGUUCGAGAGGGCAGGGGAAGGUUCGAUAGAGCAAGGUGGUGCCGGAGAGUGUAGAGGUCGGCGGCGACGUAGGCUGCGGUGGCUGGAGAAGCCAACUCGGCUCGAGAGGCCAACAAUGGUAGCAGUAGGAGCAACCAUGUCUUGAAAGCAACGACUUAAGUGCCGUGGCACGGGGUCGUACCGGAAACUUGUUGGCACGAUGCGUGCCGGACCGUGCCAAUGCAUGUCGGUCGCAAACAAUGUAUGUGUGCCGGCACGUAAUGGCAUGAAAUAUCUAUUUCUUUAGCAACAAAAUAUGCUUAUUAUUUAUUAUGUAUUUUUAUCAAAUCUUUUGAACUUUAUUAAGAAAAUUACUUACUAAUUUCAAGAAUAAAGGGUUUUGAGUUGUGCCAUCAGCACGGGUGUCAUAUCGUGCCGAUAUCUUGCUGGCACGAUACAGCACGGUAGAUACGGCCUGUGCCGAUGGGCACUUUAAUCCUUGCUUGGGAGGGUUGCAGACCGAUGCAGCAUGGCCUAAAGAAGUGGAGGAGGGUUCAACCGGCCCGAGAGGGGUCGCGGGAGGUGCCCAGCUAGCGGCGGAGUUAGUAGCUGUCACGCCCCGAGACCGCCAAUUUGGUCGGUUCGGGCAUGUCAAACAGACGCCGAACGGACAGCACCUCCUGCCCUGUCCGUCCAUGGCUAAACAACAAGAUUAUGUACAAGAAUUUGCCCAGGAAAAACACUUACAUGAUCAAUGCAAGUAUAACACACAAGCGACUAUACAUGCAUACACGGAGCUAAAGAGAGAGAUAGUUCUAGCUAUUACAUCUUUCCAUUCAACAAUUACAUAACUUGAUUACUUCUACAUCGCCCAAAACGUAUACAAGUUCAUCUCAUCAUAGGUAGCUCUCCAAAAUCCUCACCUACAUAAACAUCACUCAUGUACGCGAGGGUACUCUAAUGCAAGUAGGAAAGCUACUAACUACUAGGGCGCUAUGCCUUUGCCGCGGUCCUCGCCCGGCAUGCUCGUACUCGGCUCUGCAACAAACUGGGGUGAGAAUUAUAUAAAUAUAGUUUCCAGUGGGUUCGGCCGCCAACUCCGCCGAUCUUCGCACUAGGUCUAAGCAGGUAUAAGCAGAUAGAUAGAUAGAUAGAUAGAUAUGAAAUAACUGCUAGCAUAAUAAUGAAUUCUACAAUAUAUACUACUAUGCCUCAAUCAACUGAAAUGAAUGCAUGAACAAUAUAGUAAUGAAGUCCGCUAUCAUGAUGAUACUAUGUUCAAGAAAUAAUGCCAUUCAUUGUUUACCCAAUCACUUGGCUGACCCGAAGGUUUGCCCUCGACUCACUAUGCCAUCUCGUAAGGUAAGGAGACGCACCUCGCUCGCAAACCCGAGACCGUCUGCGGGACAUUAACUCUGCCCCUCGUGUGACAAACUCCGGAGUGCGCGGCUUGUGUAGAGCGACCACUCCAAGCUCAAAACAGACUGUGAGUAUGAUCCAAUCCUCUCAACUCGAGGAUACCCUACCAACUAGAGCUAACAAUCACUCGGGAAUCCACCUAUCCCAAUGUUUAUAUUUAAGUGUUUCAACUACACUAUGGUUUCAUGCAACAUGUCAUAACUAGGGAAAUCCACUUAUUCCCUAAGUUCACUAUGUCAUAAGUGUUUUCUUUACGCUAAGUUUUAUGCCACUUGUCAUGUUAUCAUUCAUUAUACACAUGCCACUCGUUAUGUCGCUACAUAACUAUCAAGUUCAUCUCUUAUUCCGGCACCAUAGGAUUUCCAACUUGUCAAGACCCAAUUCCUUACCUAUCCACUAUAUCAAGUAUUCACCUCACACUAUGAUAUCAACUAGGAAAGCAUAAGGAAUGGAAAUGCACAAUGACAAUCCUACAAUGCAUGCUAUACAAGAGAUGCAAGAUCAAUAAUGCACUAAGACAUAGAAGGCAGCCCAGCUGCUUCAGGAUGACACCCCCCACCUUUAGGUGAUGUUGCGAUGCUAGGAUCUUAAUUCCACGAUUUUAGGAUGCCGCCUCGGCCCUCCAGGCGGAAACGAAGCCGAAAACGUCCUUUUCGGCAAUAUCUUCGCGUAGGCUCGACGGAUCGCCGAACCGACUUCACCAGCGCGUCAGAAUACCUAGCAAUUAGGUUUAUAGGAGAUCAAUUUAGAUCAAACCCAACCAUAUGACAAAACCCUAUUUUGGAGCCCUAGUUUGCAAUUAAUGCAAAAUACCCCAUUUAGCUUCAUGAUUCAAGUAUUAAUCAUCUAUUAGCAUGCUAGGGUUCCAUCAAAACCAUUUUUAGAGAUCAAAAUCCAUACCCUAGAGAUCUACCAUUAAAGAGCAUCAAGCUUACCUCUAAAAGCUUGCUCCAAACCCAAGGAAGAAGAUGGAGAAGAUGAUGAUCCACCUUCUUGAUUCCUUCUCCACCAAUCUCUCCUUCUACUUCCCACUUUGAAGAGAGAGAAAAAGAUAGUUUAGAGAGAGAGAGGGAGUAUAUUUUAGGGUUGCAAGUGAGAAAGAUGAGAGGGAACAAGCUCUUCUUCCCUCUCAUAUACACUCCACUUGUGGCAAAAUAGCCAAAAACCCCCUCACCUUUGCAAAUAGUGCACAGCCCCAGCUGGGCAAUUUUCGGGUACGGGGUCCUGUCACUCUAGAGGGUCCGGUCCCCGAGGACAAAAAUUGCGCGCAGAAUUAUUUCUGCCACCUUCUGCGCGUAAGGGGUCCGGUCCCUCCAGCUGAGGUCCGGUCCCCGAGAGCACGAAAAAUCUGCAAAUGUGCAGAUUUGCACUAGCUUGCUCUCCAAGGCCCUCUACAAUGCACUAAAGCCGUUUUCGACGCCUUUGGCCUUUUCGAAGCGUCCCGAACUCGCCUUCGAUCAAUUUCGAUCGAAGUUCGGAUUUCACGUAUUGAGGAUUCAUUUCCUAACAGUAGCAGUGGCAGCUGCAGCACCAACACGAGGGAGAGGGGGAGAUGGAAAAAGCUCAUAGAGGACACUUGGCUGGCCGAGGAUGGCUGGUUGGACCACGGCGAUGCCACGAGAGUUGGGGUAUGGGGGCUUGGCGGCUGUGAGAGGGGAGAAGGAGAGAGGGGUUAGGGUUUGUUUAGGAUUUUAUACAUAUUUUGUUUUUCUUUGUAACAAUUACAACUUAGUCUCUCGACUGUUACUUUCUUACCCAUAGCUUCAUAACACUGUGCAUUUUGCGUAGGAGCCCUUCUUGUAGUACAAUUUUGCAAUUUUAUACAUACAAUGUUGUACUUUUUGCAAGAAUAUCUCUAGAUCAAUUUUGGCUCUUAGUCUUCAUAUUUGUGCCAUUUUGCAUAAAAAUCUUUGAGUUUCAUGAAACUUGAACUCACGCAUUCCUCUCUGAGUCUACUUUCAUAUGAGUCCUUUUGCUUGCCAAAACUCCAAAAUUUCUCGCAUGAAGUGUUAACCUUUUCGCAUAUUGCUCCUUUUUCUCAUUUUGUAAAAAUUGCAUUUCAGCCCCUUUGGUUCACAAUUUCUAACUCAAAACUCACCCACCCGUGUGUUUUGCUCGUAAGUUCCACCACAUAUGAAAUCACACAAUUUGACACAUGAAAUCUCGCAUUUUUUGAAUUAAUACUCCAUUUAACCGGUUUUGCACUAGCCUGAUUUUAUCUUUGAAACAUUACCUUAUCAUGCGAAGCUGCACCAAGGUCACUCUCAGUACUUACGAUACUGAUAGACUUAGAAAGUUUCGUUGAAAAACAGUCCGAUUAUGAUGAGAUAAUCCUCCUUUUUUAGAAAAAUUAUCGUAAAAAUUCUUGGGUGUACAGUGCAUGUAUGCAAACUGUUAUGUUCUGUAUUAAUUAUAUUACUAUAUUAUCCUUAACUAACUUUGUGCAUGUAUGCACUUGUCUGCGGUACUAAUUUUAUGAAAGUUAGUUUGUUCAACACUUCUCAUAUAGAGAUCCUUGUUUUCUACUAUGCAUAUAUCUCAAUCUUGCAAAACAACUGAAGGAUAUUACACUUACUGUCUGAAAGAAAACUAUUGAGUUAUUUCGGCUGUUUCUUUCUGGUUUUUUUUUUUGGUUUGUAUUUUAGCAUCUUGCUGAAUAGGUUUUUAUGCCAUUUCUGAUGGGCAACUACUUUAUUUUGUUCCUUUCCAGCUAUGAAAGUUUUCAGAAUAAGAAUUGACAUCGUGAACUGGAUUUGUUGUUACUCCCAAGUUGUACUGCUGUAGUCUAAUUCAUCAAUAUGUUGAUCUUUUGCAAUAUAUUUCUUUUAUAGGACACAUAAAGUUUUGGAAGAAGAAAGCUGUUGGAAUUGAAUUUGCGAAGCAUUUCAAAUCUCAUCUUGGUCCUAUUGAAGGACUAGCUGUGAGUACUAUCAUGUCAUUUAUUCUCACAUGAUUUAGGGGGUGUUUGGCCUAGCUUUUAAAAAGCGCUUUUGGGCUGAAAAGUAAUUUUCGGCUCAAUAGAGCGUUUGGCAACGCACUUUUAAAAUCUGAUUCUGCUUUUUAGAAUCAGAAAACUGAUUUUGAAGGCCUCAGAAUCAGAAGCAGAAAAAAGCUGCUUCUUGAAAACUGAUUCUGAUUUUGGAUUUAAACUUCAAAAUUUUAUUUUUAUUUUAGUUUUAAUAUUUAAAUUUAAUUUUAAUUUUAAAUUUUAAAUUUUAAUUUUCAGAUUCAUUUUAAAAUUUUUAAAUUUUAACUUUUAAAUUUUAAAAUUUGAAAUAUAGAUUUUAAAUUUUAAAUUUUAAUUUUAAAUUUCAAAUCUCAAAUUUUAGAUUUUAAAAUUUCAAUUUUAUUUCAAAUUUCAAAUUUCAAAUUUCAAAUUUCAGAUUUUAAAAUUUCAAAUUUCAAAUUUCAAAUUUUAAAUUUCAAAUUUUAAAUUUCAAAUUUCAAAUUUUAGGUUUAGGGUAAAAUUAAAAUUUUAAAAUUUUAAAUUAUAAAUUUCAAUUUCAAUUAUAAAUUUCAAAUUUUUAAAAUUAAAAAUUUAUAAAUUUUAAUCUUCAAUUAUAAAUUUAAAUUUAAAUUUUAAUUUUAAUUUUAAAUAUUCAAAUUUAAUUUUAAAUUUUAAUAUUCAAAUUUUAAUUUUAUAUUUUAAAUAUUCAAUUUUAAAUUUUAUAUUUUAAAUAUUCAAAUUUUAAUUUAAAUUUAAAUUUCAUAAUUAUUUUAAAUUUUAAAUUUUAAUUUAAUUUUAAAGUUAAAAUUUAAUAUAUUUUUAAAAUUAAAUAGCUUUUCAAACAGCUUUUCAAAUUUUAAUUUGCCAAACAACUUUUUAAAAUCACUUUAGAAAAAUCACUUUUAUCUAAACUCCGCCAAAAUGCUCUAUAGCUUUUAAGCAAAAUCACUUCUCCAAACCAAAAUCACUUUUUCAGAAAUUAUGUUUUCAAAAGCUAGGCCAAACAGGCCCUUAGUUGAAUUUAUCAGAUAUUUUUUGUCAUUUGAGUUCUGUUUAGUCCUAAUUCUUUUUGUUAUUGGAUGUUUCGUACAAUUGAAGUUUUUAACAAAUCUACUACACUUUUUCAUAUUGUUGGCUUUUUUGUCGUGAAUAUCUAUUCCAUAAGUAUAACUUUUGUAGUUUUGGUUUCUGUUGAUAUAUUACUAUAUGCUUGCACUUGCCAAUCUGGGGGGAAAUUUAUGAAGAAAUAUAAGUUUUGCUAGCAUAAACAUCUGGCUUUAAUGGAGCAUGGUAGGCUAUGGCUGUUUCUUUAGAUGGAAUGGAGAGGGUGAAGUUAUUUUCGGCCGUAAAUGGCCACUUUUUUUUUGGUGUCAGAAUAAAGAUAUAGUCGAAACUCGAGUUACCCAAAACAUCAUAAUUGACUUUGGCCCAUGCUAGGCCAAAGUCAAUUACGGUUAAGAGAGGUGAAGAAAAAAAAAAAUAAUAAAAUGAUACAAUGGAUAAUGCUAGCUAUGUUUAAAUAUAUUUGAUUUUGGCACUAAUUUCUCUGUUAUUUAGUUUACAUGUUUAAAAUGUGAUGGAAAUUGAUUAGUUAAGUUUUAGUAUCUCUUUCAUUUUUGUACAUUUAAAAUAAUGAAAAUUGAUUAGUUAAUUAUUAAUUUUUUUUUACUAUAUAAAAUUUUUAUUAUUGUAUUAUAUAGUUUAUGUAUAAAAAAUUAAUUUAGUUGUUUUAUAUUAAAAUUUUUAAUUAUAGAAUAAUACAAUUAUAUAAUUUGUUUUUUAUUUUUCCAUUAUAAUUUAGUAUAUAAUGCAGCGAGAAAAUCGUUUAGAAUUUAAAUUUUUUUUUUCUAAUUUUUGAAAUUAUUUUUUGGUUAAUUUGUAGAUUUUUUAGAAUUUUACCAUGUCGAAUAAAUCCCUAGAAAUUGGGAAUAUGGUCUAGGUCUAGGGCUUUUUUGGAUAUGUUUGUUAGAAAAUCCCUAAAAUCUUGGGAUUUGUUUUGACUAGGUUAUAUUUUUAUGGCUAUAAAUAUAGCCUACUUUUGUAAUCAUAGGAGAAUUUGAUGGAAAUAAGAAAUUUGGUUUAAGAGAAGUUCCUAUGUUUUUGAUCUCUCUAUCCCUCUGAUCUAUCUCAUCCUCUUUUUCUCUCCUGCUUUACUACACAUCCUAAGGUAAUUUAUCAUCUCCAAUCUUAAUUUCUUGUUUUCCAAUUAUAACAUCCUAAGACCACCUAAAUUUACUUGUGCUCGACGAGAUUGGGCAAACAUUAAUUUCGUCUUGCAUCGGUUUUGGUAUCAGAUACUAGGAAUCCGGUCAUUAGUUUUUUGUUAGCUUAUAUCAUGGUUUCUAACAAUGAACUUCAAGCUGAAUUUAGAGUCUAUCAAAUCUCUACUAAUACUUAUCUAGACAAUCUAGAGUCCGCCAUAAACAACAUGCAAACUUCUAAUACCAAUCUUGUUAGACAAAUAGAUGAACUUAGAACCCUUCUUUAAAAUCUUACCACCAAUAAACCAUCAAUUUUUGCCCAAUUUUUUGAAGAAUCUUCAAUUCCUAUUCCACCUUUACCUCCAGCCGUACCACCGCUAAUUCAAAGCGUCCCUCAACAUGUCCAAUCCACCAUAGUUACCAUCAAACCUUCAAAUGCCCCUUGUGGAAAUCAAAUAUGAAAUCCUAGAAUUUCAUGGAGAUAUGAAUUCGAAACUUUCCCUAGACUGGGUUUUAUUUACUGUCAAACCUUCAAAUGCCCCUCGUGAAAUCAAAUAUGAAAUCCUAGAGUUUCAUGGAGAUAUGAAUUCGGAACUUUUCCUAGACUGGGUUUAUAGUAUCAAAGCAUAUUUUCGGUGGCACUAGCCUUUCGAAGAACUUUAUCAUAGAAUCUAAAUUAAGAGGGACUACAAUAAGUUGGACCAGAGAGCAGCAACAUCAUUACAUGACGAUCCGAACAUGGGAAGAUAUGAAGUGAACAAUGCUCGACGCUUCAUUCCCUCGGACUACCAACAAUGAGUUCAGUAACAGCUUACCCACCCAAGGUUCCAAACUAUGGGGUACUUUGGCUACUAGUUGAUUGUUUUCCUAGGCUGAUGUGAUUCAAGUGGCCUAUCAAAUUGAAGAGUAGCAACAGUGUCGCCAACCACCACUAUUAACAUUGUCACGCUGCUUCGACUUCUGAACAGAGCAUCGUUUCGUAGCUCCUGAAAACCCGAAGUAGCUCCUGAAAACCUGAAGCCUACAGUAUCGAACAUAUUGACCUCUUUUAAACCAUCUAUUUAGUAAGCCAACAAAGGAAAGCUCAGAAGGCCAAUGCUUUCGAUGUAACAAACCAAGCCAUUAUUCAUAUUGCCUGCGAUGUAAUUUGUCCGUGACCUACGCUCCAGAAAAAGGACUACGCGCCGAACUGAUAUCAGGUGAAGAUGAAAAAGAAACAACAAAUGAUGAGUACGAUGAGGAAGUUGAACAUGCUGCCUUAUUUGACCUAUGCUUACGAUCCAACUCAAAAAGAAGAUAAAGAUUGGAGGUGCAAUACAAUUUUCCUUACACGGGUCAGAUGCAACAACCAAGUAGGUUCCAUGAUUAUUGAUCCCGAAAACUGUACAAAUGUGGCAGUCAACAAAGCCGGUCAAAAGCUAAAAUUGGAGACUUAUCUGCAUUCGGAGCCAUAUAAGCUUGCAUGGGUCAAAACCACUUUGAACGGAGAAAGGUAUUUUGGUUACAUUCAAUGGAGGUUUAACACGAGAGGUCAAUUGGAAUGUUCUUUCAUGAAAAGCUCGUAUUUGUUGGGAAUGUCCCGGCUCUAUUUUUCGUAGAAGUGGCAAGCUAGAUGGUUUAUAAAUAACAUAUAGAUAAAGGUAUUUAAGAUGACAUACUUGCGACCCAAAUCUACUAAUACAGUAAAACUAAAGAAAAUGUGCCAGGCCUACUAUCUCAACGUGCUGCUUUUACCAGUGGUGGAGUUCCAUAACUACGCUAAUCAUACGAGCUGCAAGCCAUAUCUUAGGGAACGACAGAUACACACAGCGGAACAAAAUAUGCAGUAACAAAAUCUAUUAGAAUUUAAAUAUUAUUUUUUUUUCUAAUUUUCAUAAUUUUUGAUUAAUUGUUUAGUUUUAUUUUAAAUAGAUUUUAGGAAUUAUAUGUAAAUAAUCCCUAAAAAUUAGUAUAUGGUUAGAGACAUUUUAGAAAGUGUUUGAUUAGAAAUCCUGCAUAAUUAUAUAUCAAGUUAUUUAUUAUUUUAUGAAUACCUAAUUUUAUCCUGCAUAAAUUAUAUAUCAUAGUUAUUUAUUAUUAUGAGUAAAAUUAAAGUUUUACGCCAUUGCAUUGAUUCUUGUUAAACAAAUAACAGAACUGAAGAAACUUCACUUUCAUAGCUAUGGAAACAAAUGGCGGGGGAGAAGUAAUUUUUAUCUGAACUUUAUUUCAACCCAAACUUCACUUUUGGUGUAACAAACAGGCCCUAAGGAUCACAGACUCUUACGAACCUAUGUCAUAUUGUAAAUAUUCUAUCUUACUUUCGAAGAGCUUCUCUGGUUUUUUAGGACUAUGAGUUGGCAACACAUUAUAAUCAUAAUAUCAUCUAUUCAUCUUAAGUAACUGAAGUUAUAGCUAGAUUUAUUUGCUAGUACUAAGAAGCUCAACCGUUUUUCAACGUCUUUAUGGCUUAUGAAACUGCUUGAGUUUGGAAGCUAUGUAUAUUCAUCUAUUUCUAUUGAAAACCAAACCUGUAUUUUGGAAAAUAAUCAACAUUAAAUAUUAAAUCUUAAUAAGAAAAUGCAUUUUUGUUAACUAUAAUUGGCCAAAAACUUAGUGCAAUAAAACCAACACCCAUAUCCAUGGUUGCUCGUUAGGUACCAUGAACAACAAAUUGGCCUCUUAAAAAUAUUAGAUCUAUUGAUGUCUAAAACUGUUAAACUUGUAUAGGUUUCGGCUUUCACAUUUCUUAAACAGAUUUAGGCCCCACUUGGUACUGAGGGCCGCCUAAUGCUAUUGGGCCAAAAGGAGUUAGGGAAAAAGCAUAUCUCUAUAUGCUUCUCCAUUUUCCAGUGGGACUGCGAAAAUCAUAUAUAUUAAACAAGCUAGUGCCAUUUGGGCGACUUUUUUUCAUAUAAAUAAGCAGAUGAAAUAUUUUCCUAUCACACUUCGGCCCAAACAGAGCCUUGAAGAUUCAACUAACUCAUUGACCCUAAAAUUUUUGUAUUUCUAACUUCGAUAUGGACAUUAACAUUAUAUUACAUGUGAGAAUCAGAAACUGAAUAUGGGAAUUGUCUAUAAGAGCAUUUGCCUAUCAAUUUGGUUUUGUGCUUUCGAAGUGAUGUUGAGAAGGAAUAUGUGUUUUAUUUAUUAUAUUUUAAAUUGACAUCAACUAUUUCAUAAGCAACAUGGUGUGUAAGAUUAAGCAUUUGUUUUUCAAAAUAUUCUUACAUUUGAAGAGUAUAUAUAGUCUUUAAGCAACAUGGUGCUUUUGACCUUUCUAUGAAACAAUUGUAACCUGAUCAUUGUUAAGGCGAAGUAUUGGUUCCUUGACUACAAAAUGGCUGUUGUCUUCCUUAAAGCUGCACUUUGUACUCUCACAACUUUGUUUGUGAACAUUUACGUUAGGCUGCUCACUGUAAGUAUCACUUCAUUUUCAAAUGUAAUGGAACGUAGAAUUGCUAUGCUUUAAGGGGCUGUACAAUGUGAGGAAAAGGAUUUUAGCACAUUGUAAAAUAUUAUGAGUCUCGUCUCAUCUAUGUGCCAUUUUUUUGGUUGAUUUUCUUUGAUGUAAAACGCUCUAUAUGGGGAUGGCAUAAGCAGUUCCAAAUUAUCGUGUAGUUUUGCUAUGCAGGUCAGUGCAGAUGGCUUACUUUGUUGUACAGUCUCUAAUGAUCGAGCUGUGAAGAUAUAUGAUGUUGUCAACUAUGACAUGAUGGUCAUGAUGCGCCUUCCGUUUGUUGCUGGGGCGGUUGAAUGGGUUUAUAGACAAGGGGAUGUCAAAGCCAAGCUUGCGAUUAGUGACCGCAAUUCCUGUUUUGUUCACAUAUAUGAUGCACAUUCUGGUUCAAACGAGCCAAUUACUUCAAGAGAGGUUUCUUGUCCUUAUCUUCGUUUCUGUAUUCUUGAGAAAACAUGGUGUUCUCCCAAGCUUAUGAUCUUAUGCUUCGUGUUUUCUUUUAUGCCUGCAGAUUCACAUGGGUCCAGUAAAAGUUAUGAAGUACAAUCCAGUGUAUGAUGUUGUAAUAUCAGCUGAUGCGAAGGGGAUCCUAGAAUACUGGUCUCCCUUGACACUGAAUUUUCCAGAAAAUAGGUACUGAUCUCUUACCAUCAUUAUGCAUUGUUUUUCCUUGCCUAAUUCGAGUUAUACAUAUAUUCUUGUAUCGAAGUGGUGUUCUUAGAUGUUUUCAUGUUUCUAUAUGAGGAGGUUAGAUAUGCAAGGAGGGACUAAUUUAUAAAGAUCCGCAUCAACAAACAAAUUAUAUAUGACAUUUGAAAAUUAACUACAAAAAUUGUUCAGAACUUCAGAUUAAAUAUUUCUGUUUUAAAACUUUUUUUUUUUAUGCUUAUUAGCCGGCAAAGAUGGAUGGAUUACAUUUUGUUGGAAUAUCUUGUUGUUAGAAUAUAAAGUUUUAAUGGUUAUUUUAUCUGCAUGUAGUCGAAAUGAUGCAGUUCCUUUUCAGUAUAGGGUAAUAAUCUUCUUCUUUUUGAGUAGAUAUUGGGUUCUUUACUGCUGUCUGAUAUUUGUCAUUGUGAACUUCAUGCAGUGUGAAUUUCAAGUUUAAAACAGAUACAAAUCUCUUUGAACUUGUGAAGUGCAAGACCACUGUCUCUUCAAUUGAGGUAAUAUGCUUGACUUCUCUUGUUUCUUGCCUUUGUCAACAUCUUCCUGGUUUUUUUUAUCUGCUGCACACAAAGAAGUUCCUCUAUCGAUGUCUAGUUUUGUUGUUAGUUUAUUGCCGUGAUGCAUUGUCAUUUCCUUAUUUGUGCCAACCAAGGAUUGCUUGUGCCGCCUGUGUUGCAUUAUGUUGAGGCCAUGUUGGCACGCGGCAUAGGGUUAUGCCGAACGGUAUCCAAAACAUGUCCUUUUUAGUAACUUUUUGGGCUAUUUUUGAGUUUUUUUUUUGCGUGAAAAGGUUUUAAAAUGGAUUUUUUUUUUUUUAACUUAAAACAUGUAGAUCUUGUAGCUUUAUUGACUUCUGGAGCAAUUAGUGGUUUCCAUUGCAUAAUUAGAAUGACAAUGCACCAACACCUAUAGAAUUAAGAAAGAGUUCUCAGUCUGUCAAUCCUUAUUAUGUUUGGACCUGGUAAAUCUGUCAACCCUUUUUAUGCUCGGACCAGGUUAGUUUGUCGUGUUGAGUCAAAGUAAGAUGUAGGCUCCACGCUUAGUGCCCUUUCGUUAGUUUUUUUAAGUUCAACCUUGCGACCAUACUCCCUUGGGAAUCCAAAGAAUUUAAUUUUUCAUAAAGAGGCAGAGUCCUAAAAGCAGCAUCUGUCGAUCCCUAUUGGGCAUCGUUUUUGGUUGAGACUGGACGGUAUUUGCUUGUCUUCGAGCCCUCAACUUUCAUUCUCGAUUAAAGAAAAAUAUUCUUGGCAGAUGCUUUUCGCAUCGGUUCGUCUUUCAUAAAUCCAAAUACUUCACCUAUGACUAUAAAAUACAAAUGCCCCCGAUUCUCCCUGUAAAUCAUUAUUCCCAUCCCGAAGGCCAACACAAUAGGACUAGAAUCUUAUGAUGUUAUUCUAUGCUAAUGUAUAUAGAGUGUGGGCUUGCUUUGAGCAAAAACUCAGGAAUAAAAAAGAACACCUAAAAAAUGGCAUGAAAUUUCUAUCAUUUUUUUAUGCAUUAUUGAAAGCAACUCACAUUUAGAAUUGCAUAAGGUGAGGCCACUACAACAAAAUUAGGUUAUAGGGACACAUGUUUGGGACAUUUUUAUGUAAAUGUCCCAUUUAUACCAAAACUUAAAAAAAAACCUUCUAAUGCCUAAAUAUAAAGCCCAAUCCAACAAAAAUAAAAGGUAGUACUACUCAACCCAUCCCACCCAGCCCAUUCGGCCCAAUUACAAACAGAAAAGAAAAAAAAAAAAUCGAUUACCAUCUCCCAUUCUUUUCUCACUCAAUCCACUUAAAUCCUAGACGAAAAGCCCUUCCCUUUCCUCCUCCUCCGUUACUGCAGUCAACGAGGUAGAGUUCCGGCGGUUGCUAAAUACUUAAAUAAGUGUUGGUAAAUUAGCAACACUCUUUUAGCUUAUACCGACACUCUUUAAAUGUCACUAUAUACCUAGCGACUUGACAUAUAGCAAUACUUUUUAAAAGUGUCGGUAAUUUAACUAGCAGCACUUUUUUUACCUGUACCGAAAUUUAAAGGUGUCGCUAUACACCGCUUUUGUUGUAAUUUAACUUUUCAUAUAAAGCGCUCUCUCUCUCUUUCUCGCCCCCUAAUAUUGACUGUCUUAAGAUAAUCUUAUAACCAUAUGUGUUGAUUUCUCACUUAAUUAGGCAACUAAUUGCAUUUAUUAAGAUCUUGUUGGGAACCAUAAAAAAUGGCAUGAAAUUUCUAUCAUUUUCUUUUUUAUGCAUUAUUGAAAACAACUCCCAUGUAGAUUUGCAUAAGAUGAGUUAUACUUAUCAUAUAAAUCUCUCUCUCUCUCUCCCCCCCAAUAUUGACUGUCUCAAGAUAAUAUAUAACCAUAUGUGUUGAUAUCUCACUUAAUUAGGCAACUAAUUGCAUUUAUUAAGAUCUUGUUGGGAACCAUAAAUUUUUUUCUUUUUUGUUUAAUUUGAAAACAAGUUCUAUGUAAUUGAUUGCGUGGGUGGUUUAGACGUCUAUGUACUACUAGCUAUUAUUGAUUCGCUUGUGAUAUGUUCUAGCCAGAUUUAGAUCGAAUACAUCAUCUUCGAAGCAAUAAUAAAGCAAAAGAAUUAGGGUCGUACUCGUAUCCACCGUGCCGUACCGUGCCAACAAGAUACCGGCAUAAUAUAGACCCCGUACUGAUGGCACAGCUCAAAACCCUCUAUUCUUUAAAUUAGUAAGUAAUUUUCUCAAUAAAGUUCAAAAGAUGUGAUAAAAAGACAUAAUAAAUAGUUAGAAUAUUUUGUUGCUAAAGAAAAUAAAUAUUUCAUGCUAUUUUGUGUCGGCACACAAGAAUUUUUUUGACUGGCACGCAUCGGUACGGCUCGGCACGCACCGUGCCGUACCGUGCCGGCAAGUUUCCGGCACGACCCCGUGCCGUGGCACUUAAAUCCUUGGCUUUGAGUACUCUAAUUUCUUCAAGUAAUAGUGCUGGAUGCACGAUCCGAUCAGUUAAGUCGGGAGCGCAUUGCCGGCAGAAGGGGCAAGGCUGUUGGUGCACACUUGAGGGUAGACCGGCGGACUCAUCCCGAGGUUUAACUACAAACUUUUAACUGCAGAAACUAAAAUAAAUGCUACUGGAGUUGGAAUAAUCGUGGUUGUUGGCACUAGACUUGACCUAUAAUGGAUCCUAUAUUGUAUUCAUUCCAAUUACUUAACCCGAAGGGCCAAGUAUUGGUAUUUAUUGUCGCUACCUCCCCGUGUCUAGAUUGGGUAAUUUGCACACUUUCUGCUUUCCUUGAAUAUGGUAACCGUUCUUAGGCUCCCCCUCUAGAAUUGAAUCUUUAUUCUUCAUCACCCGUCACCACCAUGGUCGGCCCCUAUCCUACCAUUAAAAGAUGAUAGGGCAUAAAUUUUAAUGCGUCAUCAGCACGAACGCCAUGCGAUUUAUCAAGUUAUCAUGAAUCAUCGGUUCGUGGGCAAAGCCCACCCUUUAUCUAAUAAAUGCAUCCCUACUGGAAGUCGUGGUUUGUUGCAUGUAUUAACUCUAGAAUUACUACGCUUAUCCGAGUAGCAGGUACUAUUAAACAAACUAUAACUAAUUUAAUGAGCCAUUUGCAGUUUCAUAGUCUAAAUUAAUUCAUAUUACACAUUAUGGCAUAAACUUUGAGACAAGCAUAUGACUGCUGUGAGGAUUAACCGGGUAGCACGUCCUUUGCGAUGCGGGUGCUGUCAAGGCGCCCGACCGCCUGCAGGGAGCGAAGGGGGCCCAUCGGUGGAUCGAUCGUUGUCUCGACGAGGGUGGCUUAAUGACCGACCAAGGUUCGGGCCGAGGGCCGAAGUCCCCGAAGCCUGUCGCAUUUGCGAGAGCUUGCGAUACUUUAGGAGCUCAGCUAGCACGGGGCCCAAGGGUUGUGUCGUUAAGGUGUGCGCAACGACCACAUUGUGGUUGUGCCUCCCGCUCGAGGUGGGGAGGUGAACUAGCACAUAGGGUACGUUGACUUCCUGCAGAGCCGGGUAGAUGGCACACGCAACGCACUGGACUAAAAAGGAUGGCCUAAAGAUACGAAUGAGCACAGGACUAAGAAGGAUGGCCUCUUUAGUGGUUGAUUGCGAGAGGCAAGGAGCCCGCGGGACACACCAAUCCGUGAUUGCUCAUGUGUGGACAUGGUCUUGUCCGUGUCGCCGUCGACACGUCCACCUGUGCCAUGCUAGAUUGGGAGGCCGAGACACGACGAGGCUUUCGGAGGGUCGAUGUGGGACGGUGAUUAUGGAGGUCUGGCAGAGCACGAAACGUUAGAAGGGAAGUUUGGGACUUAGGCAAGGAGAGCACCGCCGCUGGGCAGAGAGCACGGCCCUAGGAGAGUGGGGCGCACUUAUAAGGCCUACAGUGCGCGCGGACGUACUAGCAGUGAAUAUUAUAUUUUUAGUAUAACAAUAUAUAGUUAUUAUGUAUAAAAGAAUCUAGUUGGGAUAUAUAAUUAAUAGUAGGUGAAUAGUGCCUAUUAUAUAAAUAGACUUUUAACCUUGGAUCCAUUCUUGUAAUAGUACCAGGGGUAAUUUCGAGGCAUCCAAGGGCUAAAAAGUCUAUGGUAUGCACUAUUCACAUACUGUUGAUAGUACUCUAGCUGAGUUCAUGUUGAAAUAUAUAUUUUGUGAAAAUAUGGCUAUAUUUCUGAUAGAAGGGCAAAAGAGCACAUCCUCAUGGGUUCUAUUGAGGAAAAUAUAUAGUACACGAGAUAAGUCUACUAUAGUUACAAUGUCUACUAUAAUAAUGAUAUAACUAGGAUUACAUACCAUAUAAACCUAUUCUAUAUACUAUACCAUAUAAUCCUACUAUAUAUACAGUAUCCUAAUAUAGCAUAAGAUACUAAAUAUGUCGUAACAAUUUCUCAUACGAAUGAAAGUUAAUACGAUUCUUGUUGAUAGUUCAUGUAAUUAAGGAAAGCUCUCCACCAUACAAUAACAAUAACAAUCAAUGACAAAAUAUCUAUCGACCCACAAAUAAUAUAACCCUAAUUUAAACUAAUUGUGCUUUUAUGAGACUAAAAGAAUGCAAAUCUAAUUUAAAACAAUAGUUAAUGACAAAUUGUAAGAUAUUAGAUAAAAUUAUUUUUAAGAAAGCAAGUAAAAAAAAUAAUUAGUUGGACUGUAAAAAUUCUAAAUAAAAAAUAAAAAAUUUCAAAAUCCUAUCUAAAUUGUGAGAGGAGUGGGGUUUACCUUUAGAAGAUAAACUCCAAGCUAUCUAAAGACGGUCUAAGAGAGAGGGGGUUAGUACCUCUUGGAAAGUAAAUAUCCUAAAUGAAAAAUUAAAAAUUUCAAAAUUCUAUUUGAAAUUGUGAGAAGAGAGAGGGAGGGGGGAGGACCUUUAGAAGAUAUAAACCCUAAACUAUCUAAAGACUCAGUGAGCUAGCGGGUGUGUGCAAGAGAGAGAGAGUAAAAAAAAUUUAUAAAUUUCAAAAUCCUAUUGUUAAGGUGAAAACCAAACUUUCUAAAGACGAAUAGAGAGUGCGGCGAGGGGUCCAUUUAGAAGAUAAAUCGCGAAGUAUCUACAGACUCAGACAGUGAGCUAACGAGCAAGAGAGAGAGAGAGAUAGAGAGAGGAUCUCUUGGAGCAUGGAGAAUGGAGAAUCAGAGAUAGAUGAGAGGAGGGUAGUUGGGUAGGUGAUUAUUUUUAAAUUUUUUCCGUUAUUUGUUUUUACUCUUUUUCUUUAAUGGAUCCUUUCAUUUGUUUUUAAAGGAACACGCCAUAGACANGAUCUCUUGGAGCAUGGAGAAUGGAGAAUCAGAGAUAGAUGAGAGGAGGGUAGUUGGGUAGGUGAUUAUUUUUAAAUUUUUUCCGUUAUUUGUUUUUACUCUUUUUCUUUAAUGGAUCCUUUCAUUUGUUUUUAAAGGAACACGCCAUAGACAUGUGUUGUGCCCGAUGCGGACACGGGGGGUGUCCCCCGCAUCCGUGACACUUAGCUUCCUGUAAAUUUUUAUCCAAGUGCGACUUUAAUUUCAUUGUCAUGAAUGUACUUUAAGACGGUAAAUUGACAUUCUCGAGUUAUUAAGAUAUCUAUGAUUCUAUUCUUAGUAUACUGAACUUUAUAAAAUAUUAACACUUGGACUAUUCUCGGCAAGGUUUUAAGUGCCCGUGUCGUGCCGUACCGUGCCAACAAGAUACCGGCACGAUACAGACUCCGUACCGAUGGCACAACUCAAAACCCUCUAUUCUUUAAAUUAGUAAGUAAUUUCCUCAAUAAAGUUCAAAAGAUGUGAGAAAAAGAUAUAAUAAAUAGUUAGAAUAUUUUGUUGCUAAAGAAAAUAAAUAUUUCAUGCUAUUAUGUGUCGGCAUAUAAGAAUUUUUUUGACCGGCACGCAUCGGCAUGGCACGGCUCGGCACGCACCGUGCCGUACCGUGCCGGCAAGUUUCCAGCACGACCACGUGCCACGGCACUUAAAUCCUUGAUUCUCGGUGUACUAAACUUUGUAAAAUAUUAAUACUUGAACUAAUCCUAAAGGUAUCAGAGGCAUUAUAGCACUCUAAGAUACUAUUUUUUCCAUGUAAUACUGAUAAAAAAAGCCUGUGCAAUUGUGUAAGUUGCUUGCCUCUGGCACAUAGCUCUGUGCCAACAUUGGCACAAAUAGUGCUGUUGUGCCUUGUCGUGCCAAUGGCAUUUCUUGUGCCACUGGCACGCAGUUCUUGGUACCAACAAAUACUUGAUAUGCGCACUAUCGUGCAAGUUAUUUUGUUAUCAUUUUCUUGGCCACUCAUGAAAGUUCCACCCCCCCCCCCUCAAAUUUGGUGCAUUUUGUUAGUAAGUAGAUUUUGUAAGAUUAUAUGACUGUUGGAAUAAUAAAUUUAGUUGUCUUGCUACCUUCCCCUUUAUUAUUUGCCCUCCUCUCUCUCUCUCUCUCUCUCUCUCUCUCUCGUGCACGUGUGCGCUCUACCUAUAUACUAUAUAUCUAUCUACCUAUGGCCUUUAAUUUUAUCUUUCGUUUUGUUUACCCACAUUACCUAACAUCUUGUGCGUAUUUUUCCAUUGUAUACAUACAUGGUGUGAUGGAGUGUGAUGGACUCUUUGUUGUUCAGGUGAGUAACGACGGCCGUCAAUUUGCUGUAACUUCUCCCGAUCGCCGGAUUCGCGUAUUUUGGUUUAAAACUGGUAAACUAAGGCGUGUAUACGACGAGUCUCUUGAGGUAAAUUAGAAAAGAAAAUCUGAGAGAAAGCUCUCUUUUCUAUAAUAAUUGAAAUUCAGAUAUUUGUAACUUGACUUUAUUGCCGAUAGGUGGCCCAAGAUCUACAAAGAAGUGAUGUUCCUUUAUACCGUCUUGAAGCAAUUGAUUUUGGACGAAGGAUGGCUGUUGAGAAGGAAAUAGAAAAAACAGAACAUGCUCCACAACCAAAUGCUGUUUUCGAUGAGAGUUGCAACUUUCUUAUUUAUGCUACCCUUUUGGGCAUUAAAGUAAGCAGAAUCUGCUAUUAAUCAACAGCUAUAUUGUAUUACCAUACUUCCUGCAAACUUGGUGCUGCUUUCUUGGUACAAGAGUAGAUAUCUAUGCGAUGGACAGUUUCCUAAUGAUAACUUUCCACUCUUUUUUUCCCCUUUUUUUGUUUAUUUUCUAUUUUUUUAUUUUACCCGUGUAGGUUGCAUUAUCUAUUAAUUCAUAAUAAUUUUUUUGUUAACUCUCUGUUUUAUUUCUGCAGAUUGUGAAUUUGCAUACAAAUAAGGUUGCUCGAAUUCUAGGGAAAGUGGAAAACAAUGAUAGGUUUUUAAGAAUUGCCUUGUCCCAAGGUGAUAAAAGUAAUAAGAAGGUCAGANACAGUUUCCUAAUGAUAACUUUCCACUCUUUUUUUCCCCUUUUUUUGUUUAUUUUCUAUUUUUUUAUUUAUUUUAUUUUUUUAUUUUACCUGUGUAGGUUGCAUUAUCUAUUAAUUCAUAAUAUUUUUUUUGUUAACUCUCUGUUUUAUUUCUGCAGAUUGUGAAUUUGCAUACAAAUAAGGUUGCUCGAAUUCUAGGGAAAGUGGAAAACAAUGAUAGGUUUUUAAGAAUUGCCUUGUCCCAAGGUGAUAAAAGUAAUAAGAAGGUCAGAAAGAUCCCCACAGCAGCUGCCAAUGUCAAUGAGAGCAAAGAGCCUUUAACGGAUCCUACGCUUCUAUGUUGUGCUUUUAAGAAACAUCGGAUCUAUUUAUUCAGGUAUGAACUUAAACAUCUGUAAUGAUAUGUAAUAAGUCUAUUGAUGCUUCCAUUGUUAUAACUUCAACAUCUCUAAUGAUAUGUUUAAUUGUUUAUCUGAUGCUACCACAUAACAAUUCAUCAUGAGUAGUAUCUACUUUCAGUUCCUUGAUAUAUCAAAUUCAGUACACUGGUAUUUGGAAGUUUUUGCUGAAUAAGAAAUGAGUGUGGUCCUUCAAUGCAUGAAGUGUUUAUUAAUUUCAAGAAAGGUGACACUGCACUCAAUUGUCCGGGAUAUAUGUGAAGAUUAUUGUGACACACUUUUAUAAUUAUGGUAUUAGUUCUUACUAUUCUGGCUUUUUGCAAAACAGCCGGAGAGAGCCCGAGGAGCCUGAAGAUGCAACCAAGGGUAGAGAUGUCUUCAAUGAAAAGCCACCUCCUGAGGAGCUUUUGGCAGUAUCUGAAUUAGGGAAAGCAAUCACGACAUCACUUCCUGAUAGUGUGGUAACUUAAAUGCCUUUUGGUAACAUUUGUGCCAAUCUGUCAUCUGUGCUUACACCUAGUUUUGGGGACAUGAAACAUUUGAAAUAUGGAAACAGCUUGUCAUUUUCGAUGUCUUUGAUAACUUAUUAUUUUGAAUUUAUCAGGUGCUGCACACAUCUCUGGGUGAUAUUCACCUGAGACUAUACCCAGAAGAGUGCCCAAAAACUGUGGAGAACUUCACAACUCAUUGUAGGAAUGGUUAUUAUGAUAAUCUAAUCUUUCACCGAGUCAUCAAAGGGUUCAUGAUUCAGACAGGGGAUCCUUUGGGAGAUGGUACUGGUGGACAGUCUAUAUGGGGAAGGGAAUUUGAAGAUGAGUUCCAUAAAAGGUAAAAUCCUAGAUCUUGUUUGUAUGCACCACAUAGGGAUGCAAAUGGAUCCGGGUUGCUGGAGAUCCCACCUCAAUCUCCGAAUGGGGCAGUAAGAGGGAGCCAAAAACAAGAAAAAAGGGAAAAAAAAAAUACAUGCCCUGAUCUGCUAAGAAAUGGAGCGGAAGACAGGAGAUCCCUUCUUUCCUUCGACCCUCCCCGAUCUGCCAAAAAUUCUCUUCCGCCCCGCCCCGCCCCUCCCCGCUUCAAAUGGAACGGCAAGUAGGGGCAAAAAAUAGGAUCAGACCCAACCCAUCCCGGAUCUCUUCCAACCCACCAAGAAAACGGGACGGGAGGUGGGGGGUCCCUCCUGCCUCCGGAUCCGUACUGUUUACAUCCCUAGCACCACAUGAAUGCGUUGUGUACGGACAUGCAUUUAUUUUUAUGCAAAGUAAAAUUGUAUGUAAAUUAAACUAUAGUAAUUAAUUUAGUUUAUAUGUACCACAGGUAGAAUCUCGGUCAAUAUAAUAACAUAUAUUUUAUCAUAACAAACAAUCAUUAGAUGCCCAAUGCCAAAUCAGUUUAUGACUAGAUUUUCUUUUUUUAAUCAUAUUUCGACAAAUAGGAUAUGCCAUGUUUAGUGUUUAAAAGGCAAAUAGAUGGUUAUUCUUAAUAAGGAGAUUAGGGAUUUCUCUAUAAACAAAACUGCAGGCAGAAGAGCAAACUUAUAGAAAAGAAAUCAUUACAUAUUUUAGAGAAAUCAGUACCUUUAUCUUUUCUACAAAUGAAUCACUGUGUUGAAUGGGAGAAUCUAGAAUGGUUGCAUAUUUUCUAAUGGCUUGGUAAUUCUUGACUCUGGUAGAUGCUCUUCCAGGUAGUUUUCUCCAGUCAUUGAAGGUGUAUUUGCAAAUAAUUAAUCAGUAAUCCAAUUAAUUUGUCUUCUCACUAAUGUUAUUAACUGAGUUGGCUCCAUAAUUUUUCAGUUUUUAAUAACUAUAAAACUAUCCACAAAAAAAAGCACUAUCUUAUUAAUGUGCAAUGUUUAUACUAGCUUUUGAUAAGUUCUCUUGUUCAAAUUGCUUUGGAUAAUGUGUUUUAUCUGACAUUAAAUGACCUUUCUGUGAAAGGUUUCUUUGUCAAAGAAUUAAAAAGAAGAUGCAUAAACAAAGUUAGGAUUCACAUGGAAUCACAUUUGUCCAUGUGCUUUAUAUGGUUUUUGGCUGCAUGUGGUUUCUAUACUACCUUUAUGUGUUCAUAGCAAUAGCAUUUUGUUGAGAGUGAUGACCUGUAGCUAUGCUCGACUAGUAUUGUGCAACUCUGCUCACAGAAAACUUACUAAAACCUGCAGCUUAAGGCAUGACAGACCAUUUACAUUGUCAAUGGCAAAUGCUGGACCUAAUACAAAUGGUUCUCAAUUCUUUAUCACCACUGUGGCGACUCCUUGGCUGGAUAAUAAACACACUGUUUUUGGUAGAGUUGUGAAAGGAAUGGAUGUUGUUCAGGUGAUUUUGAGAACUUUUGUUUUAUUUUCUGAUUUUUUUUCACUAAAAUGAACAUUUUAUUUUCUUAUUUCUCUUUCUGUUUGAUGGAAUUUUCUGAAUUUUUAAUUCUGACAUUAUUUGUGCACUAUAGGCAAUAGAGAAGGUAAAGACGGACAGGAAUGAUAAACCCUAUCAGGAUGUAAAGAUCCUGAAUGUUACAGUUCCCAAGUCCUGAAGCCUUUUCACGGAAGGUGCUGCUUCACUUGCAUUUCUUUUUUCUUUUUUUCUUUCUAAGAAUACUCAGGUACAUUUAAAUGUCAGAAUGUAAAUUGUUUAGCUUAAAUUUUACCUAUGUUAUAUGAUGAGCUAUUACAAGUGUUUGAUAUUUUAGUUAGUUGUGUUAUAAUGAUGACCUGGAACUCAGAAUGGCAUUAUGCAAGCUACGAAAAUGAGAAUUAAACAUCAAAGCUGCCUCAUUUUUUGGAUCUCUUAAUUUUAUUCUCUCAGGAGCAAAUUUGACUUGCUGAGCUGUUUAGGCAUGCCGAGGUGCUAUUUUCUUAUUUCUUAUUUUUUGUGUUUUUGGGUGCAGGGGCUACUUAUUCCAGUACUUUGCUUUACCAUGUCUCCGAGGUGUUAAUACUAGGCUGACGUUUUAUCAGUUGACCCUCUAUAUAGUUUCUCUGUAGCGCUUUGUCUUGUAAAUGCAUACACGUAUGAUUAUGGAACUCUAUUCCCUGUAUCAAUGGCUGAGUAGUCUUUUGGCAAUUUAGGGCAUUUCUUUAGCAUGGACACUUUCUGUAGCAUGCAGUGGGCCAAAUGACAACUUCUGUUGUAGGGGUAAAGUUGCAGUUCACUGCAUCUGUAACAACUCGAUUGAUGGAAUGGAGAUGGGGAUCGCUGAUGUUAACUUGUGCAUGGAAAAUCUGGGCACUUUGUUGAUGGACGAGAAAGGUUAUUGUGCUUAUAAUAGAGCAAAAUGCUUAAGCUAAUAUGAUCUGCAUCAAUAUUGCAAUGAAGAUGCUGGAUCAUUGCAGCUUUAUUUCCUUCGUAGUACCACUACACGUUGGACCGUCAUCAGUGUUUUUUUUUUUUUUUUCAAAAGGCGGAUUGUUUUCUUCUCUUUGUUUUGCCGUUGUAAUCUGCUAACAAUUAAUAAUAACUGUUAUAUGAUUGUACACUAAUUAGAAUUAGCAAUUACAGUUGAUUUAUAUUACUUUGUUAUUUGGUUUUGGUGAUGUUGAUCAGUUUUCGCUCUGGACUGCGGUGGGGUUGCGGUAGUUCUAGAUCUUUCUGCUCUCGGAAUUCUCUUGCUACAGGCUGCAGAAAAUUGACCGGAUGAAGAGUAAGAAAAUUCAAGGAUUAGAUGAAGUUGGAGGAGAAAACCCAACGAAAGAGGAGGGAGCUCACCUCUCUCUCUCUUACUACAGCCAUAAUGGGCCAAAAGAGAGGUGAAGUGGUAUUUUACUUAUGGUAACAAUAUCCCCAAAGGUUCCGAAACCUUAGAAAUUAUAAUUCGUGCGAAAUAGUUCUGUGUCAUUGAGUACAGGACGCGAACUAGAGUGUACACAACUCAAGUGUUCCGGUACCCAAAUUCAGUCCCACAAAAUCCGAACGCUGGAUUGUUCAGACUUCUAUUGAGUUCCGAUACCACGUGUAUCUGUAUCGGUACAAGUCGUAUUAGUAUCGGUACCGGUCGAGUUUCGCAAAAUCCAAAAGUUGUCCAAACAAAUACGCAACAGAGUUUCAGUACCCAAGCUCGGUAUUGGUACGUAAUUGUCAAAAUUGCAACUUUUGUAGAUUUUGACUUCCGGAGUCUGUUUUCACACUACUUAAGCUUUGAAAAUGCUCUCAAUCUUGCUAAACUCAGACCAAACUCUCAGAAUAGUAUAGAAUGCUAUUCCUUUCACUAGAAUUUCGCAAUUUACUGAAGUUCAGUGUGCUACAUCCUCCCCUCCUAAAAGGAGUUGUUUAGUCAAAAAAUUAGAAGUCAAGCACCUCAAACAUCGAUUUGAAAAAGAUGGGUAUAAUGUUCCCACGACGUACUUUCCAGCUUCCAAGUGGCUUCGCGCUCCUUGUGGUUAUUGGAAAGCACUUUCAUGUAAGGGAUAUCACAAUUCUGAAGUUUAUUCACCUCGCUAGCUAAGAUCGGGGUGCUCCUCAAAACUCAGAUCUUUUUGUAGCUCCAAUGGUAUGAAGUCCACUACUUGAGUUGAGUCAAAAACAUACUUCGGGAGCAUUGAAACAUGAAACACAUUGUAAUAUUCCAAACUUCUACAAUCAUGAAGUUUUGGUGGGAAUUAGCUUAAAAAGCUAGUAAAAUAGUUCCGGCGAAGUUUGGAGAGUAUUCGAGUGUUUUCGGCGCAAAUCGGGUGUGAAAAUGGGCUCCAAAGGCUGAAAUCUGUCAAAGUGGCAAAUUUUCUAUUCAGUACCGGUACUUGAAUCUGUGUACCGGUACGCAAUACAAAAUGAGAAAAAUGAGCUCUUGGGUUUUGAGGAAUCAAAUCUGAGUAUCGGUACUGAGUUUUUAUUGGGUACUGGUACUGAAAACUGAGUACCGGUACGCAGUAGAAAAUUGAGAAUCCAACGUUUGGGUUUUGAGGUACUGGAAAUUGGGUACCGGAACUGGAUGCCCGAGCACCGGUAUGCGAACCCGAGUACCGGUCCUCAGCUCUGCAGAAUGCUGAUUUUGAGGAGUGUUUUCGUAAUUUCAUGUGGGGGCUUAUAUAAAAGGGUGCCCUUCCCCUUUUCUUUGCAAAACACAUACACACGCACAGUGAGAGGGAGAGAGGAGCUCAUCUCUCUCACUCUCUUCUUCUCCUUCUCCAAUUUAGAGAUCUUGGUGGAGAUCGAACUCGGGAAGCUCGGAGAAGCGGUGAAUCGAGCUCUCGGGCGCUUGGUGGCUCGGAGUGCUUUCGACUCGAGGUGAGUUUUGGGGUUUUAAGCUAGGGUUUUGGGUUUAAACCUUCUAAAUAAAUUUCUAUCAAACCCUAUGCUAAUUUAGGCUACAAAUUGUAGAGAUUAGCAAAUGAAAUUGGGUUUUACCAUGAAGUUUGGUAAACCCUAGGUUGAAAGAGGGAUUUGCUUGUGGAGGGUUCUAAAAAUGUUUUAACCCUUUAAAACCCUAAUUGAGGGUUAGAAAAUCAUGUGGGGCAACUUGAUUUCAAAAGAAAAAAUCAUUUAGCAGGUCGAAAAUGGUAACGAAUGGGUCUCCUGUAUAGGGCAAGGAAAGCUUGGGAGCAAGCUUGGAGAUUCAAGAGGUUGGCCUAAGUGUCUACAAGCAAUUAGGAAGCUUUGUGAGAUGGCUUGUGCUUCACCGAAGUGACUAGAUAGCUUCCAUAUCAAAAGAGUAAAAUAUGGUAUUAUUGUUGAUGCAUGUACAUAAUGGUAGGUUAUAUGCUGUAAAUAUGAAUGCUUAAAUCAUAUGUUGUUAGAUGAUGUUACCUACCAUUGGAUGAUGAUAUAGGCAUAUGAGGUUCAUAUAUAUAUAUAUAUAUAUAUAUAUAUAGAAUAGGCUGGGAAUACUAUUAAUAGCACAAUGACUUGUGCUAUUAAGUCUUCCGCCCUUGGAUUAAAAGAUGUUCGGUUAGGAUGAUGUGGCCGCCCUAGGCUGAGUGGGGUGUUGGUUGAAUAGUAUAAUCUAACGAGGUAAAAAUAAUCAAAAGGGUUAAUCUAACGGCAGAAAACUUGAUAGCACCAAGUGCUUGCGUGCUAUCGAUAGUAUAGCAGUCGCGACUCUCUCUCUCUCUCUCUCUCUCUCUUCUCUCUCUCUCUCUCUCUCUAUAUAUAUUAUAUAUAUAUAUAUAUGCCUAGUGUGGAUAAUAAUAUAGGUCGAUUAACUCUAGGAGAGAUUAGAGAACUCGACAAGUGUGAAAUCAAGGACUUAAAUGUCAUGGAAUUAUGAAUCCUAGGUGUGGACAACUAGGAUAAAGAAAGAACAUGAUUGGGUAUUGAAUCCAGUUUCAUUGAACUUAGGUUGGAAAAAUAUAGUGGUAGGAAGACUACUUGGAUUGGAAUGUCAAUGAACCUAGUGUCAUUGAACGUAGGUUAGACAUAUGAACAUAAACCUAGAGAGGUUGACAAUUUAGGGUAAAUGUUGAACCCUUGAGACUUGGAAAGUGGAUUCCAGAAAUCCCAGGACUUGUGACCGUCGAAGUUCUUGGUCGUGGGUGCAUGCGGCGGCAUGUUCCUCUCUCCCACCGCAAGAACCUCGAGGGUUGUGACUGUGGAAGAUUCUUGGCCACGGGUGCAUGUGGCAUAUUCCUUUCCCACCGGAAGAAUCUUCGUGCGCUGGGGUGUAUGUGGCAUGUUCCUCUUCCACUAGGGGAUCCCUGACCGCGGGUAUACGCAGCUUUUUUGCCGCCCGUCGGGCGCCUUGGUGUGUUGAUUGAAGGCUGAGGUUCAUGGCAUGUCCCUCUCCUCAGGAGGCUUGGAUGUGAGCGGUAGUCCGCUGAUGAUUGACUCAAGACCGAGUCGAAUGGCAUAGCUUGGCUAAGGUAAAAAAACCUUAGGAGUGGAUUGGAUUAUGCAAUGAUAGUGAAAUAGAAAGUAGAAAUGAUAGAUCUACUUGUAUGGAUUUCAUAUUGCAUUUAGUUGAGGCAUAAGCAUGAUGUUUGUUAGUUGUUUACAGUUAUAUGUUGUAUAUAUUGGACUAACUUGCUUAUGUUGCCUCCUUUGGACUUGAUGGGUCGAGCUCUUUCCCUGGGUGGUCGUAUCUACUGGGAACUAUGUUUAUAGUUCUCACCCCCAUAUUUUUCAGGUCCACACGUGAGCGGCGCGGCGGCGCGUGGAAAGGGCAUAGCUCAAUAGAUGACGCCCUAUCACUUGAGACCAGAGAUAGAUUUACCCUGAGUCAAGAUAGCUUAGGGUAUAGAAAGAAAGAAAGAAAGAAACAAAGUAUAAUAAAGUUGAUUGUAUUUGGAAGAAAAGAAUGCCAAUGUAAUGUGAUGAAUGCUUGUAAUAGCUUAGUAUUUAUAUUUAUGAUGCCUUUCUUAUGCAAUAUGUGUAUGAAUUCUGUUCCUGUUUGAAACUACUUGAAUUGUACCGAUUGUGAUGCCUAGGGCGGACAGGAAAAACUCUGUCCGUUCGGCGGUCUGUCAGCGCGCCAAAUCCGACCAAAGUGGCGGUUCUUGGGGCAUGACAGAUAGGGUGAUAUCAGAGCAUAGAAAUAGUUUAGAUGGACCUAGGAGACCCUAAAAUAGUUUACCAUAAGGACUUAGGCUUGUGAGAGACGAGAACUUGUGACUUGCGGCGAAAGGUGAAUUGAUUGGGUCGUGUGUACAUGCCUCUAAAAAGGAUGUUAGAGAUAGAUUCAAGGUAUAGUUUAUUCUCAACCGAGUGUGUUCAUAUUGGGCGCGCACAACAUGAAACCUAGUUAUGAGAAUAGGCUCCCUUGCGUGACUUUCGCCUGAUUUGAGUCUGUGUCUGAAUUAGUCUUGUACUGGACCUAGAAGGUUGAGGAUUGACCGAGUUGUCAUGUUUCAGGGAAUAAUGGCACCGCGUAGGCGAUCUUUAUUAAGAUCGGUGCGAGAUGGGCCAAGUGGAGUCCUUGAGUAAUCUGGAGCGAGUGGAGACUCGAAGCUCCAUGAACAGUUGGCCUCACUUGUUGGGGUGAUGAGGCAACAAGCUGAUGUGGUGUAGCGACAGCAGGAGGCUGCGCUACGCCGGGAGUAGAUUAAGAGACUCCAAGAGACUGUGAAGCAAUUGGUAACUGCACCAGUUGCGGCCCAUCAUGUGCAACUGGGAGUUGCGGCGGAGACCAUUCUGUCUGGGUCGAGCAAUCCGGCCCGUGGCUAUGCGAAAAUGCAAGCGGAGAGCGAGCGAGCUUUGAUAGCCCUCAUGACCUUCAAGAGUUUCAAUCCGCCUACCUUCGACGGAGAGACCAUGGAUCUGUGGGUUGUGGAGAUGUGGAUCGACUCCAUGGAAACCCUGUUUGAGGACUUGUACACCUUGGACCGAGACAAAGUACACCUAGCUGCACAUUGUUUGGAAAAGUCAACAAAGGUAUGGUGGAAAGGUGUCAAAUGAAAUCGAUCACCCAGUCUCCCUCCUGUGACUUGGGAAGAGUUUCGGGGAUUAGUGUUUUCAGCCUAUUUCCUCGACAAUGAGAAGAGAAAGCUCUAAGAGAGGUUUCGAAAAUUGAGAUAAGGUAAUUGUCCGGUAAGGGAAUAUGAAAGGGAAUUCUCUCGCCGUCACACCCCAAUCCCCGCCAAUUUGGUCUGGUUCGGGUCACGUCAACAGAUGCCGAACGGACAGAGCCUCCCCUGCCCGCCCAAGGCUCUAACGACAUGUAUAAAUAGGCAAUCAACAAGAGAUUUGCAUAUAUAAUACAAGGCUUGCACGAGGGCAAGCAACAACGAAAGCGAAAGCUCUAAACUAAUUAAGCAACAUACAUGAUAUUUGAUUACAUUUAAACCAAAUUCAAGUAAAGCUAUUACAUUUUUCCAUCAUAUCUUUUUACAUUUAGUCAUCCACCAAAUACAUGAUUGUUUACACUUUGCAUCUCUAAAUCAACAAAAUAAAGUUGAUACAUGUAUAUCAAAAAGGAAUGACUACAAAAUGUAAAGUCCCGGUGGCCGCUACCUACGGCGUCAAACCCUUGCCUUGGUCUUCCGUCGCCCCGCUCGUGCUAGGACCUGUAGGGUUAGUGGUGUGAUAACUAAACAAAGUUCCCAAUGGGCUCGGCAUCCGACCUCGCUACUUACCCACUAGGUCUAUCCAGGCAUAAGUAUUACAAAGGAAAGAGAAGUAACCAAUACUAAUGCAUCUAAUACCCUGCCUGCAGAAGAAUGUCAGUGGAUACAUAUACUCGAUGCAAUAAUAGAAAUGCAUGCAUGCUCAAAUCACAAAGAAGCUUUGGCUCUUACCCAAUUUUACCGGUUAACCUUGUUAACCCCAAUAACUCACCACCCAAAAUCCCUUAAUAGCGGGGGACUCGAACCUCCCUAGGGACCGUCAUCUGGGGGGACUUUACCACGCCCAGUGGUGACCAACUCCGGAGCGCACCGCUCAAGGGGGGGAGCGACCUCCCUCAAGCCAAGACGAAAUGUGAGUAUCGAUCCAAUCCUCAACUUGAGGAUUCAUAGCCACUAGUAACAAUGCCAAUGUCAUGAUAGGUCUCUCUACCUAUUCAUUCUUGCCACUUUCAAGGCUAUACCUAUAAUGAUGCCAUAAUUGGUUAAACUAUGUUUAACGGUUCAUCACUCAAUGCCAAUCUUGUUUCUAUGUCAAUGUCACCCUUGUUUUCUAUUGUCCAAGUCCAAUCUCACAUUCACACAACUUGAGGGUCCAAUCACACAUGUCCAUUUUGGUUCUAUCAUCCUCUAUGUUCAACUACGUUAGAAACAUAUAAAUGAAGUCAAACCAAGUUCCAUAUGUAUCUACCCUACUAUGCAUGAAUAGGUAUAUAUGUAUAUGCUCAAGAAUAGAGAAAAUAGACAUAGAAGGGAAUCCAACGAUUCCGGCGUGCACCCUCCACCUCUAUUGGUCGUGUGGGUGUAGAAUAUGAAGGCUCCCGCACUUUACGAAAGCCGAUUCCGCGCCCUAUAAUCAAAAUAGUGCCAUAUUAGGCCCCUUUGUACACGAACUAUACUCUAACAUUUUCGCAACAUUAAACGGAGUUGUCCAACGUGUUUAGGGCACCCCCAAUUAGGUUUCUAUGAGGUCAAUUUGUCCCCGAAAAAUCCUAGGGCAAAAGCCCUAAUUUUCAAGCCUUAAUAUUGUCAUUUAGGGUUUUCCCAUGAAUCGAUCCCAACCCUAAGUAAACAAUAGCUUAUGAUCAUCUAAGAAGCACUCUAGUAAGGUUUCUAGACCUUUGGAACCAACCCUAGAGCUUCUAUGGUGAACCCUAACCAUCCACCAUGAGAGCACUUGAGCUCUCAUUGAUUCCAUGGAGUUUAAGGCCUAUAGAAGGCACCCAAGGCCAAGAACAACUCAAAGCUCCAAAACUUAGGGAUCAAAACCAAGCCCUAGACUCAUUUCUACCAAAAACUCACCUUAGCCCUAGCUCCUCCAAGUCCUUCUUGUAGGAGAGCUUGUAGAACCUACCAAAGCCUCCAAAUCCUCCUUCCCUUCACUUUUUCUUCUUCUUCUCCAAGCUUUAGAGCUAGGAUUCUAGAGAGAGAAAGAGUGGAAAUGAGAGGGGAGGGUGAAAAUGGCUGUGGGAGAGAGAGGGGUGACCAUAUAAGGUGUUGUAAUAAUUGCACUUAAGCCCCUCCAUUUGUUUCCCCUGAUCUGCCUAGACUGGGCAUUUUUCGCCUUCGGGGAUCGGUCUCCCCGACCAGGGACCGGUUCCCGAACGGGGGUUUUCCAGGACUUAACCAAAUUUUUGAGUUUUUCAGCUGUUGCGCAGCGAGGGACCGGUCUCCCGAGGACCGGUCUCACCACCAGGGACCGGAUGCCUCAGGAUUUCUUGGCAGGCUACGCGCACGGGGACCGGUCUCUCCUUCAGGGACCAGUCCCCGAGAGAUCAAAAUCUGGGACUUAGCCAGAUUUUCAGAUUUGCUCUCCGGGUCCCUUUUUGCUCUGUUUAUGAACUCUAAUGCACUUAGGGUCCAUUCUAACUCGUUCAAUUCCGCGUUCCGCUCGUUUUGACGGAACUCGGUACGAUUUACGAGGGAUGUGGUAUGUUACAUUAUCCACCCCUAAAAUUUAGUUUCGUCCGCGAAACUACUAAGAUUGGAAUUUAAAUUUCUUACCUCACUUCGGAUCCUCGAAGAGGUGAGGAUAACGCUCCCUCAUUUCGCUUUCGAGCUCCCACGUUUCUUCCCGGUCAUCGUGUUCGCACCAAUGAACUUUAACAUACGGGAUUUCGCGGUUCCGAAGCUUUCGCACCUCCCGAUCGGUAACAUGCGCCGGGAAUUCUUGAUAUGUCAUAUCCUCUUGAAGCUCCAUCGGUAUAUACGAGAGAAUAUGAUCUGGAUCGUACACAUACUUGAGGAGUUGGGAUACAUGGAAUACAUCAUGUACUCCCGCGAGUCUCGGUGGUAAUGCCAACUUGUAGGCCACCGUACCAACUCGUUUCAAAAUCUCAAAGGGUCCGAUAUUGUAAGGUACCAGACUUCUAAAACUAUGAAGUUACGGUGUAUAUUUAAAUGGUUCUGGUGAGGUUACGGUGGAAUGUAACAUACCGGAUUUUAAAUAUAAAAGUGAAAAUAAAUAAAAUAGUAUGAGAUACUAUUUUAUGAAAUUUAGAGAGGUGAAAUAUAGGUUGGGAAUGACCUGUACUGAAAUCGGAGCGAAAAUAGAAGAUUUAGAAUUUUCUGUGAGAGACGAGGCAGAUAAAUUAGCAGAAAAUGCACAGUCUCAGAAAAUUAUGAGAAUUGGCGGGGAUGUCAGAAAUAUUUUAAUGAGGCUAGAUAUAAAGUUUCGUAUUUUUCUGACACCCGUAGAUUGAGAAAUAAAAUCCGACAGCUAUCUGAUAAAGAUUACAAUUCGGUACAGUUUUCGGUGACCAAAUGGGGUCGAAACUGAAAACUUAAGAUAUAUUCUUGUUCAGUACGUUAAACCGAACAUGACUGUCAAAUUUGAACUCAAACGGAUACUCUGGGAGCUCCGGCGAAAGAUAUCAGAUUUUAAGUUGCCUGGAGUGAAUAGUGUUGGUGUUGACUUUAAUUAGAAGCAUCAGCUUCUUCUCCUUCAACCGACCACCGCCUCCAUGGCCACACACACGCACGCAUGAAAGGGGGAGAGAAACCCUCCUUUCUCUCUCUAAAUAUCUCUCUCAUCUCUCUAUAUCUCUCUUUAAAAAUUGGAGGGUUGGUGGAGAUCGAGCUUGCGAACGCGUUGGAGGCGACGAAUUGAGCUUUCGUACGCCCGUUGGAGCGGCGUGUUUUCGUUGCGGCGUUCACAUUGGGGUAAGCUUUUGAAAUUUGGCUUAAUCCUUAGUUUUAAGUGUUCUAUUAGCCUCUAAUGAGCUUUGUUGGCAUGUUGAUCCAUUUAAUUUGGAUUAUUUGGAGGUUAAUUGUACGUUAGGGCUCCGAAUGGGGUUUUGUAAAAUAUAAGGGUUUGAUCUAAUUUGACCCUCCGUAAACCUAAUUGCUAGGUAAACGAACGCGUUGGAGAAGUCGGUUCGGCGAUUCGUCGAGCCUACGCGAAAUUAUUAAAGAAACGGAUGUUUAGGCUCGUUUCCGCCUGGAGAGCCGAGGCGACGUCGUAAAAUCAUAAAAACGGAUUUGAAGCACCGUGGCACAUAACCGAAGACCUUUAAUUUCCGGAUCGCAAAUCGGAGAUCGUUUGGGUGGUCGCGCGAGAGUUCGAGCCAAACCGGGUCGCGGGUGUCGCGGGCGGCCGAUUGCAAGUGACUACAAGCAAUUGGAGAGUAAGUUAAGGUGGGUUGUGCUUACCGAAGCGACUAGGUCGCCCUUAUGUCUAAGAAAAUUAAGAAUCCAUAUUGAUGCAUAUAAAGGCUAAACGAGACAUGUAGGUGAUGCAUGUAAAUGUAAAUAAUGCAUGUGGAUAAUAUAAUGUAAAAUGCUAAGUAGGUGCAUGUAAAAUGAUAUAGAGAUCGUAGAAUACAUGAUUAGCAUCGUGAGAUUAUCUAUGCAUGUGAACUAGAGAAUGCUCGAUUAGACAACUAGGAUGUCGAACUAGAUCGAGUGGCAUCUAACCUAGUGUAUAAAACAUAGGUUGGACAUGAAUGACAAUGAACCUAGUGUUGUUGAACCUAGGAUGAAUCAUGAGUGGCAUCUAACCUAGUGUUAAAGGACAUAGGUUAUGGAUUGAACCUAGAGUUAAGUAAACCUAGGUUAUGUGAUAAAGACGAUGAACCUAGAGUCAAUUCGACCUAGGGUGAAAAGGACAUUGGACCUAGAUAGGUCAAUACUAUAGGGUUUGAAACCAACCCUUAAGCUAUAUGAAGUGGAUUCCGGAAUCCUUAGUGAUGUGGCCGCACAUGGAGCGGUGGAAAUUGUGGUAAAAGAGAUGGCAAGCGGAUCCUAACUGCAGGUAUGUGUGGUUCUCCUCACCUGGCAGUAAUUCAAUGGGUAUGUAUGGCUCUCCUCGCCCGGGAUGCCUUGAGAAUAAGCUGGAAUUGGGUAUGUGUGGCUCUCCUCGCCCAUUAGCUUAUCAGAUGAUGCCGCCUAGAUUGACUUGAACCUUGCUGGGUAAGAGCGAUGUGGUCGAUGCCAGAUGACUAAGUCACGUCUUGAGCCAUUGUUGGGUGAGGUGCGAUUAGUUCGCCGCCAGAUGGCUAAAUCAUGACUUGAGUUGUUGUUGGGUUCGAUGCGAUGAGUUCGCCACCAGAUGGUUAAGUCAGAUUUGCGGUAGGCUGUGACGGCAGCCAGGCUGAUGUGCAGCCAGUGCGCGGACUAUCCGCGGAUGAUUGACUCAAGGCCGAGUCGGGUGGUUAGCUUGAUUAGGUUAAUGGAAACCUUAUAAGCUAGUGAUAAAGGUAAGAGCUAAAGUUAGCAAAGUAAAUGUAGAAUUAACAUAUCUACUAGUUGUUUAUACAGUUGCAUAGUUGCAUAAUAUUCCUGUUGCAUAUUGUGAGGCAAAGCAUGAUAUAUGUUAGUUGCAUUUAAAUUAUGAUUUCAUAUCUAUCUAUUGAACUAACGUGUUGUUGCCUCCCUUGGACCUAUCGGUCGAGCUCUUCCCUUGGGUGGCCGUACCCACUGGGAACCAUGGAGUUGGUUCUCACCCCACGUUGUUUUGGGGUGUUACAGGUUCGCACGUGAGCGGUGCGGCGGCGCAAGGAGAGGGCGUAGCUCCGUAGAUAGCGCCUUGCCACCGAGACCAGAGAUAGCGGUACCCCAAAGUGGCCUAGCUUAGGGGUUAGAGAUGUAAGAAAUAAACUUGUAAUAAUUAGGAUUGUAUUUGGAAGUUGAGGAUGUAUUGCAAAUAAUGUAAUAUAAAUGUGAAUGCUUAUAAUAGCAUAGGAUUUAUGUUGUUUGAUACCUUCCUUAUGCAAUCGUUGUCUGAAUACUGUUCCUGGUUGGAACCUGUUGUAAUUGUAUUGAUUGCGACGCCUUGGACGUACAGGGGAAACUCUGUCCGUUCGGCGGUCUGUCGGUGUGCCGAAUCUGACGAAAUAGGCGGGGCUCGGGGCGUGACAGAUAUAGUGGGGACUUAAUUUUCCGCGAACACCGAACCGCUUAACUCCUCGCAUCGGCGAUACCUUUAGAAAUACGCGGUCUCCUACCGCGAACUCAAUGUCCUUUCGCCGCUUGUCGGCAUAACUCUUGUGCCGGGACUGCGCCGUCACCAACCUUUGUCCGGCAAGGCGGACUUUCUCCUCCGCCUCUGGCACCACGUCGGGGCCAAGAACCAUUUUCUCGCCCACGUCGCUCCAAUGUAUUGGCGAGCGACACUUCCUUCCGUAAAGGGCCUCGAAUGGCGCCAUCGCAAUACUUUCUUGAUAGCUAUUGUUAUAUGCGAAUUCCGCCAUCGGUAAAUGAUCGUGCCAUCCGCCCUUAUAGUCAAGUACACACGCUCGAAGCAUCUCCUCAAGUAUUUGAAUAGUCCUCUCCGAUUGACCGUCACUUUGAGGAUGGAAUGUCGUGCUAAAAUCGAGCCGUGUGCCCAAUGCAUCUUGCAAGCUCUUCCAAAAAUGAGAUGUGAACCUAGGGUCUCGAUCCGAUACAAUAGAUACCGGAACCCUGUGAAGCCUCACCACCUCGUCAACAUAGACUUGAGCCAACUUGUCUCCCGACCAAGUAGUGUGGAUCGGCAAAAAGUGUGCCGAUUUGGUCAACCGGUCCACAACUACCCAAAUCGCGUCGUGUCCACCUUGUGAUCUAGGCAAGCCUGUCACAAAAUCCAUUGCGAUAUUUUUUCAUUUCCACACGGGUAUUGGUAGAUUUUGUAACUUUCCCACUGGAAAUCGACGUUCCGCCUUAACUUGUUGGCACGUGAGGCACUGCGCCACGAACUUCCCUAUGUCUUUCUUCAUGCCCGGCCACCAAUAAUGUAACUUCAAGUCUCGAUAUAUUUUGGUGCCGCCCGGGUGUAUACUGUAGGGAGAUUGAUGCGCUUCUUGCAUAAUCGCCUUCCGAAGGUCGUCGUCCUUGGAUACGCACCAACGAUCUCGAUAUCGUAGUGUGCUGUCGGUUCCAAUGACGAAAUCAUCGGCAUUACCGCUCUCAACUUUACUCCGCACCUUUUGGAGAAAUUCAUCCGACGCUUGUAGUCCUUUAAUCUUCUCCAACAAGGUUGGCUGCACAACCAGGGUGGCAAGUGUUGCCGGCACCCCCGGCGCCACAACCUCCAGACCAAACCGUUGCAUCUCCCUUUGCAACGCCGGUUGGGGCGUAACUUGCGUCGCCAAAUUUUCCGCCGACUUUCUACUUAGAGCAUCGGCCACGACGUUUGCUUUCACGGGGUGGUAGAGGAUCGUGACAUCAUAAUCCUUGAGCAACUCUAACCACCGCCGCUGUCGCAAGUUUAACUCCUUUUGGGUGAACAAGUAUUUGAGACUCUUAUGAUCAGUGUAAAUCUCACAAUGUUCCCCAUAUAAGUAAUGCCUCCACAAUUUUAGCGUGAAUAUAACCGCCGCUAGCUCAAGGUCGUGAGUCGGGUAGUUCUUUUCAUAAUUCUUCAGUUGGCGCGAAGCAUAAGCUAUGACUGGGCCGUUUUGCAUUAAGACACACCCGAGUCCCAUGUACAAGGCAUCAUUGUACACGACAUAGCUCUCUCCCGGUGUCGGCAAGGCAAGCACGGGAGUAGAUGUUAAUCUAGUCUUUAGCUCUUCAAAGCUCCGCUCACACUCGNUCGCCACCCAUUGCCUCGACAAGGCGGCGAAGGUGUGGUGGAAGCGGUUGAAGCGAGAUCGACCCUCUGAUCUUCCACCAAUGCUUUGGGAGGAGUUCAAGAAAGAGAUAUUCGGAAACUACUUCCCCGACACCGAGAAGCGAAAAUUGAAGGAGAGGUUUCGCAAACUGAGACAGGGAGACCGUUCUGUGGCUGACUACGAGCAGGAGUUCUCCCACAUCAUAGACUGCGUCUCGGACGUGGUCAAGGACGACGCGGAUCGAGCCGAGUGGUUCUUGCGAGGACUUCGGCCGUGGAUUUAUAGGGUGGUGCAACUAUUUCAGCUCACAACUUUCGUCGAAGUUUUCAACAAGGCGCUGUGGGCGGAGCAUGGAGAUGCCCAUGUGUGGGAGGAGCGUGAGUUGUUGGCCGGAUCCCAAGACAAGGGGAAGAAGCGAUCGGGCGGCGGUUCGGGGGGACAAUCUAGUUCGAGGAGGCCCCCGAAGCAUUCGCGGUCGCAGUCGUGGGGCCGUGGGCCGCAGCGUUGCCCUAUCUGUGGAGAUCGAGGCCAUCGGGCACCGCAGUGUAGACAACGACAAGGACGGUGCUUUAAUUGUGGACAAGAGGGACAUAUCAGCCGCUAUUGUCCGGCAAGGGCCUCGUCUACCCCGUCGGUCGCAUCGGCUCUAGCGUCCUCGCCUUAUUAGGGAGGGGCCCCCUAUGUCCCCGUGUCAGCAGGACGCGCAUUGGCGCCGCGCCAGCCGGAGGUGACCCGAUCAGCGCCGAGCGGACGGGUAUUCGCCGCUCAGGCCCAAGCCGAGGAGCCUGCCCAAGCCGAGGAGCCUGAUGUUGUGGCAGGUAUGGUUCUAAUCAAUGGAGUUCGCUCCAGAGCUAUGUUCGAUACGGGUGCCACGCAUUCAUUUAUUAGUAGAGCAUUUGCACGCAUGCAUGACAUACCCAUAGAAGCAAGUGGCAAGUGGCGAGUCGAGGGUCCCGAGUUAGCAUUUAACACCUAUACGGAGUGCUCAUCGGUCCGGUGCAAGUGGGUGAUUAGAUAAUGCCUAUUCGGAUGUUGGAACUCACUAAACUGGAGGCGUACGACGUUAUUUUGGGCAUGGACUGGCUCUCGAAGUAUUAUGCCACGAUCGAUUGUAAGAAUAAAUUGAUCACCUUUCGGGAGCCCGGACAGAAGGAGUUCGUUUAUCGAGCUUGUCGGAGUUCUUGCUUCGUCGCGACAGUAUCGGCGACGAGAGCUAGGAAGUUGGUCAGCGGCGGUUGCGCGGCAUUUUUGGCGACCGUCGUGGAGGUGGACCGAGUGGUGCCGAAGUUAGAGGAUUUGUCGGUGGUGCGGGAAUUUUCGGAUGUAUUUCCCACGGAGUUACCGGGGAUGCCACCGGAUCGGGAGAUCGAGUUCGUUAUAGACUUGAUUCCCGGGACAGCGCCAAUCUCAAAGGCCCCAUACCGCAUGGCACCGGCAGAGUUAAGGGAAUUGAGGGAUCAGUUACAAGAUCUUCUCGACAAAGGGUUUAUCCGGCCGAGUGUAUCGCCGUGGGGAGCGCCGGUGUUGUUCGUGCGCAAGAAGGAUGGCUCGUUUCGACUCUGCGUGGAUUAUCGAGAGUUGAAUAAGGUCACAAUUAAGAAUAGGUACCCGUUACCCCGAAUUGAUGACUUGUUCGACCAAUUACAAGGGUCACGAGUGUACUCGAAGAUAGACCUACAAUCCGGCUACCAUCAGUUAAAGAUCAAGCCGGAGGAUAUCCAGAAGACCGCGUUUCGUACGCGUUAUGGACACUACGAGUACACGGUUAUGCCUUUCGGGCUCACUAAUGCCCCGGCUGCAUUCAUGGACCUGAUGAACCGUGUAUUCAAGGCGUGCUUGGACCGAUUCGUCGUGGUUUUCAUAGACGACAUCCUGGUCUAUUCGCGGAACGACGAAGAGCACGCGGAGCAUUUGCGGACGGUGCUUCAAAUCCUUCGGGAGGAGAAGCUAUUCGCAAAGCUGAAGAAGUGUGAUUUCUGGCUUCGAGAGGUUGCCUUCUUGGGGCAUGUAAUUUCCGAGGGCGGUGUUUCGGUUGACCCGAGGAAAGUCGAAGCGGUCGAGAAUUGGCCACGCCCGACGAACGUCACGGAGGUCCGAAGCUUUGUGGGCUUAGCGGGCUAUUAUCGACGGUUUGUGGAGGGCUUUUCGAAGAUUGUAACUCCACUUACCGGUCUGACACAGAAGGGCGUCAAGUUCAUUUGGAGCGACGAGUGUGAUCGAAGCUUCAACGAGUUGAAGAAAAGAUUGACGUCGGCUCCAAUACUCGCCUUACCGGUGCAGGGCGAGGACUUUGUGGUUUAUAGCGACGCAUCCUAUCUGGGCUUGGGGUGUGUUCUGAUGCAAGGCGGGAGGGUGAUAGCUUAUGCAUCCCGUCAGCUGAAAGAUCACGAGAAGAAUUACCCCAUUCAUGACUUGGAGUUGGCCGCGGUGAUCUUCGCGCUGAAGUUGUGGAGGCACUACUUAUACGGUGCACAUUGCGAGAUCUACACCGACCACAAAAGUCUUAAGUACCUGUUUACCCAGAAGGAGCUAAACAUGCGGCAGCGGCGGUGGCUAGAACUAUUAAAGGACUAUGAUGUCGAUAUUCUCUACCACCCCGGCAAAGCAAAUGUGGUCGUGGACGCACUUAGUAGGAAGUCGGCGAAGAACCUCGCUUUCGAUGUUACCCGGCAAACACCCCUAGGGCUAGAAAUGGAGCGGCUGGACCUUGAAGUGGUCGCUCCCGAGGUUCCGGCUCAGCUGAUGGCACUCGUCAUUCAACCGACCUUAUUGGAGAGGAUCAAGAAAUUGCAACCUGCAGAUCCGAGUCUCCAGAAGGUGCGGCGUAAUAUCGAGGAGGGACGAGAUGGCGAUUUUAGUGUGGACGCCGGUGGCGCGCUUUGGUUUCGAAACCGGUGGUGUGUGCCCGAGGAUGAAGGGCUUCGCGAGUUGAUUUUGCAAGAAGCACACCGAUCUCCAUACGCGGAUCACCCGGGCGGCACCAAAAUGUAUCAUGAGUUGAGGGCACUCUAUUGGUGGCCGGGGAUGAAGGCUGAUAUUGGGCGCUUCGUGGCAAAGUGCUUGACUUGUCAGCAAGUAAAGGCGGAGCGCCGGUUUCCAGCGGGAAAGCUUCAAAGUUUACCUAUUCCCGUCUGGAAAUGGGAGGACAUAUCUAUGGAUUUCCUCGUUGGCUUACCUUGCUCGACAGGGGGCCACGACGCAAUCUGGGUGAUCGUGGAUCGCUUGACCAAGUCAGCACACUUUCUACCGAUCCACACCACCUGGGCGGGAGAUAAAUUGGCGCAGGUGUAUCUAGACGAGGUAGUGAGGUUGCAUGGGGUGCCGAAGUCGAUUGUGUCGGAUAGAGACCCCAAGUUUACUUCGCAUUUUUGGAAAAGCCUGCAGGAGGCCCUUGGCACGCGGCUCGAUUUCAGCACUGCAUUUCAUCCCCAGACAGAUGGACAGACUGAAAGAACCAUUCAGACUCUGGAGGAUAUGUUGCGAGCGUGUGCCAUCGACUACAAAGGAGGUUGGUGUAAGUAUUUGCCAAUGGCCGAGUUCGCCUACAACAAUAGUUAUCACGCUAGUGUGGAGAUGGCACCGUUCGAAGCUCUUUAUGGGCGGAAGUGCCGCUCUCCCAUUUAUUGGAGUGACGUGGGCGAGCGCACUGAAUUUGGCCCUGAUGUGCUGCGAGAGGCGGAAGAAAAGGUCCGCUUUGCUCGCAAACAAUUACUCACGGCGCAGUCUCGACAACAGAGCUAUGCGGAUAGGCGCCGACGAGAUCUAGAGUUUACGGUGGGCGACCGUGUCUUCUUGAAGGUCUCGCCUAUGAGGGGUGUAAGGCGGUUUGGAGUUCGGGGAAAGUUGAGUCCCCGAUAUAUUGGCCCCUAUGAAAUCCUGGAGCGGAUUGGGACGGUGGCAUAUCGGCUCGCGUUGCCGCCGAAGCUUGCGGACGUGCACAACGUAUUCCACGUCUCCAAUCUUCGCAAAUACAUCCCUGAUCCCGAGCAUGCGAUGUUAUAUGAACCGCCGGAACUUCAGAAGGACCUGAGCUACGAGGAAUUCCCGGUGGCAAUUACCGCUCGUGAAGUGCGCCAGUUAAGGAAUCGGGAAAUUCCUUAUGUCCGAGUCCGGUGGAGCAAUCAUGAUGAUCGUGAAGCCACCUGGGAGCUUGAGCAGGAGAUGAAGGCGAAUCAUCCUCGCCUGUUCGAAGGGUAAAUUGAGGUAUAAAUUUAGAAUUUGAAAUUCUAAUCAAGUUUUGGAGUAUUGAAUUCGUUUCGAGGACAAAAAUCUUUUAAGGUGGGAAGGAUGUAAGGAAGUGAAUUCUCGAAACUCGAGGAUUAGACUUCGACCAGAAUCGACUAGUUGUCGAGUGCGUAGGCUUCGGAAAGUCCGAAGGUGUUUAUAAUGCAUAAAGUGCAUUAAAGAAGGGUCCGCGGGAGCACCAGUGCAAAACCUGCACUGGAGCAGAAAUGCUCUCGGGGACCGGUCCCUGGCAGGGAGGGACCGGUUCCAUCAGGCUGGGAUGCGGAGGUCUCUGAUGAGACCGGUCCCUGAUGGGCAGGGACCGGUUCACGAACGUUGGCCCAGCGAAAAUAGCUGAAAUUUGGCUAAGUCCCGAAAACUCAGCUAUCGGGAACCGGUCUCUCGGACAAGGACCGGUCUCCCGGGGACCGGUCUCUCAAGCAAGAACCGGUUCCCGAACGCGAAAAUCCCUCUGCUCGAUAUGGCAGCCUUCGGGGACCGGUCUUCCCGAGUUGGGACCGGUCCCUCACUGCGAAAAUGCCCAGAGAGGGCUAGUUCAGAGGGUGAAAAGUUGAGGGGGCUAUUUGCAAAAUGGCCUUUAUUAGAGGUGGGGGACCUCUCUCCCUCCCUCUCAGCUGCUCUCUCUCUCUCUCUUUCACACUCUUUCCCUCUCUCUCUCUAGGAAAGAAGAAGAAGAAGAAGAAGGAAAAGAAAAGAAAGAGAAGAAGAAGAAGAAGAAGUAGAAGGAGAAGUCAGAGAAGAAGAAGAAGAAGGUCUUCUUCCCUCUCUCCUUCCACCUAGGGCAAGCUUGGAGCUUGGCUUAGAGGUAAGCUCCAAACCCACUCAUGGUAGAUUUCUUAGGGUUGGGUUUUGUUGCUUAGAAUUGGUUCAAAUGGAACCUAUUAGGGAUAAAUAGAAGGUCCGAGCUCGAAAUCGAAGCUCGCACCACGGAUUUCUCCGUUGUUGAGACCUAGGGCUUAGAAAUGGGGAUUUUUGAAAUCUUUGGUUUUGAUCUAUUUUAAUAGGUCGUAAACCCAAUUGCUAGGUCCCGGAACGCGUCGGCGAAGUCGGUUUCUCGAUCCGACGAGCGGGUGCGGAGAUAUCGCCGAAUCGGGUACUUGAGGGCUCGCUUCGCCCCGAGGAGUUGAAGCGGCGUGCGACGACCGCAGUGUCAAGUUUUCUACCAUCACGGCAUCGCCAAGAGGUGGGUGGUGUCCAUCCCGAAGCAAUCGGGCUCCCUUCUAUGUCUUAGUACACGUCGAUUCUUGCAUCUUGUAUUAUUGCAUUAUAGGAUAAGUAUGCAUUGCCUUUCCUUAUGUUUUUCCUUGAUGAUAUCGUAGCGUACAUUGGAUAUUUGAUAUAUUGGAUUGAUAAGGAUUGGGUCGAGAUUGUGAAUCCUAUAAUGUAGAGAAAAUGAUGAACUAUGAACGAGUGACAUCUAGUCAAUAGUAAACUAUGAACGAGUGGCAUCUAGUUGGUAGUAAACAAAAGAACGAGUGACAUAUGUGAGUCGUAAUGUAUAUGAAACCUAUGGACUAUGUGAUGAUUGUGACCCUAGAGGACAGGGUAUCCUCGAGCUUAGAGGAUUGGAUCAUGCUCACGGUCUGUUUAAAUCUUGUGUUGGAAGCCCCACACAAGUAGUGCGCUCUGGAUGUUGGUCACGCCAGGGAUUGCCUAUUUGGCCCCGCCAGACGGUCUCAGGUCCGUAGUGUGAGUUAAUUCUCCCUAUGUGUCGAGAUGGCUAGUGAGCUGUAGGCGAGCCUUCGGGUAAGCCAUGAGAUUAAUGAACAAGUAUAUGAGGUUAAUGAACGAGUGAAUAACUUCACCCUUGGACAUGAUAACAGGUUAGUUGCUUACCUAUUUCAUUGGACAUGCAUUCAUAUAUUUAUGAUUGGGCAUAGUAGCGUAGCUUCAUUUCCGCCAUUUACAGCUUUUCUUAUUAUCUAUCUAUUGGUAUAUCUGCUCAUGCCCGCUUGGACCUAGUGGGGAGAUCGGUGGAGUCGGCGGCCGAACCCACUGGGAACUAAGGAAGUUAGUUCUCACCCCCAUUUUACCACAGGUUCCAGUUCGGGUGUCCCCGGUGAGCGUGAGGAUCGCGGUAAGGGCCCGGCGCUCUAGUCGCAUUAGCUACCUCCUUUUCUUGCAUUAGCCGUCACCUUUUUUUUGUAUCUGAGAGUAGAUGUUGUAUAGGGUGAGGUUCGAGUGCUUGUAUUUAUGUUUUGGAAGAAUGUAAAAGAUGUAAUUACAUGUAUAUAUUAUGUCGAAUGAAUGUAAUAGAUAUCUCUUCUCUCUUUAUGUACUUGUAUAUGUUUUAUACUUGUAUCUUGCUCUCGUCUUGUUGCACUGGUGGUGCUUUUGAUCAUGUAUUCAUGAAUUGAUUCCUGGGUAAAUUCUUAUACAUGGUCCGUUAGUUAGCCUUGGACGGACAGGGGCGGUCCUGUCCGUUCGGCGUCUGUUCGACGCGCCCGGGCCGAACCAAAUUGGUAGCGGUCCCGGGGCGUGACAUAAAUGCUCUUCGUGUUCUUCUUCGGUCCGAGAAUAUACCAAUACGUCGUCAAUGAAUACUACUGUCACGCCCCAAUCCCCGCCAAUUUAGUCGGGUUCGGGUCACGUCAACAGACGCCGAACGGACAGAGCCUCCCCUGUCUACCCAAGGCUCCAACCACAAGUAUAAAUAGGCAAUCAACAAGUGGUUUGCAUAUUUAAUACAAGGCUUGCACGAGGGCAAGCACAACGGAAGCGAAAGCUCUAAGCUAAAUAUACAGCAUACAGGAUAUUUGAUUUCAUUUAAACCAAAUUUAAGUAAACAAAGCUAUUACAUUCCAUUCAACCAUCAUAUCUCUUUACAUUUAGUCAUCCACCAAAUACAUUAUUGUUUACAACUUUACAUCUUUAAUUCAACAAAAUAAAGCUGAUACAUGUACACCAAAAGGGAAAUGACUACAAAAUGUAAUGCAACUCCGGUGGCCGCUACCUACGGCGCUAAACCCUUGCCUCGGUCCUCCGCCACCCCGCUCGUGCUAGGUCCUGUAGGGUUAGUGGUGUGAGAACUACAACGAAGUUCCCAGUGGGCUCGGCAUCCGACCUCGCCGACUUACCUACUAGAUCUAUCUAGGUCUAAGUAUUUCAAGGAAAGAAAAGUAACCGAUACUAAUGCAUCUAAUACUAUGCCUGCAAAGGAAUGUCAGUGGAUACAGAUAAUCAUCAACAUAUGGAAUGCAUGUAUGCGUGUUCCUUUGUAUUACUUUAUCUUUCUUACCCAAUCUUACCGGUUAACUUUGUUAACCCCAAUAGCUCACCAUACCAUCUCCCGUCUACCGGGGGAGGCUUUAAGCACAACCACCCGAGGGAUCGUCGAUGGGAUUCUUCCCGUUGGUGUCUACACUUCGAAGUACACCACUUGAGGGGGAGCGACCUCCCUCAAGCCCAAGUUCAUGUGAGCCUCGAUCCAAUCCUCAAACUGAGGAUACAUAGUCACUAGUCAUGAUGCCACUCUCAUGGUGGGUUUUCUACCUAUUUAUUCAUGCCACCUUCUAGUCAUUUCUAUCAAUGCCAAUCUUGUCUCUAUAGUCAAUGUCACCUUUGUUUACUAUAGUCAAGUCCGAGUCCCACAUUCACACAUUUCUCGGGUUCAAUCAUACAUGUCCAUUUCGGUUCUUGUUCAAUCACUAUGUUCGUCUACGUUAGAAGCAUAAUAUUGUAAUUCUAACCUCUAGCCACAUGUAAGAUUACCCUACUAUGCAUGAAUGGCUAUAUAAUAACAUGCUCAACGAAAGUGAAACAGAUAUAGAAGGGAAUGCCAAACGAUUUCCGGCGUGCACCGCCCCAACCAUCUGAAGAACUACGUGUGGUUAUUAUAUUGAGGUCUUCCCUGGAUUUUACGAAAGCCGCCUCCGCCUAUAAUCAAAACGUGCUAUAUUAGGCCUCAAUGUAUAGACUAACUCAACAUUUACGUAAUGUUAAACUGGAGUUUGCCCGAACAGUGUUAGGUACCCCCAAUUAGGCUGUUCUACGGGGUCAAUUUGUCCCCGACAAUUUAGGCAAAAGCCCCAAAUUCAAGCGCCAAUAUUGUCAUUUAGGGUUUUCCCAUGAAUCGAUCCCAACCUUAAGCAACAAUAGCUUAGGAUCAACUAAGAAGCAUCCUAGUAAGGUUUCUAGACCCUUAGUCCUGGAACACCCACGUUCGAGAACCGGUCCCUGGUCGGGGAGACCGGUCCCCGAAGGCGAAAAAUGCCCAGUCCGGGCAGAUCAAUGGGAAACAAGUGGAGGGGCUUAAGUGCAAUUAUUACAACACUUUAUAUGGUCACCCCUCUCUCUCCCACAGCCAUUUUCACCCUUCUCACCCAUUUCCUCUCUUUCUCUCUCUAGAACUCCUCUAGGGCUUGAAGAAGAAGAAGAAGAACUUGGAGGAGAAGGUGGAUUUGGUGCUUUGGUGGGUUCUACAAGCUCUCCUACAAGAAGGACUUGGAGGGGCUUGGGCUAAGGUGAGUUUUUGGUAGAAAUGAGUCUAGGGCUUGAUUUUAAUCCCUAUGUUUUGGAGCUUUGGGUUGUUUUUGGCCAUGGGAGCCUUCUAUAAGCCUUGAACUCCAUGGAACCCAUGAGAUCUCAAGUGCUCUCAUGGUGGUUGGGUAGGGUUUGCCAUAGAAGCCCUAGGGUUGGUUUCAAAUUUUCGAGUUUUUCAGCUGUUGCGCAGCGAGGGACCGGUCUGCCCGUCAAGGACCGGUCUCCCGAGGACCGGUCUCACCACCAGGGACCGGUUGCCUCAGGACUUUCUGGCAGGCUAUGCGUACGGGGACCGAUCUCUCAGGACCGGUCUCUUCUUCAGGGACCAGUCCCCGAGAGCUCAAAAUCUGGGACUUAGCCAGAUUUUCGGAUCUGCUCUUUCGGGUCCCUUUAGCUUCAUUUAUGGACUCUAAUACACUUAGGGUCCACUUUAACUUGUUCCACUCCAGGUUUCGCUCGUUUUGACGAAACUCGGCACGUCUUACAAGGGACGUGGUAUGUUACAUUCUCCACCCCUAAAAUUUAGUUUCGUCCGCGAAACUACGUAUUCGGAAUCCAUACCUCAAUUCGACUCGUCGAAGAGUUGAGGGUGGCGCUCCCGCAUCUCGCUCUCGAGUUCCCAAGUCUCCUCCCGAUCACCGUGCUCACUCCAAUGAAUUUUAACAUAGGGAAUCUCCCGGUUCCUUAACUUUCUCACUUCCCGAUCCACGAUGUAAGCCGGGAACUCCUCAUAAGUCAUAUCCUCUUGGAGCUCUAUAGGUAUAUAAGUUCCCUCAUAAGUCAUAUCCUCUUGGAGCUCUAUAGGUAUAUACGAGAUAAUAUGAUCCGGGUCGUAGACAUACUUGCGGAGUUGGGAUACAUGGAAUACGUCAUGCACUCCCGCAAGCCUCAGUGGUAAUGCCAACUUGUAGGCUACCACGCCAACUCGUUCCAAAAUCUCGAAGGGUCCGAUAUAGCAGGGACUUAGCUUCCCGCGAACACCAAACCACUUAACUCCUCGCAUCGGCGAUACCUUUAGAAAUACGCGGUCUCCUACCGCGAACUCAAUAUCCUUUCGCCGCUUGUCGGCAUAACUCUUGUGCCUUGAUUGCGCCGUCACCAAUCUUUGUCGAGCAAGGCGGACCUUCUCUUCCGCCUCUCGCACUACAUCCGGGCCAAGAACCAUCUUUUCGCCCACCUCGCUCCAGUGUAUUGGCGAGCGACAUUUCCUUCCAUACAGGGCCUCGAAUGGCGCCAUCGCAAUGCUUUCUUGAUAGCUAUUGUUGUAUGCGAAUUCCGCCAUCGGUAAGUGAUCGUGCCAUCCGUCCUUAUAAUCAAGUACACACGCUCGAAGCAUAUCCUCAAGUAUUUGAAUCGUCAUUUCCGAUUGACCGUCACUUUGAGGAUGGAAUGCUGUACUAAAAUCGAGCCGCGUGCCUAAUGCAUCCUGUAAGCUCUUCCAAAAAUGCGAUGUGAACUUAGGGUCCCGAUCCGAUACAAUAGAUACCGGAACCCCGUGAAGUCUCACAACCUCAUCAAUAUAGGCUUGAGCUAACUUGUCUCCCGACCAAGUAGUGUGGAUCGGCAAAAAGUGUGCCGAUUUUGUCAACUGGUCCACAACUACCCAUAUCGCGUCGUGUCCACCUUGCGACCUAGGCAGACUUGUUACGAAGUCCAUUGCAAUAUUUUCCCAUUUCCACACGGGUAUUGGUAGACUCUGCAACUUGCCCGCUGGGAAUCGACGCUCCGCCUUCACUUGUUGGCACGUGAGAUAUUGCGCCACGAACUCCCCUAUAUCUCUCUUCAUGCCCGGCCACCAAUAAUGCAAUUUCAAAUCUUGAUACAUUUUGGUGCCGCCCGGGUGGAUGCUAUAGGGAGAUUGAUGCGCUUCUUGCAUAAUCGCCCUCCGAAGAUCGUCGUCCUUGGGCACGCACCAACGACCCCGAUAUCGUAGUGCGCCGUCGGUUCCAAUGCCAUAAUCAUCGGCACUACCGCUUUCAACCUUGCCCCGCACCUUUUGGAGAAACUCAUCCAAUGCUUGUAAUUCUUUAAUUUUCUCCAACAGAGUUGGUUGCACAACUAGGGUGGCAAGGGUUGCCGGCACUCCCGGCACCACAACUUCUAGUCCCAACCGUUGCAUCUCCUUCUACAAUGUCGGUUGAGGCGUAAUCUCCGCCGCCAAAUUUUCCGCCGACUUUCUACUUAGAGCAUCGGCCACGACGUUCGCUUUUCCGGGGUGGUAGAGAAUCGUGACGUCAUAAUCUUUAAGCAACUCUAACCACCGCCGCUGUCGCAAGUUCAGCUCCUUUUGGGUGAACAAAUAUUUGAGACUCUUAUGAUCAGUGUAGAUCUCACAAUGUUCCCCAUACAAGUAAUGCCUCCACAGUUUUAGCGCGAAAACAACCGCCGCUAGCUCAAGAUCGUGAGUCGGGUAGUUCUUUUCAUAACUCUUCAACUGGCGCGAAGCAUAAGCUAUGACUCGGCCGUUUUGCAUUAAGACACACCCGAGACCGAUGUAUGAGGCAUCACUGUAUACGACAUAGUUUUCUCCCGGCGUAGGCAAAGCAAGCACUGGAGUAGACGUCAGUCUAGUCUUUAGCUCCUCAAAACUCCGCUCAUACUCGGGGCUCCACACAAACUUCACCCCUUUGUGCGUAAGACGCGUUAGAGGAGUUGUUAUCUUAGCAAUCCCUUCAAUGAACCGCCGGUAAUAGCCCGCAAGUCCAAGGAAGCUACGAAUUUCUGCUACACUUGUCGGGCGAGGCCAAUCUUUAAUCGCCUCAACUUUCUUUGAGUCCACCGAGAUGCCAUCUCAGGAUACAACGUGGCCCAAGAAGGUGACCUCCGAAAGCCAAAACUCGCAUUUCUUUAGUUUUGCGUAAUGCUUUUUCUUCCGGAGUAUCCCCAACACGAGUCUUAGAUGCUCCUCGUGUUCUUCUUCGGUCCGAGAAUAUACCAAUACGUCGUCAAUGAAAAUCACGACGCACCGGUCCAAUAGCGGACGAAAAAUCCGAUUCAUCAGGUCCAUAAAUGCCGCCGGUGCAUUAGUGAGCCCGAAUGGCAUGACCGUAAACUCAUAAUGGCCAUACCGCGUACGGUACGCCGUUUUGUGCACAUCUUUGGGUCGUAUCUUCAGUUGAUGAUACCCCGACUGCAGAUCGAUCUUAGUGUAUACCCUUGACCCUUGCAACUGGUCGAACAGGUCAUGAAUUCUUGGCAACGGGUAUUUGUUCUUGAUCGUCACUCUAUUCAGCUCGCGGUAAUCAACGCAGAGCCGGAGUGUUCCGUCUUUCUUCUUUACAAAUAGCACGGGAGCUCCCCACGGGGACACGCUCGGCUGCACGAAGCCCUUAUCGAGCAAAUCUUGUAACUGAGCUUUCAACUCUUUUAGCUCCAUCGGUGCCAUUCUGUACGGAGCCUUCAAAAUUGGCGCCGGCCCGGGAUUCAAGUCGAUAACAAACUCGACUUCCCGAUCCGGGGGUAGUCCCGGUAACUCCGCUGGGAAUACAUCCGGAUACUCCCGCACAACUCGAAUACUCUUCAGUUCCGGGUAUUCCUUUCGAGGGUCUACGAUGGUCGCCAAAUAAGCCUUACAACCACCUUUAAUCAUCCUUUUUGCCCUCACCGUCGAUAUAGUUGCUGCGAAGCGUUUGCCCUUGCACGCCUGAUAGACAAACUCCUCUUGGUUGGGUUCACGGAACGUGAUCACCCUUCUUUCGAAAUCUAUAACCGCGUAGUACUUGGAGAGCCAAUUGAUCUCCAAGAUUACCUCGAAUCCCCACAUUUCUUUCAACACUAGGAGGUCGAUCGGCAUAAUCCAAUCACCUAUUUGCACUGGGCAGUCCAAGCACUCAUCAUAGACGUCGAUCGAGUGCUCGGGAGUGUUCACCGACCAAUACUCCUCAUUAUGAGUGAUCUCUAUAUUAUGAGCUUGUGCAAAUGAUGCUAAUAUGAAUGAAUGAGAUGCACCUGUAUCAAAUAUGGCUCUAGCCCUAGUGCCUCUGAUCAGAAUAAUACCUGCCACGACGUCGUCGGGAACAAUGAUUGGUGGCUCCUCCACCUGAGUGGCAAAUACCCGCCCACUAGGUGCUCGAGAGGCCUCCUGCUGACGAGGCGUCGACGAUCGUCCAGUAGAUGUCGCGGGUGGCAGUCCCGCCAGCUGUCGCUGAGUGUACUGGACCGAGGCUGACGACGGGGCUGGGGAUGCGCCGCCCGGGCACUCCCAACUCAUGUGUCCCACAGAGCCACACCGAUAACAUCUCCCGUCGCGCUGGGAACAGUCCCUGGGCCUAUGGUUCCCGCCGCAAAUAACACACAGGAAGGAAGUCAUCUGGCUCCUGCCUCCCCGCCACUGCGGUCGCUGAGGUCGCGGGGGUCGCUUAGAACUCGACUGAUGACGGCGGUUGAUGGUUGCCGCCGUAAAUAACACAACGAGAUGGCCUCCAACCCCUCGACUGCUGUCAGGAAUACCGAGGGGGUUUCUUAGCGUUUGGCCGGCCCUCAGUGCCAUCCGCCGUCCGCUUCUUGCUCUUCUCCUAGGUCUCGGCUGCGGACUCGCGCUCCUCGCGCUCGUGGGCAUAACCAUGCUCCGCCCACAAAGCCCGAUCAAAGACCUCCGCAAAGGUCGUGAGCUUGAGGAUCUGCACGGCCCUAUGAAUCCCCGGCCGCAAUCCUCGCAGGAACCAGUCUGCUCAGUCCCGGUCAUCCCUAACAACCUCCGGGACGCAGUCAAUGAGGUGGGAGAACUCCUGCUCGUAGUCUGCCACCGAGCGAUCCCCUUGCCUCAACUUGCGGAAUUUCUCUUGCAGCUUCCGCUUCACCGUAUCGGGGAAGUAGUUGGCGAACACCGCCCUCCGAAACUCCUCCCACAACAUGGGCGGAAGAUCGGAUGAUCGAAAGGUCUCGCCUAACCCGCUUCCACAACACCUUCGCCGCCUUCUCGAGACAAUGUGUGGCGAGGUACACCUUGUCCUUCUCCAAGGUGUUAAGAUCCUCGAAAAGUGUUUCCAUGGACUCGAUCCAUGACUCCACCACCGCCGGUUCCAGCACUCCCCCUUCAAAGGUAGGUGGGUUGAACUUCUGAAACUGAAUGAGAGCCGCCAACGCGCGCUCCCGCUCCGCCUCCUCUGCCGCACUAUCGGGGUUUGAGGUCCCUGAUCCAGCCGGCACUAUCGUGACUAGCACGGUCGCCGCGGCCACACCCUCGGCCGCACUCGGCACCACUGCAGGAGGCAUAGGGUGCACGGCCUCCACGGGCGCCGCUGCCGCCGCCUGCUAUCGUUCCAAGGCCUCCUGGAGCCUUUGGAUUUGCUCCCCUUGGCGCUGAACGGAUUCUGCCUGGCGCUAAACGGAUUUCGCCUGCUGCCGCACUACGCCAAUAAGCGCGGCCAUCUGCUCCCGAAGCUCCCCGUCGCCACCUGCUCCGGGUUGCACGGGAGCCGUACUUGACUCCUCGGCCAUAGACCUCGUCCGCGGUCGACCACGAGGCAACUUAGGUCGUCCACGAGGCGGCAUUGCUUCCUGAAAUGAAGCAACUCACGUUAGUUACUUAGACAACAUACUCGAUUAUACCCAAUCCGGCGAAAGCAUAUAAGUGUAUUCAUUUUCAUUCCAAAGCGUCAUGUUGUCGGCCGCCGAUCACAACACAAGGAAAAGAAAACAAAUAACAACUUAAGUUUAGUCCCUAACCACAUUAGAGACAUAAUUACACCGACCCAAUCCAUGCCUUCGCUAUAACUUGUUCAACGCCGCUCACGUUUCCUAGAUCCUUAAGGUUUUCCAUUCCUAAGGGUCUCUAGGUUCAUCCUAUGCUUUCACUUUUGGCUCUUUUACGCUCUGAUACUAUCUUAUCUGUCACACCCCGAGCCCGAUCCUUUUGGCCGGUUCGAGAGCGUCAACAGACGCCGAACGGACAGAGCCUCCCCUAUCUGCCCAAGACUCAACAACAAGUAUCAAUAGAGUAUAAAUUUGUAUAAGCGGAAGUAUACACAAUGGCUUGCACGAGGGCAAGCAAUACCCAAUAGUGAAAGUAAAUAACUACACAUAGAAAAUUAAUUACAAUUUGCAUCAUUUCUUUUUACAUCCCAAUUUUUCAAAAUAUAACAUUGAUAUUAAAUGAAUUCUUUUACAUCAUUCAUGUCCUUUCGUUUAACAACUAUAAUCAUCAAAGUACAAAAGAUGAUAUAUAAAAAGGGGUAUGCAACUAUGAAAUGAAGCAUCUCGGGCGGUCUCUACCUAGGGCGCGAUGCCCUUACCACGGUCGUCUGCCGGCUCGCUCGGUCCCGGCUCUGUGGAAAUAGGGGUGUGAGAACUACAACAAAGUUCUCAGUGGGUUCGGCAACCAACCACGCCGACUAUCCCACUAGGUCUAAUCAGGCAUAAUAGAAUAAAGGAAGGAAAGUAACCAACUAACAAAUGCAACUAAUAUGCCUGAACAUUAUAAAAUGCGAUGCUCAAUAUAAUGCUCAUGAUGAAUGCAAGAUCACCAUUACUUUACCCAAUCUCUUGGCUAACCCAUAGGUUUCGCCCUCAACAAACUCACCAACCUAAAAUCCUAUUUAACCGAGGAGAUACCCGCUACGACCCGAUAGGACCGUCCUCUGGGGAGAUACCCGCUACGACCCAGUGAUGUCGACUCCGGAGCACAUCGCCCGAGGGGGAGCUACCACCCUCGAGCAAGGACUAAAGGUGAGUACGAUCAAUCCUACAUUGAGGAUUCCAAGUUCAAUCCAUUGCUUAACUUUAAGGAAGACCAUGCUCAAAUGACUUCGAACUCUAAGGUUGAAAUGUCAUAAUGUCCCAAUCAUUCUUUUCUUUGCAUUCUUUACUAUCACUAGUGUCAUAUACACUACCAAGUUUUGUACUCAUGCCACACUUGUUUUCUAAGUGCUAUGUUCUUGUUCUCAUGCCAAAUGCCACACUUAUUUUCUAAGUGUUUUAGGCUCAUUAAUGUCACUCACUAGAUCUAUGUCCAUGUGUCAUUUUUGUUCACUAACCCUUCUAGGUUCUUGUCACUUGUCAUGCAUAAAUAGGAUUAUCAUUCUCAUAUUUUUACAAGUAUUUCAUACGAAAUUAAUUUCACAAUCAUGCAAUAAGACUCACAAUUAACCCUACUAUGCAAUAUGCUAAAUAUAUACAUAUAUGUUCAAACAUGACACUUUAGACAUAAAGAGAUUUCCGAGGUCCUUGGAAUACACCACCCACCUCAAGUGGUCGUGUAAGUGAAGAAUACAACGACUCCCGAACUUUACAAAAGCCGCUUCCGCGUCCUAUAACCAAUUAGUGCCAUAUUAGGCCUUUUGUGCAUGAACCAUAGUUAAACAUUUUUGUAACGUCGAACGAAGUUGUCCAACGCGUCGAGGACACCCCCAAUUAGGUUUCUACAAGGUCAAUUCGCCUUAGAAACACUCGGAGGCAAAAGCUCCAAAUUUGGUACCCUAACCAAACCCAUUGCUAAACCCUAGGUUUUGAUCUCUAAAACAAGUAAAAGAGAGCUUGUCUAAUCUCUAGAAGCUCAUUUAGAACCAACCCAAGCAUCUCUAGGGCUUAAAAUGCAAACCCUAGAAAUCUCCCAUUAGAUCACCAUGAAGAAAACUAGGGUUUUCAUAGUAUUCAAAGCUCUACUACUCUUCUAAAGCCUCUAAAGAGACCAAAACUCCAAAAUCUAAGGUUAAUCUCCAAACCUUAGAACUCUACAUGCUAAAAACUUACCUUGGCCCAAGUUCUAGCAAGCUCCUUCUUGUUCGAGAGCUUCUAGGACCACCAAAGCCACCAAAAUCCACUUCUCCAAGCUCUUCUCCACCUUCUCCAAGCUCUAGGUGUGAGAUAUUGAACUUGAUGGUUUGUGGCUAACUUUGGCCAAAUGGACCAAAGUGGGCAAUUGAACGGUUUGGACAAGUCCCAUUCGGUAUUCCAACAAGUUUGGAAGAGCAAAAAUGAGUUCCAAAGGAGUUGGAAUAAUUUUGACAUCGAUCGGCGCGAAGUAGAGCCGAAGAGAAGUGAAAUCAGCAUUCUAGAGCUGUUGUACCGGCACAAGAGUGAUGGCUGUACCGAUACAACCAUCGCAGCUCUCGGAUUGGGGGGCUGCCAGGCCUUGUGCCGGUACAAGGGGGCCUUGUACCGGUACAAGCCCUGCGCAACCGAGAAACCGAGCUCUCGGGUUGGAGGCUGCCAGACCUUGUAUCGGUACAAGGGGGUCUUGUACCGGUACAAGCCCUGCGCAACCGAGAAACCGAGCCUUGGGUUGGGCUGUCUGCCAGGCCUUGUACCGGUACAAGAACCCGUGUACCGGUACAAGGGACCCGAAACUGCAGGUCAAGUUGGAAAAUUAGAUUUUUGAGGGGGCUUUUGGGAUUUUGUUACAUUAGAGGGUUAUAAUACCUCUCUCUCUCAGCUUCCCUCUCACUCUUAGCUUCUCUCUCUCCCUCUCACAUUGCUCUCUCUCUCUCUAAACCGAAAAGGGAAGAAGAAGAAGAAAAGAAGGAGAGAAAGAAGAAGAAGAAAAGAAGGAAAGGAAGGAGAAGAUCAAGGAGAAGAAGAAGAGGCUUCUCUCCCUCCUCUUCCUCAAGCUAGGGCUUGCUUUGGAGCAAACCCUAGAGGUAAGCCUCAACCCUAACUUGUGAUUUCUAGGGUUUGGGAGGUUUUUGUUGCUUUUAAUGGUUCAAAUGGAACCUAAUGAGUUUAGAGGACAUGGAUCUUGCUCACAAUGAAGCUAGAAACCAAGGUUUCCCAUGGGUGCUAAACCUAGGGUUGGUUUUGGCGGCUUUUGGAAAUAUUGGGUUUUGAUCUAUUUUGAUGGGUCGGAAACCUAAUUGUUAUGCUCCCAAACGCGUAGGCGAAGACGGUUCGUCGAUCCGUUGAGUGAGCGCGGAGAUAUUGCCAUUUUGGUUGCUCUAGGAUUCGUUUUGAUCCGAGGUGUUGAAGCGGCGCACGUGGAUUUUGACGCCGAGUUUCUUAGCUUUUCGGCACUACCACAAGGUGGGUGGUGACCUUCCCGAAGUCGCGGGGCUACGUUCUAUGUCCAAGUUUAAUGUUGAUCAAAUUGCAUCUUAUUCAUGUUGCAUAUAGGGUUAGAAAAUGAUUGUUGUUGCUUAAAUUUGCAUACUAGUUGCUUUAUAUCUUGUUGAUUGAUUCAUGAUCUAGUAUGCAUGAAAACUACAUGAUGAAAACCUAGACCCUAUAUGUGAUGGUUAAUGUUUAUGAGAUUAAAGAACUAGUAUGAUGUAACUAGUGUUGAAAAUGAGUCUAAAUGACGAGUGGCAUCUAGUUAGAAAACUAUGACAAGUGGCAUCUAGUUAUAGAAAACUAUGAUGAAGGACACAUGGUUAUUGAUAAUUUUGAUAUGAGAACCUUAGUGUAGUUGAGACACUAUGAGAUUGGGUACAAGAACACCUUGAUUCCAUGAUGAGAUUACCCUUAGAGAGUAAGUUGCUGUUGUUCGUGAGAUGGUUCAUGCUCACAUAGCCUAUCUGCGCUUGGAGGGGUCGCUCCCCGCAAGCUGUGCACUCCGGAGGUUGGUCACUAGAGGGACAGUCAGUGUGCUGUCUGGACGGUCUGUGUGCUGUCCGCAGGCGGUCUCGGGAGUAGUUCAGUGAGACUUUCCCUAUGAGACUUACACGUGAGUUAUGCUUGUGAACUUCGAGUUCACCAUGAGAUUGGGAAACUUAUUGAGUCACACUCAUUACUUGUUGUUUAUAGUAGCUUCCCUAUGGUUGUUCAUAUUAGCUUACUUGUUGUUGUUGUUCAUAGCAGCUUACCACAUAGCUUUAUUAUCGUUCAUGCAUGCAUGAUAUCAGAUUGAGGCAUAGCUAGAUAUUCAUGAUUCUACCUACUUGCUUACGUUUCCUUACUUGCACAGUUAUCAUACCCGCUUUUUGCCAGUUUAGCUUUACAUAUAUAUUGCAUAUAUCUCUCUAUGCCUGCUUCGACCUAGUGGGUAGAUCAGUGGAGUCGGCGGCCGAACCCACUGGGAACUAUUCGUAGUUCUCACACCCGUUGUUGCAGGCGCCAGUUCGAGUGUCCCGACCGAGCGGGAGGAUCGCGGCAAGGGCUUGGCGCCCUAGCGGUACCAGUUGGUAGUUUACUUUCCUACUUGCAUUAGUUCAACGUGUGUUUAUAUUUUGAGAGUAGAUGUUGUAUAGGGUGAGGUUUUGGAGAGUACUUGAUGUAUUUACAUUUUGGAGAACGAUGUAUGAAGUUUAAUGCAAGUUGUAUUUAAUGCUUUAAAUUUCAUGGUUCAAAUAGUUAAGUUUCUCUCUUUUGUAUACUUGUAUGCUUUUACUAGUAUCGCUUGCUCUCGAUAGUUUUAACAGUUUUUGUGUUAUCGUUGUUUGAUUGUGUAUGAAAUCAAGUUGUUUUUCCUGGGGACUUGUUGUACACAAUCUCGUUGGUUAGCCUUGGGCGAAUAGGGGAGACUCUGUCCGUUCGGCUUCACGCCGCCGCCCUCGAACCGGACUAAAUAGGUAUCGUUUUCGGGUCGUGCGGUCGGGUCGUGACAGUUGUGGUAUCAGAGCGAGUUAAGAGCAAGCAAAAGAGAGAGUCUAGGAUGACCUAGGAGACCCUAGGUUGGUUAACCCUAAGGUUAUAGGUUCGUGAGUGCGACGUGAACCUAUGACGCGGCGGAAGCUAAUUGAUUGGGUUUGGAGUUGGUGUUGUUACUCUAGUUAUGACUAGAGAUGAUCCAAGUGGUAUUAAUUUUUGGCUUGAGGUGAUUGUGUUGGCGGCCGACAACACGAUGCCGAAGGUCGAGAAUUAAGACACUUGCAAGUUACCGCCUGAUUGAUGUUGUUUAAUCGUUAUGUUUCGCGUUUACGACGAUGUUGUUGAGUUAAGUAAUUAAUCAACUGUUUGUGUUUCAGGAGCUAUGGCACCAAAGAGACGCUAUGUGCGUAGGACCGCUCCGGCACCACCUCGAGAGGUGCCCGGGCCAGCCGUGCCUCCAGUGGCGCCAGUGCCAGCUGGGCCUACUGAGGUGCAGGAGUUGCGAGCGCAGGUCGCGACGCUCACAGGACGGUUCGAUAGGAUUCAGGAGCUGCUGGAGCAGCAGGCUGUAGCGGCGGCUGCGGCAGCGGAUCCAGGCCGCGGUCCGCCUGCGCCUUCGGCACGCGCCCCUGAUGCGGCCGAGGGUGUGGGUGGCGUUUCGGUUCCGGUGGCGGCGCAACCCCCACCGGUGGAUAUUCCUCCGGCUAGUUCGAGUUCUCCUACCCCCGCGGCAGCGGCUGAGGAGGCGGAGCGUGAGCGUGGCUAUGUGGCGCUCACGAGAUUUACGAAGUUUCGUCCGCCUACUUUCGACGGAGAGGUGGUGGAUCCAGCGACGGUAGAGUCUUGGCUGACUGCUAUGGAGACUCUUUUUGAGGACAUUUUCACCUUGGAGAGGGACAAGGUGAACUUGGCCGCGCAUUGCUUCGAGAAGCGGGCCAGGACUUGGUGGAGGAGAGUCAAGCAGGACCGAUCCCCGGAGCUUCCCCCGAUUGAUUGGGCGGAGUUCCGCAAGCUGAUGUUCGCCGAGUACUUCCCCGACAGCGACAAGAGAAGGAUGCGGGAAGACUUUCGCAAGCUCAAGCAAGGCAAUCGCACGGUUCGGGAGUACGAGCGGGAGUUCACCCAUCUCCUGAGCUGCGUCCCGGACGUGGCGACGACCGAGCAGGACCGGGCGGAUUGUUUUGUUCGAGGGCUUCGGCCCGGAGUGUUCAAGUUGGUGCAUGCCUUCAAGUUCCCUACACUGGCGGCAGCACUAGAUCGCGCCCUAUGGGUCGAGCACGGGAACGCUUGCGAGCGUGAGGACCGUGAGUUGUACGACAAGGACAAAGGCAAGAAAAGGCAGGGCGGUGGAUCGGGUGGUCAGUCUAGCUCCAGGAGGCCCCCGAAGUAUCCGCGCUCUCAGGCCAAGGGUCGUGGUGCUGAGCGAUGUAUCUUCUGCGGUGGAGACCACCGGCCGGGUGUUUGUGAGCAGCGCCGAGGGAGGUGCUUCAAGUGCGGGCAAGCGGGACAUCAGAUUCGCGACUGUCCUCAGGGAGGAGCUUCGCCCGCUAUGUCGACUGCAUCGGCCCCGGCAGUUCCAGCUCGUUAUGCUUUGCCCCCUCCUGCAGCAUCUACCGGGCGGGCAGCGGCGCCACGCCAACAGGAGCCUGCACGAUCAGCGCCGAGCGGGAGGAUGUAUGCUGCACCCGUUCAUAUGGAGGAGCCUUCAGCGGCCGAGGAGCGCAAUGUUGUGGCAGGUAUAAUUUUGGUUAAAGAUGUUCGAGCUAGAGCUUUAUUUGAUACAGGCGCUUCACAUUCCUUCAUUAGUCGAUCAUUUGCACGAGCGCAUGAUAUUGAGUAUCGUCUUGGGGAGCACGUUUGGCAUGUUGAGGGCCCCGGGCGAUCCUUUUUGGUUAGGAAGCGAUGUUUGGCAUGUCCAGUGCAAGUGAAUGACUGGAUUAUGCCGAUCGACUUGUUGGUGCUCGAAAGGUUGAAGGAGUUCGACGUAAUUUUGGGCAUGGAUUGGCUCUAGAAGUACUAUGUAUCGAUUGAUUGCCCGACUCGUGUUAUCACAUUUCGAGAGCCGGGUCAGGUUGAGUUCACCUACCGAGCUUGCAAGAGCUCGUGCUUCGCCGUGACGGUAUCGGCGACUAGAGCGAGGAAGUUGGUGAACAGCGGUUGCGCAGCCUUUUUGGCGACCGUUGUGGAGAUUGAUCGAGUGGUUCCGACCCUCGAAGAGUUGGCGGUUGUGCGGGAGUUCCCCGACGUGUUUCCCGCGGAGCUACCGGGUAUGCCGCCGGACCGGGAAAUCGAGUUCAUGAUUCACUUGGUUCCCGGGACAGCACCAAUUUCUAAAGCCCCGUAUCGCAUGGCGCCGGCCGAGCCGAGGGAGUUGAGAGAUCAAUUGCAGGACCUUCUCGACAAGGAAUUCAUUAGGCCGAGCGUUUCGCCGUGGGGUGCCCCGGUAUUAUUCGUGCGAAAGAAGGAUGGAUCCUUUCGACUCUGCGUGGAUUACCGCGAGUUGAAUAAGGUCACGGUGAAGAACAGGUACCCGCUACCCCGUAUCGACGACUUGUUUGAUCAGCUGCAGGGGUCGCGAGUGUAUUCUAAGAUUGAUCUUCAGUCCGGCUACCAUCAGUUAAAGAUUAAGCUGGAAGAUGUUCAGAAGGCGGCGUUUCGCACGCGUUAUGGACACUACGAGUUCACGGUGAUGCCGUUUGGGCUCACAAAUGCCCCGGCAGCAUUCAUGAGCUUGAUGAACCGAGUGUUCCAGGAGUGCUUGAUCCGAUUUGUCGUAGUCUUCAUAGACGACAUUUUGGUAUAUUCGCGUAGCGAUGAGGAGCACGCGGAGCAUUUGCGCACGGUACUUCAGAUUCUUUGGGAGAAGAAGUUGUACGCAAAGCUGAAGAAGUGCGACUUCUGGCUCAGGGAGGUUGCAUUUCUCGGGCAUGUUAUUUCCGAGGGUGGUGUUUCUGUUGACCCGAGGAAAGUUGAGGCUAUUGAGAAUUGGCCGCGCCCGACGAAUGUUACUGAGGUCCGUAGCUUUGUGGGCCUAGCAGGUUAUUAUCGACGGUUUGUGGAGGGGUUCUCGAAGAUUGUGACUCCACUUACCCGUCUGACGCAGAAGGGCACGAAGUUCGUUUGGAGCGACGAGUGCGACCGGAGUUUUAAAGAACUGAAGCAAAGGUUAACUUCGACUCCGAUGCUUGCCUUGCCAGUGCAGGGGCAGGAUUACGUCGUCUAUAGUGAUGCUUCUUAUCUGGGCUUUGGGUGUGUGCUGAUGCAGGGCGGGAAGGUUAUUGCCUAUGCAUCCCGUCAGCUAAAGAGCUAUGAAAAGAAUUACCCCAUUCAUGAUUUAGAGUUGGCGGCGGUGAUCUUUGCCUUGAAGCUUUGGAGGCAUUAUCUAUAUGGUGCUCAUUGCGAGAUCUACACCGACCACAAAAGCUUAAAAUACNACUUGUUCACCCAGAAGGAGCUGAAUCUGCGACAGCGGCGGUGGUUGGAGUUGCUUAAGGAUUACGAUGUUGAUAUUCUCUACCACCCCGGGAAGGCGAAUGUAGUCGCCGAUGCGCUUAGCCGGAAGUCUGUUGAAAACCUAGCUUUAUGGGUUAUCGAUCAGACGCCCCUACGGUUGCAAAUGGGGAGGAUGAAUCUUGAGGUUGUAGCUCCUGAGGUUCCGUCGAUGUUGAUGGCGCUUGUGGUCCAGCCGACUGUAAGAAAAUCAUGUGUACGCAGCGGAAGAAAAUAACACAAUUAAAAAUUUUCUUGAAAACCAAAGAUCACCUUGUGUUACGUUUUAGAUCAUUAAUAAUAGAUCUAAUUGAUCUAAUCAAAUAGGAUCUAUAUUUUAUUUUACCUCGCGCGGGUCGAGAUCACCGCGAAGUCGANNNNNNNNNNNNNNNNNNNNNNNNNNNNNNNNNNNNNNNNNNNNNNNNNNNNNNNNNNNNNNNNNNNNNNNNNNNNNNNNNNNNNNNNNNNNNNNNNNNNUCUCACGCGCUCUAUAUUGAAGAGUUAUUAUUAUAGUAAUCUAAGCAUCGACAGAUCAUUUUAUGAUGCGAACUGCUUUCUAUAAAAUAACUCAGUUGAGUGUAAGCUUUAUCGCAGAAUUUUCUCUAGAAUUUCUGGUAAUGGUAGAUUGGAUCUCUUUAGAGGGCCUAAAACCUAAGUUAGGUGUAAGGCACUUGUGUGGGCCAUAUGUCAGGGAUAGGAAUUGGUUAGUGCUCAAAAAAGAUUCUGGCCCUCGUGGCCUCUCCAUGCUUGGUUGUUUGGGUGGGCUUUUAGGGUGUUGAGGUUUCUGGUGGCUUGUGAAGCAAUUAAAAGAAAAACGAAAAUAUCUUUUGAGGGGGAAAAGAAACGAAAACUCUGUAGCUUUUAGGGUGUUGAGGUUUCCGGGGGCUAUGUGAAGCAAUUAAAAAGAAAAAUGAAAAUAUCUUUUGAGGGGGAAAAAAACGAAAACUCUGUAGCUUUUAGUGCUAUGCGAAAGGAAUUGAAACUAUUUACUGCUCAUUUAUUUUGCAGUCAGUUCCACGUUUAAUACAAAAAUAGGUGUUCUGAGUAAAUUCUUUUGGAAAGGACCUCGAUCAUUUCUCCUUAUUUUUUUUGUUGCUUCUUUAACUAUCCAAUGAAGUCUCCUCUCUUUCUCUCUCUCUCUCUCUCUCUCUCUCUCUCUCGCGACUGAACAAUGUUUAUCUAAUUUACUAGAUUAUCUAUCACUAAUUAACAUGUACUCCGUAUUGUGGCAGACGGAUGGGUUCUUUGAAACAAAUAUUCCCGGUGUGUAUGCUGUUGGUGACGUGGCCACCUUUCCUAUGAAGUUGUACAGUGAAUUGCGGAGAGUUGAGCAUGUCGACCAUGCCAGAAAAUCUGCAGAACAGGCAGUGAAGGUUCGCCAUUCUAUUCUACUAAUUUUCUUCUUCUAACAUUGUUGGCAAUGUUAAGUAAAAGCACCAAAUAUCAUUUGCUUUAUUCAGGCAAUCAAGGCAAGUGAGAAGGGAGAAUCUGUUGAGGAGUAUGACUACCUGCCAUUUUUUUACUCCCGCGCCUUUGAUCUAUCGUGGCAGUUCUACGGGGACAAUGUUGGAGACACGGUUAUUUUCGGUGAAAAUGACCCAGCAUCGCCUAAACCUAAGUUUGGCUCUUACUGGGUUAAGGAUGGUAAGGUAUUUGGGGCUUUCCUCGAAGGCGGGUCACCAGACGAGAACAAGGUGAUUGCCAAGGUAGCAAGGGUCCAGCCACCUGUUGCAGAUGUGGAAGAACUGAGAAAGGAGGGCCUCCAAUUCGCUUGCAAAAUAUAAAUCCAAAUAAUUGAGAAAUCAUGCUGUUUUCCACUGUCAGUGAGUGCCUUAAUCUGGUCUCUGUCCAUCAAAUAAUUAAGAUAGUUCUUCUGGUCAACUUUUGUGAUUUCCUGUAAUCUAUCUUAUUGUGUUGUGUAAUCUCGUGUUUCUAGAUUAUGAUAGUAAGUUGAGUAUGGUGUUUGGUCGGAUUGAUCCCACACUGAGCAAACUAGUGAAAAUAAACUUUUGAAUCAACAAACACCUCGUGAUCUAAGCCACAAAAUGCAGCAGAUGCUUUUAGUAUCCAUCACAUACUGUGAAAACUUAUCUGUAUCUUUUGGUGAACUGUGUGUUCUCCGUAAUAUUUCUUCAUGUAGUGUUUGGAACUUGGGCUGAUUUUGACGCACUGUUCAUUCCAUAUUUUAUUAACUUUCUAACAUAAAGUGCUCUUGAGAUCUGUUGGGGUUCCGGUGAGCCGCACUCUUCAUCACAAAGAUAGAAGUGGGGGAGUAAGAUAUCUACAAAUAAAAGCUAAUAUUCUAAAAAUGUGUUAAUUUCACUGUUUGCCUCAGCUUUUUCAGAGGUUUACCUUUCCCUUCCGUUCUUUUGAAAGAGAACAUAGUGCGCUGCAUUUUUAUGAUGUGUUGAAUUUUCUUAGCAAUGAUUAUAAAUACCUUACUAUUUAGGGAUUUGUUUAUAAAAAUUAGAAGAAAAAGGUAGUCUGAGGAUUUUAUUUUUAAAAUGCACCGUUGUAUAGUAACGUGAGGACGUGAAAUGCCAUGGCGUACAUCUUGCAACCUUUAAACGAGUGGUUCAAUUUUAUUUACUCCUUUGGAAGUUAAAGAAAAGAAAGGUGUCCACCUAUGCAGGUAUCGCCUAAAAACUCUAGCUAGACGCGACUCUCUUGCCAUGGUCCCUAACUUCUCUCGUAGUGGAAGGCUGUGAAACAAAAACAAUAAAUACAUAAGGGUGAGAACUAUUAAACAAUAGUUUUCAGUGGGUAAGCUGUCGAGAAAAGCGAAUUACGCCACUAGGUCAACUGAGGCAACAGUAGAAAAAUGACUAAUAGUAAAGUAUGAAUAAUUUUCGAGAAUUAAAAGUUCUAGCACUACUAUGCCUCCAAUUUACUAUGUUAUUUAACAUGUAUGAAAUCUAUUCUAUUACAUGAAUGAGCAUUAAAUAACUAAUGAAUAUGUCCAAUGUCAUGCACUAUCUAGCACUGAUGUCCGAUCAUUAAGUUUAAUUGUCAUUACCCAAAUCAAUGAGAACUUACACAAGGUAUAGUUCCGGCUUGCGCCGUACCUAAUGGCCCCGUAAUAGUCAACAUUUCCCCGCUAGGAAUGAGUCUCGCCCAUGGCAAUUCACUUCGGCGCCCAAUUCUGCACGGGCGAGCAUAAUGUCGUAAAGCCUAACUCCGGAGUGCCGGCUUGUAGGGAGCGACCCCCACAAGCUUAUGCGAAUGAGCACAAUGCAAGCGUAAUCAACAACAUAGGAAUUUCAUUCGUCAUGUCUAAAAUAUGGUAUGUCAACUAGCGACCUAGAGGUCGAGAAUUAUGUCACAAUGUUAAAUUAUAAUUGUUUAACUAAAUUAAGUACAACAUAUUUAAAUUCAUACUUUGCCACUACCAUACAAUAUGUUACAUUUACCUUGUCUAUAACAAAUAUAUUGAUUAACAUGCAAGUUGAUCCAUUAAUUUCAUUAACCAUAUAAGGUCUAAGAGACAUAUCAUUUACUCAUCUUUAACAUGCUCUCUAUUGUUGUAUAAGAGGAAACACCAUUAUAUACCACUUAGUAUACAUAACCACACUAUAAGCUCCUACUACAUGGAGCAUAAAACCCCUACAUGUAACAUGUGUGUAGUAUGCAUUUGAAAAUUCUAUCAUGUUACAACUAGCAUGAAUAUGCAUCAAUUCAAGUCUUAAAGCAAAGUAGAAGACAUAGAGGGAGUUCACCCAUUUUUGGUGAGGUCAAACCCACCGGAUACCUCGUUUUCUCGAACGAAGUUGUCUGCGGGACUUCUAGCACCCUAAGAAAAAUUCUAAGAGGGUUAUAAGCUUCUAACAAGCUUCCCACGAAAUUUACCAAAAAUCACACAUAAAAUAGGUGGAAAGUAUAUUUAACCAAGAAGAAUUUGUUCAAAGCUCAAACCAAGGCUAGAAAGCUUCAAAUCCAACCUAAAAUAAAGUUCUACACAACAAUUUAACUCCAAAAGCUCUAAAUUAAGAAACUCUAAAUUAAACCCUAGUUUUCUCAAAACUAAAUUUUAUCUCACAAAUCUUGCAAAAUCCACACUUAAAAAUUGCAAGAAGAGUACAAAGCUCAAUAAAAACUCCAAACCAAGCUAAGCGAUGCUAGAGUUGGAGAUUAAUCCUCAAACAAGCUCCAGCUCCCUUCUUAACUCCCAAGCCUCAUUCAAGGUCCAAGUAGCAAACUUCCAUGGAGGGGAAGAAGAAAAAGAGAUCAAAACCUCAAUCUAAAAGGAAUUAGGGAGGAAAUUCAAGAGAGAGAGAGAGAAAAACUCACCCCUAACUCUCUCUACCUCCAGCAAAAAGAGAAGCAUGAGGGGAUUGUGUGGGGUUAUACACAUAAUGUAACAAACCCCAAAAGAACCCCCAACAACACACAAAUUGCAAACAGCAUGAAACUGUAUUCUGCAGCAUUGAGUAUACCGGUACUCGAAUUGGAGUACCAGUACCUUACAGUUCCGUUACUCGAAUUGGAGUACCGGUACCUCGCAGUUCCGGUACCAAGGGCUCAGUCCCGCAGAAUCCGUACGUUGGAAAUUUGGGUUUAUAACUGCAUUCUGCUAUCCCUCCGAUGCAGUACCGGUACUCAGCUCGGUACCGGUACUCACAACCCGAUUCCGUAAAAUCCUAGAGCUGCUCAUUUCGGCACUCUAUAGGGUUCUGGUACGUCAAAUCGGUAUCGGUACUCAAUUCUAAAAUCUGUAAUUUACAUAUUUUGAUGUUGGGAACUCGUUUCGCGCCUAAUAUUUUCCAGAAAUAGGCCGACACUCAACCAACAACCCAACUUGGGCGGACAGGGGAGGUUCUGUUCGUUCGGUGUCUGUGAACAUGCCUGAAUCGACCAAAUUGGCGGUCGCGGGGCGUGACAAUUAGAGCACUACAAACAACUGUAAUGUCAUGCCCCGCCACCGCCACUUUCGUUGAUUCGGGCGUGGAUACAGACUGUAACAUACCAAAUCUCCGAGUUACGAUGCUAACUUUGAUCUAAUUGAUCAAAGUGAGGCACGAGUAUGAUUUGCGACGUCCCCGAGCUACUUUGGAGGCGUGGGGAUGGUUAGUCGUGAGUUUCGGAGGGGUUUAGGUGUUUUCGGCGUAAACUGAAUGCGAAAACAGACUCCGAAGCAUUGCUCUUGUCAAAGUGCAGGUUUGACAUUGAGUACCGGUACCAGAGCAAUGCGGUACCGGUACCCAGAUAGUGUGUGUUGGCACAGCUCUCUGGAUUCAGACUGUGCGAGGCUGGGUACCGGUACUAGUGUUGUGUACCGGUACUAUGUGAAGAUCAAGGAUUUCGUAGCCCUCGAGUUUGGGGGGCUAGUACCGGUAUGGAGACUGUGUACUAGUACUAGAAGCGCCGGGUACCGGUACUAGAACCCGAGUAUUGGUACCCAAACUGAAAAGAACUAUUUUGUAAUAGUGCAAAAUGGGAAAUGUGAGGGGUUUAAACGCAAUUGUGGGGCUCCUAUAAAUACCCUAACCCUUACACCUAUUAUUCCCAUGCAUGAAAGAUAGCUUUGUUCUUAUCUCCUUCUCAUCUCCUUCUCCUUCUCUCUCUAGAUAUUCUUCAUCAAAGUGGUACUUGAGAGAAAUUGAAGGUAGAAAUUAGUGGAUUUGGUGGACAAGAAGCUCAAAGGCAAGGAGGAUUUCGUGGAGCAAGAAUCUAAGGUAGGUUUCUUGCAUUUCUUGGUUAGGGUUUGUUUUAAAUUCCCUAAUUUGUUGGGUUUUGAAGUUUCUUGGAUUUCUAGAGCUUGUUCUAUGCUAGGAAAUCCUAAGAAAAUUGUGUUUUGGGGUAUCAUGUAUGAACCCUAGAAUAAAAAUGGGGUUUUGUGAAAUGGGAGAUCUAACAUAGGUUUGAUCUCUUGUAACACUAAUUGAAGUGUAAACCGACGCGUUGGGAGACUCGGAUCGAAGUUUCAACGAGUCUUUGUCGAGCUAUUGAGGAAAAUCCUCAUUUCAGCUUCGUUUGUCGUGGGUCGAGAGUAGCGGACGUCCAUAAAUCGCGGGAGGUGGUUUCUCGCACUCUGGUAUCACUACAAGGUGGGUGGUGCUAGCCGAAGCCUUCGAAUGACCUAUUAUAUCUUGUCGCCUUUUGAGCAUGUAUGUAUAUGUGUAGGGAAUUCAUGCAUUAUAAGGUAAAUGUGAUAUGUGGCUAAGUGGUAGUGUAGCACACUGAACUUUAGCAAAUUGCAAGGUUCUAGUGUAAGAAUAAUAUUUUAAUCUAUUCUGGAUGUUUUGAGGGUUGCUUGUAUAGUACCUGCCUAUUUCUGGAGCUUAUUAGACGCGAGAACUGGCUUUCGGCAUCGAAAUCUGCAAACUGCAGAUUUUAGAGCUGGAGAUCGGUACUGCAUCGAGCGGGUACCGGUACACCGUAGUCUGAAUGCUUGGCUGAGGCUCGGGUUCAGCAGAUUUUGGUGCAGGGUACCGGUACUCUUCCCCGUGUAUCGGUACGCAGUGUGAAGAACUGCAGUUCGUGCAGUUUGUAAAUUUUGUGAGUUGAGGGGCUUGAGUGGAUAUUGUUACAUUGUGUUUAAAUACCCUAUCACCCCCUUUGUUCCUCAGUUGGCUGAGGAUUGAGAGAGAGAUUAGAGGUGGGUUUUACUCUUCUUCUCUCUUGAUUUUCUCCUUUGAACUCUUGGAUUUUUGGAGGAUUGAUCUCUUUUCCUUCUUCUCCACCAUGGUUGCUUGCAUAUUGGAGCUUGGAAUGGAAGAGAGGAGCUUGUUGAUGGAUCAAACUUCAACCCUAGCACAUUAAGGCUUGAGUUGAAGCUUGUUUUGAGGUUAGAAUCUUCCUUGUAAUCUCCAGUUGAAGAUUUGCAAGAGAUUUUUGUAGAAAACCUAGUUUUGUAGAAACUAGGAUUUUGUUUUGGGGCUUUUCAUUUAGAAGCUUUUGUGUUGGAAUUGAUUAGUGUAGAACACUUGCAGGUUGGAUUUGAAGCUUGGAAGCUUCGAUUUGGGCUUUGGUCAAGUUCUUCUUGACCUAAGGUAUUUUUUUCACUUUUUACAUGUGUAAUUUUCGAAGAUUUUCAAAGUAGCUUUUUGAAAGUUUUUAACCUUUUAGAAUUACUAGGUCCACGUUAAUUCGAGGUACUGCUAGACCCACGUGCUUGUGCCCGGCAACUAACCGGGUACUUUCUCAACAGUGAUUCUACUUUCACCGUUCGAUCUAUCGGAACAACAUCCGAAACACUCGGAAUACUUGGGUGUCUAUAUGCAUCAUGGCUCGACUCUCGCAAUCAACAAAUCACAUUGCUCUAAGAGUCGGUCCGCCACUUCCGUCUUUACCACGAGUCUUAUUUCUCAUCCGCAGACCACCACCGGCACUUUGCUAGUGCCAUCUAACUCUCUACCUGUUCCAGCAGGCACUACACUUUCACCACAUAAGCAUGCCCGGGUAUCUAAACCUACCCCGUCCACUUGGUCCCUACUAUACUAAUGCAUAAUAGUAGCAACGGACCACAUGACAAAUGCAUGCUAUGCAUCAACUUGAUAUCAUGCAGAAGCAUAUACUUGCUUCAACCAAAUCAUACUUGCCAUGACAUCGUCGGUAGCAGAAGGCUCCACAACCCGGGUCGUGUAUCCAUGGCCAUCUGGCACCCACUGCGAACCCUUUGGUUGCAUCGUCCUUAACGCCCGCUCUUCUGACCAUGCCGCAGGUGGCACACCUGCAGGCUGUCCUAGAGAGGAAAAGGCCAUCGCCAGUGUCAGGGCCCGGCUACCACCUUGCGGAUACUCAUCCUGCGCAUGGCCUGGUUGCCCACUCAUGUAGCACUUGCCUUCUCGCUGCUCACACUGUUGUGGGUAAUGAGGACCCCCACAAAUACCACAUCUUGCCGAGGACCGAAUGCGGUAGGCCCCGGGGCUUGGGAUCGCGAGCGCGAACACAUCGAAGUUUGUUGAGAACUUGAAUGACCAGCAGAUCCACUCGUUGGUUGUCCCUUUCCCUUUUCCUUGUAAUAAUACUCGCGCUCCUCUCGCACAAUUGCACUGCCUUGUUCUAUACACAAGGCCCACUCUUCAAAUCUCCUCCAAUCUCUACCAAGCCUUACUUGGGAAGAGCUCAUAGAGAGAGAGAGGGAGAAACAUGGAGUUGAAGGGGUACUCUCUGCUGUGAACAAGAAAGGAGGAGGUGUGGGGUUUAUAUAAGCCGCCACAAUUAUAUUUAAGCCCUCCAAUAUUUCUUAUUUGCAACAGUUCAAACUCUGCUGUUCGGAGCACAAGGUAUCGGUAUGCUGGCUCGGGUACCGGUACGCCCGGGUUGACAACCAAACCCGAGAGCAGCUAUCCUCGGUUUACUGCGGAGUACCGGUACCAACCUAAUUCCUUACCGGUACUUAACCCCACUGUGACCGAACCCGAGAGCAAGCCUCUCGGUUUGCCUGCUUGGUACCGGUACCACUCCUUCAGUACCGGUACGCAGUGCCCAGACUGCAGUUCUAGCAGUGCUUAGCUCUACUUCGCGUCGAACAAUGCUAAACUCAUCAAUCCCAUCUGGAACUCAACUUUAACCCUUCCAACAUUGUUGGAGUAGCGUAUGGACUAUGUCCAACCAUUCUUCUCGCCACGCUUCGGUUAUUUUGACCAAAAGUGGUUUAACACGACGAGAAUCCAUUAACUUCUUGAAGGUCAUGAGGGCCCGAAGCUCGCAAUGUUCCAAGUCUUCGCUCGCCUCAAAUUGCCUAGGGACAUCACUUGUCCAAUCCCGCGCCUGUCAUGCCCCGAGCUCCACCAAUUUGGUCGGAUUCGAGCACAUGACAGACGGCGAACGGACGGCACCUCCCCCGUCCGCCGAAGACUCCAACAUCAAGUAUAUUACAAGCAAAUCAAUAAAGAAAAUUGCGAGAUAUACAAGGUUUGCACGAAGGCAAACAACAACCACAAGUGAAAGCAUCGAAACUAUCUAAGCAUCCGAUAUACAAGUCAUUUGAUUUCAUUUGAAUCAAACACAAGUAGUCUAUUACAUUUACCCAUUCAUUUACAUCACGUUUUCCUUUAACCAAAAUACAUGAUUUACAUCAUCCUUACAUUACCCAAAAUAUAAUUUACAUUUCUUGCUUUACAUCAUUUACAGCUCAACACCUACAGUUGAGUACACCAAAAUGUAGGGUAUGCCUAUAUCUCGAGGGCCGCUAGCUACGGCGCAACACCCUUGCCUCGAUCCUCCGCUGCCCCACUCACGCACGGAUCUGCAAGGUUAAUGGUAAUGAGAACUAGAACGAAGUUCCCAGUGGGUUCGGCCGCCGACCACGCCGAUUCGCCCACUAGGUCUAAUUCAUGCAUAUGUAUUUCAAUAAAGAAGGAUAACAAACCAACUAAUGCACUUUUAAUACAAUACCUGCAAGAAAGCAAUCCACAGAUAGAUAUUCAUAUUCAAAUACAUGAUGAUUAUGCAUGCAUGUCCAUUUCUCAUUUUCUUUGGCCUUUACCCAAUCAACCCGGGGUGCUCCUAGUUUACCCCAACUCACAAUCCACAUAUCCCGUCUAACGGGGGAGGCACAAGGCUCAACCGCCCGAGGGAUCUUCGCCGGGCACUCUCACCCGUGGUGUCUACACUCCGGAGUACACCGCUUGUGGAGGAGCGACCUCCCACAAGCCGAAACCAAUACGUGUGAGUAUGAUGCGAUCCUCAAUUUGAGGAGGUAUAGCCAAACCUGUCUCAUGCCUCAAUAUCUCAAUGCUAAUGAUAGGUUCUACCAUAUCAUAUAUACCACCAAUAUGAGUCACAAUGGUCCUGAUGCCAUAAUACACAUAAUGUCACUCGGGUUAAACCUUGUUUAACUAUACUCAUUUCAAUGCCAAUCAAGUCACUAUAGUUAAUGUCACCGUUAUUUACUAUGGUCAUAGUCUUUUCUCACAUUCACAUGCAUAUAGGGUUAUUCGUUUUCUUUGUUCACAUGGUUCUAUAUCACUCACAAUAAUCUUAAGCAGAUAAUUGAUGCAAUCAACAUAUACCAUUCACUACCCUACAUGCAAGAAUGCUAUAAUACCAACAUGCUCAAAAGUAGUGACAUAGACAUAGAAAGAGACUCGGUGUUUUCGGAUAGCACCCCACACCUUUGUGUGAUACUAGGAUGCCAUGGUUCUGUUUUCACGAUUUUUAGACACUUUCGCCGCGAGCUGCGGCAAUCUGUACCAAUUCGGCUUCUUUUUCCAAUAUCUUCGCGCAUGCUCGUCGUAUCGCCGAACCGAGCGCACCGAUGCGUUCGUUGACCUAUCAAUUAGGUUAGAAUGAGAUCAAUCCCAAGCUUCGACCUUAUUUUCACAAAACCCCAAAUUUGGGUCCCUAUACAAC
rnacentral:lncRNA from 1 species